GUUGAAUCCUGCAAGAUUUCCGUGUGUUGUAUUCAGCUUGAAUAUUUCCAAGCCAUUCAAGAUUGCAUCAGCAUAAGUAGGUUUCAGUUCCAUGUUAGGGUGUAGUUCGAGCCACAAGUCCUGCUUGCUCUGGCUCCCUUGAGGGACCCGCACGAUGUAGUCUUUGUAAACUGGAAUGCCGUUGCCACCGCUCAUAUGGAUCACAUCUGCAUCACGCUCUGCUAUUUGAUUGUUGAUGAAUAUUAAAAAUACCUGUUGAUUUACAUUUAUGAACUCCUUUCGAGUCUCACAAAAGUGGAGUCUAAGGAGAUAAAGGAAACCAGCAUCAACUGUGAAGAUCCAUGUGAGAUUGUAAUUCAUGUUAAGACGGGGUUCAGGACCCAUUGAACGCAUAGUACUAUACACCAGAACAGGUGCGGAGUAAGCUGGCGUUUUGCCUGUGUACUUUAUCUUUACGCCUGGGAGAUAUGGAGUGUUUCCAGCUCGUCUAAAGAGAUACUCUGAAUCUUCAUUCCAUGUCCUGUACAUGCCAGCAUCUCCUGUGCUGCCGAUAUCUUGCCCCCCAACAUUCAGUCGAUAAACUGUCUCAAGCGCAGUUGUGUUAUCCAGAAAGGUGUCGACAUCGGGGCCCACAUAGGUCAGUGGAUUAUCAUCGCCACGAGCAUAGAAGUUGUCUGGCAUGGAAACGAUUUCGAUACCAUUAACGAAGGCAAAAGAUGCUGGAGACGGAAUGAAGGUUAAUUCAAGCUUCUGGUUGUCCCACACGGUGAUGAUGAACUCUUUGGUGAAGGAGUCAACUGGAGGUCUUAUAGCAGAAACUGUAAGAGAGGCACUAAAGUUGUUUAGUAGCUGGUAGGUAUUGGCACUAAGCGAAAAAUAGGAUUUGGAUAUAUCAAGAUUUGAGUAAGAAGAUGGAUAAAAGUAGAGACGCACAAAUUUUGGGCCAGGCAAGACUAGAAAUGUGUAAGUGAAUUUAGAGUGAAAAAUACGGGCUGUCUUGUAUGGGACUUGGUCGACAGAGGGGUCUUGAGUGGAGGCUUCAAACACAGAUGAGGCUUCUGGGGGAUUAGAGGCAGCAAACUUCGGCUGGGAAUCACCAUCCCAGCUGCGACCAUCUGGAGAUGACAAAUUAGAGGAUGCACCACAGUUAAGGAGUAUUAGAUCAGUGGGGCUGUAUGGCAGCAAGUAAUCUUCAGUAGCAGUAACAUAGAGGAAGAGAUGGAGGGGAGGGAGAAGGUAGAGAGCGAUGAAGAUGGACAUUAUGCUAUUUCUUUUGUGGAAUAGGUUGGAGUAAGAAAACCUAUGCAUUAAAUGCAAAGAUUUUGAUUUAAGGGAAGAUGAUCAGUGGCGUUUUUGUCUCCAUACAGUAGUAUAUUUGCUCAAGUUGAGAAUAAUCCAAUAAUAUAUUUGAAGCCCGGGGGAGUAGAAAUUCGACGAUAUGGCUAAUGGGAACAUAUUGCUCGCUGUACUUGGUCAGCUUUGGAUGGCUGCUUUCCAUUGUGUGGUUCUGAAUUCUGCCAUAAAGACGCCAUGAAUAGUCUAUGAAACUUAUUUUUCUUUUCUUUUUUCCUUGACUUUUUCAUUCUUUGAUUAAGAUCACACACACCACUUAAUUUCUUAUUUGAUUAAUAUUCUUAACGAGGUUGAAUGUAUUUCAGGUUGGUGUUCACCAUAACAAAUGCAGUAAUCACAGCUCCGAGAUUAGGAUUCAAAAGGUGCAAAGCUUCUUUUUCCUUAUGGUCACCGCCUUGAUACAAUGAUUGUCGCAAGUGCAAGUCUAUAUAAUCCUCACCGAUGCCUUCUGUCCAAUACACACACAUCUUCAUUAUAGACUGGCCUUGCUUCAGUCUUCAAUAAGAAACAUCGUUCUUGUUCCUCAUGAGUAGCCCUUUGACUCGCCUCAGAUCCAUGAAGUCUCAUUUACUUCUUUCUAUUAUUCUUCUGCAAUGAUGUCUUACUGAUAAAAUGCUCUUGUUUUUGGUUAUAAAUGAUAUAAUUUUACACAGGAACUAAUAGGAGGCUCAAAGGAUCGACCUAUUCCUUUUUGGUUCAUGAGUGUGCCUUUUUGGGCUGAGUUUAAAACCAAAAAUCUUCUCAUCUGGUAUAGUAAUCGCUUAAUUACUACAAAACUUGGUGGUAAUGAGAAAUCUUUCUUCCCAUUAAUCGAAGAAUAAUGGAUUUACCUCUCGACAUACUUGGUGCCGAAUAAAAUCAAUAGCACUAGUGAAGAAGAGGCAAGCUGUCCUCUCUUCCCUGGAGAUGGCAAUUUGUUCUCUCUCAUCCUGUUAAGCUUGGUUUCCAUACAUGAGGGGAAACUGAAUGGAGUUCUCGGUGGAUGAAAAAUAAUUGUAAUAAUAAAUGAAAUGAGAUUGAGUUUCAUUGUUGAAAAAAUCAUGCUGAAAUCACUUCAAUCCUAAGAUUAAUGAGUCGCUAUUCAAAUGGAAACCCACGCAGACAGAUAAAGAACUGACCCCUUUGUCCCCUCUUCCUCGAUCAACUACCAUGUUUGCACCGAUUGUAGUAAGUGUGCAAGGCCGAGAGUUAGGAUUGAUCGGUUUUGCACAGUUGCCAUAUAUUUGUGCAUUGCAAAUUGGUUGUCGUUCUAAACUCCUAUAGUUAAUAUAGUUACCCUGAGAGGCCAGUAGUCUCUGAUGCACUUCAGAUUCCAUAGAGAAGUCCUCUUCAUUACCUUCACCGAUUGUGGCAUUGAAAAUUGGACUCGAGUUUGCUUUUAGGAAAGGCAGCUGCAGAAGCAGAUGUGAUCACUGAAACCAGCAGGAUAGUUAAAGAGAGCCACCAGAGGAAUUCAAUACUUGCGUUAGGCCUCAUCUCUUUCUUUCUGUGCCCUUCUGUUACAGAGUUUGAAGAGCACUAAAUAAACGUCACUGCUAAGAAGGCUUCAAACUCUGGAUAUGGAGUGAAAGGCUAGCUUUUUUCCAUUUACAUGCUUUUUUACUGUGAUUUUAAUGUUGUAAACUAUUAAGAAUUAUCUCAAUUUAAUAACUUAAAUUAUUAAGUAAGAUCUUAAAAUAUAAUUUAUAUUAUUCAAGAAUAUUUGACAAAACAUCCUGCCACUUAUUUUAACUAUAUAUAUAUAUAUAUAUAUAUAUAUAUAUAUAUAUAUAUAAUCUGGAUUUUUGUUAGUGAAUUCAUCCUAAUCGGAACUUGAUAUUUCAUAUAAGGCUUCUUGAAGUUUUUUUCUUGUAUUCUGACUUUGAGCUUGAUGAUGCAAGGUUUUCUUGAAUUCAACUUUUAGUGGUGAGAAACGUAAAAAGCAUGCACAACUUUAGAACAAGCUUGAGUUUCUCUAAAUUUGGGUCCACCACCAUUUGACUUUGAUUUUUCUCAUUAAAUCUAAAGAGUAACCAAUAUCUUCAUUUAUAUCAUUCAUUAUAAUGGAGUCCCAAGAUAGCAUGAGACACCAAAGGUUGCGAUGAAAUAAAAGGAGGCAGGAAUUGAAUUCAAAGGUAUUUUUGCUGUGAACAAUUUCAAUCCUUUGUAUGAUUUUUUAGGGAGAAUCUUUCUUAUUGAAGAAAAUAUUGCCAUCAAUUGUUUGGGAACUAAGUUGGAAAAUUCUUUGGACAAUGUUUUAUCAAAUUAGAUGAACGAUGAAUGGUCAUAGGUUUUUAGAAAAAAUAAAAUAAAUUAAGCUUGUUGAUAAUCAAAAUAAAUGGAUCUUAAAGGUUGGUAGUUUUGAGAAAAUCUUUCAAGGUGCAGGGGUUUUGAUUCAUGUCUUGAAAGGUUAUUAAAACCUUUUGAAUUUUUUAUUUUGAAAAAAACAAGAUUGUUUACAUCUUGAUUAUGAAUUAUUUCAACAAAGUCAAUAUCAGCUAGAAUAAACUGAUAGAAUUGUCUUGUUUUCAACAUAUUUUCUACAUUAACUUGAAAAUAAUAGCUUCUUGACUUGAAAGGGUUAUUAUUUAUUUUUUUUGGGAGAAAAUUUGGAUGGUAAUAAACAUGAGUGAAAGUACAAGCACUAGGACAAUAACAAGAGAAAGAAAAUUAAUAGUUGAAAUAGAAUAGAGUAUAAGAAUCCUAAUUUAUAGUUUUAUUGAUGAAGAGAAAAAUCCACUAUUUCUUUUGCCUCUUUAAGAUGUUUUCAACUCUUUAAAUAAGCUCAAAAAUCAAACAAAACAAACUAGAAAACCAUAAAAUAAAGAAAAAAAUAUAUUAAAAUUCCUAAACAAACUUAAAGAAAUAAAAUUACUAUUCUCAAUAUUUGAUUUCCUAAACUAAAUAGAAAAAAUAAAAUCACCAUAAAAAAAUAUUUUUCUAAACUAAAUAAAAAAUAAUAAUAACUAAAAAAUCUUAAUUUCAUAAAAACCCAUGGCAUCAACAAUAACGUUGUUAAAGGUGCAUUUUGGGAUUGAACAAACAAGGGAGUUUGAAGAGAUUAAGAAUAAUUUAUUAUAGGUGAGCUGUUUGGAGUAGAUCAUGCUGAUGAAUAAAAACUAGCCUCACGGUAUCUUGAAUGCUUGAUGUUGUGGCUUGAAUUGGUUUUGAUGGUGUAAGAGCAUAUGAUUUCUUUUGACUUCUUGACCAGGAUGCUCAUUUUGAGCCUAGUAAAGACUCUUUGGAUAAAAGACUCUUUUACUUCUUUCAUGAAUUCAAUCUCGAAAUCAUAUUUUGAUAGAUUAUCUUGACACAAUAUUUUAAAUAUUUUUUUCAACAAUAUAUUUUAUAUAUUGAUAAUUUAUUAGUAAAAGCAAUUUUUUUCUGGAAAAUUAAUAAUUUCUGGAAAAUAUUAGAUGUACAAAAUAUUUAAUAUUUUUUUUAUAAUUAUAUAAUUUUCUUGUGGACCCAAUCAAAUACCUAAAUGAUAUUGCACUACAUGUUCUUGACUUUGAAAAUUUUGUUUGAGAAUACCACUUUAACUAAUAUAAAGGCAAGGCAUCAGUUUCAACUAAAAAAAAACUCUCUAGAUCAGGAAGUUUUAAACAUGAAAACUCUUGAGUUGAAUUUUAAGAGCAUUCACAAUUUUGAUAAUUUGAUGAUUCCAGGCAUCCCAUAAACAAUACCAGUCUUAAACAAUUUUGUUUGAUGACUUCUAAGGGUUUUUCUCAUCAAGUCUUUUGUAUAAAGGUUGACAUAUAUUUAUAAGAUUUGAAAAAAUAUCUAAAACAUAAUUGAGGCAUCCCAUAAACUUUUAAAGCUGGGUUUUAAUCUUGAUUUUAUUUAUGAAUUUAUUAGUAAAUUUUAUUGAUCAAGUGAUAAGGGUUAUUGAUCAUUGAUAUAUAUUGUACCCUAAAACAAUUAUUUUUAAUAUAUUGACAUCAUCUUUAAAGUCGAGAUAACUAAUUCAUUUUGUUUGAUAAUAUCAAGAAAUUUUUGUAAAUUGUUGAAAUGUUUGGUUAUUGGUUUUAAAAAUAAAAAAAAGACAUCAUCAAUAUAUAUAAUCAUAAAUUUUGAAUAUGGAUUAAAGAUGUUAUUUAUGAUGCUAUGAAGUUUUGAAGGAGUAUUUUUUAGUUCGAAAAACAUUAUAUCUCAUUUGUAAUGAUAAUGAAAUAAUGAAUGUUGUUUUGUAAUGAAUUUUUUUUUUAUCAAUUUAGAUUUGCUAGAAUAUUGAUUUAAUAAAAAUAUUUUGAAAAUAUUAAAGCAUUUUAAAGUCUUUUCAUAAGAUCUCUCUUGUUGUGCCUUGGAUAUCUAAUAUAUUGGAGCACUUUGUUAAGAGGCUUGUGAUUCAUGAUCAAAUGUCUUAGUGCACUUCUUUGUAUUUCAGCUUGAUUUCAGACAUAAAAAGGUGGCGUACGAUCAUGAUAAUUUACUAGGGCUUAUAAGGCACUUUUUGAGUAAUUCAUUAAUUUAAUUUUUUUUAAUAAUAUUUUAGUAUAUUUUUUAUUCAUUUGAAUUGGUCUUUCCUUUGUAGGGAUUUUCUUUUCAUUAAAACCUUUUUAAUAAGGUAACUGCACUUAUGACAUUUUUUUUUAAUCCUAAAAGGCACUAGGCAAGUUGGAACAUAAUCAUUUUCUAGAUGGUAAUGACUUUGGAAUACUGACGUGAGGUAAUUUCCAAUUAUCAUUGUACGUGAUUUGAUCUCAUUAUCAAAGUUUAGGAACUUGAAUGUUUGAAUUUUGAAAGUUAGCUUCAAUUCGAAGAGUUUAAUUUAUAGAUGAUUUUUUGAGAGCGGAGCUAUGUUUGUAUCCAUGAUUUUGUAAUAUAUUCUAUAGAUGAUGACUAUAUUUUUGGAAUCUUGAAGCAUAUCAGUUGGAGUCUUAAUAUUUAGAGUUAAAGUUUUCACUAUAAUAUCUAGGUUGAAUAAUGAGAUAGUGAAAUUUGGAUAACAAUUCAAGUAUGUAGAACCAUUAGCAAGAUUUGAUUGAAAGAUUGUAAGUAGUGAGUUUUAAAAGGUCAUAAAUUGAGGUGAUGAAUUGGUUUGACUACAAUUUGUAUGAGAGAGAGAGAGGUGAUCAUUUUUUAUUUGGUUUUUAUAAAAAAAGUAAUUAAACUAGAUUUAUAAAAAAAAAAAACAAAACUGAACCGAAACCGGUUCAAACUGACUGGUUUUGAUUUGACUCAAUUUUUGUUUGAUUGGGGUUCAGUUCGGUUUGGUUUUUCAGUUUAAAGUUUAUAAAACCAAAAUCAAACCAAACCGGUUGGGUUUUUAAAAAUUCUAAUCGGUUUUUUUCAUGGUUUGAUUUUUUUAGUUAAUUUGUUUUUUUUGUUUUCUUAGUUUAAUCAAUUUUUUGAUUUUUUUACUCACUCCUAAUCUAUACUAAACCCAUGUGAUAAAAAAUUAUCUUUCGUUAGUGUUUGGAACAAAAAAUAAGGAAAGAUAUAAUUGUUUCAGAUUGUUUGAUGAAGGCUGGUCUAGAUCAUAUAUAAUUGUCAUUACACAGUGCCGGUCUAACUUGAAAGAUGUUAAUACCCCAUUAAUUGCGACGCCUAAGCUCAUAACCAUAUCCAUGAAUUAUGAUCACCAUUAAGGAAGCGCAUAGGAACUCUUUAAUUUCUAGUUGCUUCUUAAUACAUCUUCCUGGACAUGCAUGUGAUCUAAAGGAACAAAGGGAAAUUAAAUGCUUAAGCAUGAAUGUGAUCGUUCUCUAUAUGUUCGUCUUCAAGCUUUGAAAUUUUUAUAGCCCAAUUAUUAUUAUAUUUUUAAUUUUUUUAUGUGGGAAAAGAGUAUCAAAAUUGUGGGAAAUAUUGUCGAACGUGUGCGGCGGUCGCGGCGAAAAUAACAUAGUUUUUCCAUUUUCUUAAUCUAUAAUGUAAAUCUAUCUAUAUCUAUGGGGAUACAAAAAUAUUGUCUUUUAUUGGUAGAAAAUGGAAUGGGAGUCGCCACCUAGUAUUUUGGUCACUAGGAACCCUAACUGGUCUCAGAGAUCGGGUACGGGGACUGGUUGCGUAAAGGGAAGGUAUUAGCACCCCAAAUACGCCCUACCUAAGGUAAGCUGCAUUGUUUUAUUGUCUGAUAAAAACUAAGGUAUUUUCGUGUUUUCCUAGUUGUUGGUCUGUCUAUGGUUCAAGAAAAAUCCUCCUCGGUAAGAAAGGCUUUAUCUUAUCGGGUAAAAUCCUAACCGUUCUAACGUCCAUACCAAAAUUUAUUAAUAAUAUUUAGGAAUACGUUUUACGUAUAAAUUCGUAAUCCCAAAUACUAAAAUAAAACAAAAAGAUUUUUUAGAAUUUUUGAAAUAUUGGCCUAGUUCUCAUGGCUUGAAUAAACUGGUUAUUAAAGCCAAAAUGCAUGUUAAUACAUAUAUUGUUUUGAAAAUUUUCUUUGUUGUGUGAAAAUAUGAUGUUAUAAUAUUUAUAUGUAUAUAUUGGAGAGACUAGGCCGUAUGCAUGAAAACAAAACCCUUUUUUGGAAAAUAUUUAUUUUUUGAUGUUUUAACAAAAAUCGGGUAUUUUAAUACUGGGUUUGUAUUCUUACGGUAUAAAAAUACAACCCAAUAUUAAUCCACUAUAAAAAUAUGCAGAAAAAUCAACAACAUUUUUAGGGACUUUUUAGAAUUUUUUUGAAAGCAAAAACAUUUUUUAUUUGAAAAUCUUUGAUAUUUUGACGAAAACCGGGUAUUUUUAACACUGGUUUUGUAUCUUUACGGUAUAAAAAUACAAACCAACAUUAAACCACUUUGACAAAAAUGCAGAAAAUCAACAAUAUUUUUUAAGAUUUUUCAAAAUAUAUUUUUUAAAGAAAAAAUAUACAUAUAUAUAUAUAUAUAAUAUAUAAUAUAUAUAUAAUAUAAUAAUACACACACACACACAUAUAUAUAAUUCACGUCCUGCGUGAACAGUAGGACGUGAAUUAUAUUUCACGCCUACUGUUCAUGCAGUGAACAGUAGAAGGAGGAAGAAGAAGAAAAGGAGGAAAGGAAGAAGGAGGAGGAGGAAAGGAAGAGGGGCUCACUUGGCCGAAGAGGUUGUGGCUGCUGUGAUGAGGUGGUUCAGCCGGUGGUUGCAGCGGUGGAGUUGGAGGAAGACGGCGUCGGUUUCCUGUUGCAGAGGAAGAAAGAAGAAGAAGAAAAAUCUGCAGAAAUUGGGCGAAAAUGCUGGUUUUUGGCUGACUUUGGACCUGAAUUUUUCAACCCUCAGAUCAUCAAAUCCGACUCUAUUUAUAGGCUGUGGAAGAGGGCAAUCUUGUCUACGUUGGGGAAAAAUUUCAGCCCUUGAUUCAGUUGGGAAGCAUCUCAACCGUUGGCUCAAAGUGUGCACCUCGAGCUGCCAAAUUUGGCAGCUCCAGGCUGUGAACUGCCCGAGGUGGCCACUUUGAGCCACUCACCGGAGCCGUUUAACUUUUUCGACCCGACCUGACCAUUCUCCGGGAUAAAGGGGUUUCAUGUGGACAUGUUGGUGUAUGUUGUGUCGGAUUUGGAGGCCACACGAGCCGGAAAAUGCGCCUGGAAAGCAGCCACUCAGGCAGCUUUUUGAGGAAGAAGUGAACAGUAACAGGCGACGUGUCACCUGGUUUCCCUGUGCCAUUUUUUAAAUUAGUCCUCCAGUUUUCAAUUUCUUCAAUUUGACCCCGAUCAAUCCAAUACAGCCCCCCUAUUUACGCGCCUUUUCCAAAUUGGUCCCUGGUUUCGGAUUUUCUCAAUUAAGUCCCUAAUUGCCAUUAAACUUCAAUAUUUAUGCAAUUAAGCCCCUGAUUUGACCUAAUAAAUUCCUAAAAAAUAAUUUUGGCCCCAGAACUUAAAUUUCUUUAAUUAAAGCCCAAAUUGACUUAAAAAUCAAAUUUCUUGCAAUCAAAUCCCCUAUAAAAUCAAUUAAAAAUCCAAUUAAGUCCAUAAACAUCCAAAUUUGGGCUUUUCUCCUCAAAAAUUAAAAUUUCUUAUCCAUAAGGGCUCUUAUCAUUCAAGAAUAUAUUGUCAAAAAUCCAUCUUUGUAUUUUUAACCUCCUUGACUAAUUUUUCUGACCAUUUGUUGAACGCUUCUGCCUCAUGUUAUUUUUCUAACCUCCUUUGGCUAUUUAUUUUAUUUCAUUUAUUUGGGGACCCAAAAAUGGGUUAGAACAGAUGCCCCCUCUUUAUAAUGCUUACGGAGCAAGGGUUUUGCGCAGUAAGUUUUAUAAAGAUAAACUCAAAACAGAACUCCUGAAAUUAAUCUGGUUGAAGCUUGAUUGAUCUAGAACUUGUCUUUUACAACAAUCCUCCUCAGCGCCAAAAACUAUGAUCAAAAUUUAGUCAUCUUGUGCUCCCUUCUGGAGAUCUCUUUAAACCACAACCAAAAUCCUUUCCAAUUAGGUUAAACUGAGAUCCCUUCGUUGAUCCCCUUUAACCAUAACCAAGGUCUGUGUGGUGAGACUGAAUUGAGAUUCUUUCGUCGAUCCCCUUCAACCAGAACCAAAAUCCUUUCCAAUUAGGUUAAACUGAGAUCCCUUCGUCAAUCCCCUUUAACCAUAACCAAGGAAUUUGUAGGGUUGGGCUAGACUGAGAUUCCUUUCGGCAAUCCCCUCUAACCAGAACCAAAAUCCUUUCCAAUUAGGUUAAACUGAGAUCCCUUCGCCGAUCCCCUUUAACCAUAACCAAGGAAUGUGUAGGGUUGGGUUAGACUAAGAUUCCUUUCGGCAAUCCCCUCUAACUAGAACCAAAAUCCUUUCCAAUUAGGUUAAACUGAGAUCCCUUCGCCGAUCCCCUUUAACCAUAACCAAGGAAUGUGUAGGGUUGGGUUAGACUGAGAUUCCUUUCGGCAAUCCCCUCUAACCAGAACCAAAAUCCUUUCCAAUUAGGUUAAACUGAGAUCCCUUCGCCGAUCACCUUUAAUCAUAACCAAGGAAUGUGUAUGGUUGGGCUGAACUGAGAUCCUUUCGUCGAUCCCCUUCAACCAGAACCAAAAUCCUUUGCAAUUAGGUUAAACUGAGAUCCCUUCGUCGAUCCCCUUUAACCAUAACCAAGGAAUGUGUAGGGUUGGGCUAGACUAAGAUUCCUUUCGGCAAUCCCCUCUAACCAGAACCAAAAUCCUUUCCAAUUAGGUUAAACUGAGAUCCCUUCGCCGAUCCCCUUUAACCAUAACCAAGGUGUGUGUGGUUGGGCUGAACUGAGAUCCUUUCGUCGAUCCCCUUCAACCAGAACCAAAAUCCUUUCCAAUUAGGUUAAACUGAGAUCCCUUCGCCGAUCCCCUUUAACCAUAACCAAGGUGUGUGUGGUUGGGCUGAACUGAGAUCCUUUCGUCGAUCCCCUUCAACCAGAACCAAAAUCCUUUCCAAUUAGGUUAAACUGAGAUCCCUUCGUCGAUCCCCUUUAACCAUAACCAAGGAAUGUGUAGGGUUGGGCUAGACUGAGAUUCCUUUCGGCAAUCCCCUCUAACCAAAACCAAAAUCCUUUCCAAUUAGGUUAAACUGAGAUCCCUUCGUCAAUCCCCUUUAACCAUAACCAAGGAAUGUGUAGGGUUGGGUUAGACUAAGAUUCCUUUCGGCAAUCCCCUCUAACCAGAACCAAAAUCCUUUCCAAUUAGGUUAAACUGAGAUCCCUUCGCCGAUCCCCUUUAACCAUAACCAAGGAAUGUGUAGGGUUGGGUUAGACUGAGAUUCCUUUCGGCAAUCCCCUAUAACCAGAACCAAAAUCCUUUCCAAUUAGGUUAAACUGAGAUCCCUUCGCCGAUCCCCUUUAACCAUAACCAAGGUGUGUGUGGUUGGGCUGAACUGAGAUCCUUUCGUCGAUCCCCUUCAACCAGAACCAAAAUCCUUUCCAAUUAGGUUAAACUGAGAUCCCUUCGUCGAUCCCCUUUAACCAUAACCAAGGAAUGUGUAGGGUUGGGCUAGACUGAGAUUCCUUUCGGCAAUCCCCUUUAACGAGAACCAAAAUCCUUUCCAAUUAGGUUAAACUGAGAUCCCUUCGCCGAUCCCCUUUAACCAUAACCAAGGUGUGUGUGGUUGGGCUAAACUGAGAUCCCUUUGCCGAUCCCCUUCAACCAGAACCAAAAUCCUUUCCAAUUAGGUUAAACUGAGACCCCUUCGUCCGAUUCCCUUUAACCAUCCAACCAAGGAAUGAGUAGGGUUGGGUUGACUGAGAUUCCUUUCGCAAUCCCCUCUAACCAGAACCAAAAUCCUUUCCAAUUAGGUUAAACUGAGAUCCCUUCGCCGAUCCCUUUAACCAUAACCAGGGAAUGUGUAGGUUGGGCUGAACUGAGAUCCUUUCGUCGAUCCCCUUCAACCAGAACCAAAAAUCCUUUCCAAUUAGGUUAAACUGAGAUCCCUUCGUCGAUCCCCUUAACCAUAACCAAGGAAUGUGUAGGGUUGGGCUAGACUGAGAUUCCUUUCGGCAAUCCCCUAACCAAAACCAAAAUCCUUUCCAAUUAGGUAAACUGAGAUCCCUUCGCGAUCCCCUUUAACCAUAACCAAGGUGUGUGGUUGGGCUGAACUGAGAUCCCUUCGCCGAUCCCCUUCAACCAGAACCAAAAUCCUUUCCAAUUAGGUUAAACUGAGAUCCCUUCGUCGAUCCCCUUUAACCAUAACCAAGGUGUGUGUGGUUGGGCUGAACUGAGAUCCCUUCGCCGAUCCCCUUCAACCAGAACCAAAAUCCUUUCCAAUUAGGUUAAACUGAGAUCCCUUCGCCGAUCCCCUUUAACCAUAACCAAGGUGUGUGUGGUUGGGCUGAACUGAGAUCCCUUUGCCGAUCCCCUUCAACCAGAACCAAAAUCCUUUCCAAUUAGGUUAAACUGAGAUCCCUUCGUCGAUCCCCUUUAACCAUAACCAAGGAAUGUGUAGGGUUGGGUUAGACUGAGAUUCCUUUCGGCAAUCCCCUCUAACCAGAACCAAAAUCCUUUCCAAUUAGGUUAAACUGAGAUCCCUUCGCCGAUCCCCUUUAACCAUAACCAGGGAAUGUGUAUGGUUGGGCUGAACUGAGAUCCUUUCGUCGAUCCCCUUCAACCAGAACCAAAAUCCUUUCCAAUUAGGUUAAACUGAGAUCCCUUCGUCGAUCCCCUUUAACCAUAACCAAGGAAUGUGUAGGGUUGGGCUAGACUGAGAUUCCUUUCGGCAAUCCCCUCUAACCAAAACCAAAAUCCUUUCCAAUUAGGUUAAACUGAGAUCCCUUCGCCGAUCCCCUUUAACCAUAACCAAGGUGUGUGUGGUUGGGCUGAACUGAGAUCCCUUCGCCGAUCCCCUUCAACUAGAACCAAAAUCCUUUCCAAUUAGGUUAAACUUAGAUCCCUUCGUCGAUCCCCUUUAACCAUAACCAAGGUGUGUGUGGUUGGGCUGAACUGAGAUCCCUUCGCCGAUCCCCUUCAACCAGAACCAAAAUCCUUUCCAAUUAGGUUAAACUGAGAUCCCUUCGCCGAUCCCCUUUAACCAUAACCAAGGUGUGUGUGGUUGGGCUGAACUGAGAUCCCUUUGCCGAUCCCUCAACCAGAACCAAAAUCCUUUCCAAUUAGGUUAAACUGAGAUCCCUUCGUCGAUCCCCUUUAACCAUAACCAAGGAAUGUGUAGGGUUGGGUUAGACUGAGAUUCCUUUCGGCAAUCCCUCUAACCAGAACCAAAAUCCUUUCCAAUUAGGUUAAACUGAGAUCCCUUCGCCGAUCCCCUUUAACCAUAACCAGGGAAUGUGUAGGUUGGGCUGAACUGAGAUCCUUUCGUCGAUCCCCUUCAACCAGAACAAAAUCCUUUCCAAAUUAGGUAAAUUAGAUCCCUUCGUCGAUCCCUUUAACCAUAACCAAGGAAUGUGUAGGGUUGGGCUAGACUGAGAUUCCUUUCGGCAAUCCCCUCUAACCAAAACCAAAAUCCUUUCCAAUUAGGUUAAACUGAGAUCCCUUCGCCGAUCCCCUUUAACCAUAACCAAGGUGUGUGUGGUUGGGCUGAACUGAGAUCCCUUCGCCGAUCCCCUUCAACCAGAACCAAAAUCCUUUCCAAUUAGGUUAAACUGAGAUCCCUUCGUCGAUCCCCUUUAACCAUAACCAAGUGUGUGUGGUUGGGCUGAACUGAGAUCCCUUCGCCGAUCCCCUUCAACCAGAACCAAAAUCCUUUCUAAUUAGGUUAAACUGAGAUCCCUUCGCCGAUCCCCUUUAACCAUAACCAAGGUGUGUGUGGUUGGGCUGAACUGAGAUCCCUUCGCCGAUCCCCUUCAACCAGAACCAAAAUCCUUUCCAAUUAGGUUAAACUGAGAUCCCUUCGCCGAUCCCCUUUAACCAUAACCAAGGUGUGUGUGGUUGGGCUGAACUGAGAUCCCUUUGCCGAUCCCCUUCAACCAGAACCAAAAUCCUUUCCAAUUAGGUUAAACCUGAGAUCCCUUCGUCGAUCCCCUUUAACCAUAACCAAGGAAUGUGUAGGGUUGGGUUAGACUGAGAUUCCUUUCGGCAAUCCCCUCUAACCAGAACCAAAAUCCUUUCCAAUUAGGUUAAACUGAGAUCCCUUCGCCGAUCCCCUUUAACCAUAACCAGGGAAUGUGUAUGGUUGGGCUGAACUGAGAUCCUUUCGUCGAUCCCCUUCAACCAGAACCAAAAUCCUUUCCAAUUAGGUUAAACUGAGAUGCCUUCGUCGAUCCCCUUUAACUAUAACCAAAACGAAAAUGCAUGAGUGGUCUCAUUAUGAUGGGUGACCUACCCGAAUGGAAAAGAAAAAGGAGUGGUCUCAUUCUUAUGGGUGACCUACCCAGGGGGAAGAAUUCUUAGUAAACUCCAUGCUUUUUUAAGAAAUGGUUUCAAUAUGAGGUCCCUUCUGGCGACCUUCCUUGAUGAAUGUCGAAGUACGAGAUCCCUUCUGGUGAUCUCAAAUAACUUGGAAUCCCAUCGGGCGAUUCCUUUUACCAAAGCUGAAAUAUGAGGUCCCUUCUGGCGACCUUCAUCGAAAUACGAGAUCCCUUCUGGCGAUCUCACCAAACAACUUGGAAUCCCAUCUGGCGAUUCCUUUUAUACAAAACUGAAAUUUGAGGUCCCUUCUGGCGACCUCCAUCGAAAUACGAAAUACGAGAUCCCUUCUGGCGAUCUCAACAACUUGGAAUCCAUUGGCGAUUCCUUUUUACCGAAUGCUAUCGAUGUCGUUCUUCCUGCUGGCAGGGUUUGAAAACCAUUAUCUUCUCUUCUUGUUGUUCUAGAAUCAACUCAAUGAUUCUUUCUUCGUCCAUAAUCUUGUUGGAAUGCGCUAAGAUCUCCUCCUGUAACGAUCCAAAAAACAUAUAUGCAAUGAUUUAUGAUUAGAUGCAAUGCAUGCAUUCGUACCUGGUUUUGAAACAUAGGCCCCAUCCUCUUCUAGUUCAUGAGACUCCCUCUUAACAUGAACUUGCUUUUGAAGUCGUAUGCUGGAUUCAUCUCUCGUGUUGCCUAUCAUAUUCUUGGAGAAAAGUCUUUGACUUUCUUCAAGUAGUCCUUUUCUCAAAAUGUAUGACUUGUAUUUGCCUCUUUGUCAUGCUUUUGUCAAAUGCUUUAGCUUGGUUUUCAAAUCUAUAGGCUUCAUCCAAUUUUAAACACGUAAAACUUUUCAUAAAACAUCUCGUCUUGCCCCCAGUGUAGGGGUGCGAUAUUAGUCUGGGUUUUAUAUAGAGAAGAAUUCAUUCAGCCAGUGAUAAACUUUUUUAGUGAGUGAAGAUAAUGAUUUUUUUUUUUUCAAAAUGCACAUUGUUAUAUAAACUCUAUUCUUUAAAAGACAAUUACAGAUGAUUAUAAGACCACUUAAUCAUUUAUCAUUAUCAUCAAGGUUGUAUUUAGGGUUAGCUUUUCUUAAAUUUCAUAUUAAACCAUUUUAUGAUACUUUAUUUGUAACCACUCAAACUUGUUCAAAAAAUGCAUAAACUCAUCAUUUAUUUAAAGAAAAGGUAAGCUCAAACACAAAAAUGGCUGACAUCAUGAGCCUGAUUGCCCACUAGAGAAAAAAAAGCAAAGACAAAAGCAAAUGACAAAAACAUGCUAAGGCAAAUAAAGUUGUUUUACAUUUUGAAAACUACGAGAAGUUCUUGGGUCAACCCGUUCUGAAACUUCUUCUAGUGUGUGGAAAGUCAACCGAGGCAAUGCUUCAUCUUCCUUCCCCACUUGCGUUUCCUUGUCUUCUCCUUCGAUCUCGCCUUCUUCAUUAUUGACGAUUCUUGACCAAGGUUUUCCAACCUUUAUCCCCUAUCACUUUUGUCAUGACCAGGCAAUGGAUUUGAAUGAUAUUGGGUGUGUCUUCAAAUGACACCCAUCCUAUCUUGAUGAGCUUCAACAACUUGUUCUUGAAAGUAGCACGUUUCAAGACAAUGCCCGGGAAUACCAGCAUGGUACUCGCAAGUCAACUCGGGCUUAUACCAGAUGGGGAAUGGUGGCUGUAGUGGUAAUGUAGGGAUAGGAGCUAUUUGUCCAAUGCUCAGUAGUUUGGCAUAUAUGUCCUUCAGAGGCAUGGGUAAUGGCGGUAGUUGUUCUGAAAUGUAUCUUGUGUUUGGUCUUUGGUGGUUGUUUUGGGUGUUUGACUGAUUUGCUCGAUUAGGGGAAAAAGGUUUGUUAAAGUUUAUGUGGGCCACAUGAGAGGUAGGUAUUUGUGGGUUAUAUGAAUCUGUUAUCUUGUCAUUGGACCCACCUUCGAAGUUGUUAACGGGACCUUUCAUUUUUCUUCCGAAAAAACCCUUUGUCUCCAAUGGCUCAAUUAUGCGUCCAGCUUUAAUCCCUUGCUCUAUUCUUUCCGCUAUGCGUACAACAUCAUAGAAAUGUUGAGAUGAGCUACCCAUUAAAUGCUCAUAGUAGGGUGCCUUGAAUGUAUUGGCGAACAAAGUCACCAUCUCCGUUUCUAUCAAAGGGGGUUGCACAUGCAUGGCCUCGUCCCUCCAUCUUUGCGCAUAAGCCCUUACUGAUUCUUGGCUUCUCUUUUCCAUUGACAUAAGGCUUGUUCGAUCUGGAGCAAUUUCCAAAUUGAACUUGUAUUGCUUAAGGAAAGCCUCAACUAAAUCCUUCCAUUUCUUGAUCUUGGCAUUAUCCAGCCUCAUGUACCAACUUAGCGCCGACCCCGAUAGACUGUCUUGGAAAAAGUAGAUCAGUAACUUAUCGUCAUGAAUCACCUCAGCCAUCUUAUUGCAAUAAGAUCGAAGGUGAGUGUUUGGGCAUUCCAACCCAGUGUACUUUAUAAACUCCGGUAUCCUAAAUUUUUGGUACCGUGAUGUUUGGUACCAAGCAUAUUUCAGACGCUCGCAUGGGGUCAAACCAGUCAUUUCCCUCGACUGCUCUUAACCUUUCUUCCAAGGCUGAUAUCUUGUCAUCGUUCAUAAAACCAGUGGACCUAUUAUCGGAAGGCCCCUCUACAGUGAUGUGAGCUUGAGGGGGCUGAAUGGGAAUGGCAGUGCAAAGUGCUGCCCCGUCACUGAAUCUGCCCCCAAGUUCUGAGAUACCCCCGGGACAUGAACUGACGGUGCUCCUAUAGGUGGUUGGGUAGAUGUUCCCUCCCCGUUCUUGGCUCUUAAAAGUUGCUCAAGCAGAUUGGUCAGUCGAGAAACUUCAUUUUACGGAUUCCAAUUCACUGGUAGUGCGACUCUAGGAUGCUCUCUUCUUCUCCAUUCUUGAUCUGGACCGGGUUUGGUGGACUCUGGAUGUGGGACCUAUGUUUCACGAUCUGUAAUGCAUAUGAUAACAAAAUGCGUGAUGAAAAUGUGAUGCACAAGUGAUGAUGUAUAACAUUGCAAAAAGAUACAUAACCUAAGGACAAGCUCUAUUUAUUAAGUGAGAGUGGGUAGUUUUUUCUAUCUGUCUUGAAGGUCUCAUAUCUGCCCAGUGACGUUCUUCGUAAAGACAGUAUGGGGGCGUUGCAAGGAACAGUUAAGACACGUAUGCCCACCAUUACCAAACAGGCACUCAGAUAUGAGUUGGGUGUUUCACGCAUUUAAACCCUGACCAAUAGUCUUAGGGUAAAUCGCUAAUUCCCCACUUAACUUAAAGCUUGUGUGUGCUUCUCAAAAUAAAAGCAAGUGAUGCAUGAGAUAAUUUUAUACAAUGCAUAAAUAAUACGCGUAAAAUAAAAAACAAACAUGCAAAUAAACGGAAAGGCAUAUUAACAAUAAACACACGAAAACACAAACAAAUCAGACAAAAACAAAGCUUAGUCUACAAGGUCCCCAGCGGAGUCGCGGCGAAAAUAACAUAGUUUUUCCAUUUUCUUAAAUCUACAAUGUAAAUAUAUCUAUGUCUAUGGGGAUACAAGAAAAUAUUGUCUUUUAUUGGUAGAAAAUGGAAUGGGAGUCGCCACCUAGUAUUUUGGUCACUAGGAACCCUAACUGGUCUUAGAGAUCGGGUACGGGGACUGAUUGCGUAAAGGGAAGGUAUUAGCACCCCAAAUACGCCCUACCUAAGGUAAGCUGCAUUGUUUUAUUGUCUGAUAAAAUCUAAGAUAUUUUCAUGUUUUCCUAGUUGUUGGUCUGUCUAUGGUUCAAGAAAAAUCCUCCUCGGUAAGAAGGUCUUUAUCUUAUCGUGUAUAAUCCUAACCGUUCUAACGUCUUUACCAAAACUUUAUUAAUAAUAUUUAGGAAUAUGUUUUACGUAUAAAUUCGUAAUCCCAAAUACUAAAAAGAAAACAAAAAGAUUUUUUAGAAUUUUUUGAAAUAUUGGCCUAGUUCUCAUGGCUUGAAUAAACUAGUUAUUAAAGCCAAAAUGCAUGCUAAUACAUAUAUUGUUUUGAAAAUUUUCUUUGUUGUGUGAAAAUAUGAUGUUAUAAUAUUUAUAUAUAUAUAUAUUGGAGAGACUAGGCCGUAUGCAAGAAAACAAAACAUUUUUUUGGAAAAUAUUUGUUUUUUGAUGUUUUAACAAAAAUCAGGUAUUUUAAUACUGGGUUUGUAUUCUUACGGUAUAAAAAUACAAACCAAUAUUAAUCCCUUUUGACAAAAAUAUGCAGGAAAAUCAACAAUAUUUUCAAAGAUUUUUUCAGAAUAUAUUUUUUAAAGAAAAAAAUAUACAUAUAUAUAUAUAUACAUAUAUAAUAUAAUAUAUUAUAAUAUAUAAUAUAAUAAUACACACACACACAUAUAUAUGUAAUUCACGUCCUGCAUGAAUAGUAGGACGUGAAUUAUAUUUCACUCCUACUGUUCAUGCAGUGAACAGUAGGUAAGGAGGAAGAAGAAGAAGAAAAGGAGGAAAGGAAGAGGAAGGAGGAGGAAAGGAAGAGGGGCUCACUUGGCCGAAGGGGUUGUGGCUGCUGUGAUGAGGUGGUUCAGCCGGUGGUUGCAGCGGUGGAGUUGGAGGAAGACGGCGUCGGUUUCCUGUUGCAGAGGAAGAAAGAAGAAGAAGAAAAAUCUGCGGAAAUUGGGUGAAAAUGCUGGUUUUUGGCUGACUUUGGACCCAAAUUUUUCAACCCUCAGAUCAUCAAAUCCGACUCUAUUUAUAGGCUGUGGUAGAGGGAAAUCUUGUCUAUGUUGGGUAAAAAUUUCAGCCCUUGAUUCAGUUGGGAAGCAUCUCAACCGUUGGCUCAAAGUGUGCACCUCAAGCUGCCAAAUUUGGCAGCUCCAGGCUGUGAACUGCCCGAGGUGGCCACUUUGAGCCACUCAACAGAGCCGCUUCUAACUUUUUCGACCCGACCGGACCAUUCUCCGGGAUAAAGGGGUUUCAUGUGGACAUUUCUGUGCACGUUUUGUCGGAUUUGGAGGCCACACGAGCCGGAAAAUGCGUCUGGAAAGCAGCCACUCAGGCAGCUUUUUGAGGAAGAACGUGAACAGUAACAGGCGACGUGUCACCUGGUUUCCCUGCGCCGUUUUUAAAUUAGUCCUCCAGUUUUCAAUUUCUUCAAUUUGACCUCGGAUCAAUCCAAUACAGCCCCCCUAUUUACGCGCCUUUUCCAAAUUGGUCCCUAGAUUCGGAUUUUCUCAAUUAAGCCUCUAAUUGGCCAUUAAACUUCAAUAUUUAUGCAAUUAAGCCCCUGAUUUUACCUAAUAAAAUUCUAAAAAAUAUAUUUUGGCCCUAGAACUUAAAUUUCUUUCAAUUAAAGCCCAAAUUGACUUAAAAAUCAAUUUUUCUUGCAAUCAAAUCCCCUAUAAAAUCAAUUAAAAAUCCAAUUAAGUCCAUAAACAUCCAAAUUUGGGCUUUUCUCCUCAAAAAUUAAAAUUUCUUAUCCAUAAGGGCUCUUAUCAUUCAAGAAUAUAUUGUCAAAAAUCCAUCUUUGUAUUUUUAACCUCCUUGACUAAUUUUUCUGACCAUUUCUAACCUCCUUUGGCUAUUUAUUUUAUUUCAUUUAUUUGGGGACCCAAAAAUGGGUUACAACAAAUAUAUAUUAGAAUAUUUCAUGGACUGAACUGCUCUAUGAUUGUGCAUUUAUAGCCCAAUUAUUAUUAUUUUUUUCUUUUUCCUGUUAAUUGCAUUUUGGAAUUCAUUUGAUUUGACAUAAUUUGAACUGGAAGAAUGAAUUGGGUUGGCCUUCAUUUGUUCUGUUUUAAUGUGACUGAGAGCCUUAUUUUUUUAAAUGUAUUGUCACUCAUUUAGAUACUGACUAAGUAGAGUUUGCACUCAGAUUAACAUACAGUAUUCAUUCAUUCCAUUAAGCCUUAAUGGAGUAGUGAAUGAAUAAAAUGACUUUUAUUAUAUGUUCCUUGCCUGUGGUCCUCUACUACGUGGACGCUGAACUGGAGCAUUGGAGGUUCCCCCAUUGCUCCAUUGUUGGUAUAUUUGAGCAACUAUGAAACAUGAAGCUGGCCAAUAGGUGUCUAUAAGUAGUACAUAGAUUUUACAAUAGAAACAUGGUGCAAUCAGUGUUCUAUAUGCACGAUCAAAUUUGGGGCUUCACUGUACUACCUCAGAUACUGUCAAAAUAUGCUUCUUGGAAUUCGGAAGCUUAGAUCAUCGGUUAACAUGUCUGGUGUUGGUGCUUCAUGAAAUGAUGUUACCUUUUCUCUUUCUGAACGUUAUUUCCAGGUUGGAAAUUCAAGUAAUUAGUUCAAAUCGAUCCUAGAAGAUUGUUGUUACUCAAAUUUUGACCCACCUUUUUGAUAAAAUUUUUGAAAAAUCCAAAAAUAGUGAAAAACAACAAAAAUCCAAAAAAUAUGUUUUUAAUAUAUUUUGCAUCGUUUUUAGCAUUUUCAACGUCGUCUAAAAAAAACACAAAGAAUUUUAAUUUUCAAAGGUUUUUCGAACGCGUUCGACUUUUCACGCGUCAUUUUUAAAAUCAUUAAUUUUUCUCAUAGAAUUGACGUUGAUUUUGCUCGUUUUUAAAAAUACAAGAAAAAAAAAACAAGACAAAUCAAAAUUUACAAAAAAAGAAAGUUGAGGGACCAAUUUUGAUACCCGGACAACAUUUUACCUAUAAAUAUAGGUUGAAAACUCAAAAAAAGAAGAGGGGGGGUCAUUUGGUAAUUUUGAGGAGAGAGAACACAAACCAGAAACCCUAAGAGCCUAAUUGUUUCUCCCCUCACAAAAAGAAGCCGCCGGCCACCCCCCACUUCUUCUUCCUUAUUAGCCAAACAGCCUGCACCUCACGGAGGAUUUUUUUUUGACAGACUCCACCAAAGGUUCUGCUCCCUCACCAGCACAACCCUGGACCUGGCAUCUCCCUCAGCCUAAACAGACCCGCCGUCCCCUGUUCCCUUGAUUUUUUUUCUUCUCUCGCCCAAACCAGCCACCGCAGCUCUCCUCUUCCUUCUUUCUCCUACAACCCGAUCUUCCCACGUUUCCUCACAGGACGACCCUCCAUUUUGAUUUUUCUUCUUCUCCACCUGACCAAGCCGAAAGAGGAGCGGCCCGCCCUAGAUUGAUUUUCUUCUCCUUUCUCGGCCGACAACCAAGCCCCCCCUGGUUUUGAUUUUUGGCCGGCUGCGAGAGAAGCCUUCGGCUCUCGGACCCAUAGCCUCCCAGACCCGCACGGCCAGCCUCAUCCCCACCGUCCCGCUCCUCUCUCAGUCGACAACACAGGCGCCUCCACCACCGGCCACCCGAACCAGCGUCACUGACCGUUCCCCAGCUCUGUCCGACCUCUCUCUCAGCCAUCGUGGACAGACCACCUUCUCACUCUCCUCUCAGUCGGUCGUCGCCGAAGAAGCAACACACACAGACCGGCCUUUCUCCCCCAAGCCCCGACCGAGCGCCUUCCUCCUCCACAAACGUCGUCCCAUAUAAGUCGGGCCUCUGCCAGCAGAAGAAAAGAUGAAGAAAAGGAGGGCAGAUCUGCAGAUCUAAAAGAGGAGGCAGAGGAGCAAAAAUCUGAGAAAAUUAAGAAAGAAAUUGAAACCGAUUGUGUUGUGUGUAUUUCUAGUGUUGCAGGUGAAGGCGUUCCCCACUGCCGGCGUGGGAAGGCAGAGGGGAAGAAGACACUAGUCCCCUGGUUUUUUUUUGUUUUGUUUUUAGCGGCGGCGCGUGAGCCCACGCGCCGCCAGUGGUGGUGUCGCGUUGGGCGACGCGCCGCCACUGUUCCUGCGGGUGGCAGAAGGGCAAUGCUGCAAUUUCUGGAGUUUAGGGACUAUUUUAUAAAUUAUGUAAUGUAAUUUUUAUUUAGUUUAAUUUGUUGUUAUAAUUUGUAAUGUGAUGUAUAAAAAGAACAAAAAACAAUAAUGUAAAAGAAAAGAAAAGAAAAGAAAAGAAAGAGAAAAUGAUAAUAAAAAAGAAAAGAAAAGAAAUGUUUGUGUGUGCUUGUAUGUUUUUUUUAUGUAUGUUAUUGAAUAAAAAAAAAGGAAUUUAAUUUAUAUGCACAAAUAUCUAAAGGACAGAUAAAAAUCAUGUUGAAUUUUCCAUGGAAAUGUAGAACAUGUAUCUACAUAUAGUCUUGAAAAGUAAUAACUGAUUUAUCAAAGCCUUAGAAUUGAGCUAAAAUUUUAUUUUUAAUAUCACAUCAAGUCCACAAAGCUUGAAAGUGAAUGUGGCGUGUAUUUCUGUUUAUGAAUGUUUUUUUAUUAUGAUAAAAUUGCAAGAAUAAAGAAGAAUUUAAUAUUCUGAUUUGAUCACGGAUAAAGAAUUAUGAACUUACAUGUAAGUUGUAUUUUUUAAAAUUCGAUGAAAGAACAUAAUUUUUAAAACUUCUUUAACACAUCAAGUCCACAAAGCAGCUUACCUCAGGUAGGGUGCGUUAGGGGUGCUAAUACCUUCCCUAACCACAACCAGUCCCUUACCCGCGAUCUCUGACAAGACCAGUACAUCAAGUUUCUUAGUAGCCCUCAAUGAAUUACUAGGUGGCGACUCUAAAGAACCAAAUCAGCAAAAAAGAACGAAUAAUCGCCAGCCGAUGCCGUGCGUGGAUUUUUUCGACGUGCUACAAAGAUGAAUGGUGGCUUAGAAUGCUGUGAAAAAAUCAUUCCCUUGUUCAUUUUUCAAAUUAGAAAAGACAACUUUUUGCUUGAACUUUUAGAAUAUAAAAAAUCAUACUUUCAUAGCUAGACACUUUCCAUCUAUGAUCUUUAAAUCUGAAGACAUAACAUCUGGUUUAAUGAAAGUGCUAUUAACAUGCCAAACUUUAUUAGAUUGUUGUUGUGCACUUGGGAAGAAAUAAAAUACUUGUCCUCUAUUGUUUUCAAUAGCAUAAUCAGCUUCAUAGUUUUCUACGUUGUCUUUUUACUAGUAGUACCUUUGUGAAUGUCUGGGAUUUCUGUCUUUUGCAUCUAUACCAGCACUCUUUUACUUAGUGUCCACCUCAUUUUCAAGUUCAUAAGUAGGAGGAAAGAAUGUAAAAAUAUAGCCAUUUGUUUUCUGGUUUUUUGCUGGGACUUUUAUUUAAAAUUUGACACAAGUGUUUUAUAUAUAAACAUCUCGAUUUAAUUUUUUGUUUCCUAAUCGACGAGGAAUUCCACUCACAAGUAAUAUCUGUACAUUUUUUCUCAUGUUUGGUUAAGGCUAGGAAAGUGAAACAAAAAUCAUGUUAUGCAGUAUAAAAAGGUAAUGGAAGUGACUGGUUUCACCAUCACCGGUAAAGUGUCUGUAAUGACUGGCAUGGCCUAUGGGCUACAUUAUGCUUAGAUCCGUUAAAAUCAUGUAUGUAAUGACUGGCUAUGAAUGAAGUUUUUGUAAUUUAAAAAAAAAAAAAAAAAUUCUGUGAUGUCCAAAGUACACUUAUUAUGGGCAUGAGGAAGUGUUAAUUUACAUAGUUAACAUCUGGCCUUCCGCAUGUUUUUGCUUAUUUAUUGAAGUCACAAAGUUCUUUGUUCAUCUAUGGUGACACCUGUGUAGUUUAAAGUGGGGAAAUAUCAGAGUACAGUUAUUAUAGCAUAAUUUUGAGAUACUGUUUUAGGGAUUGAGAUUUUUAUUGGCUGAGAGCUCCAUAAGGUACUUGGAUGGUCAGCCAACAUCUGGCCUCUCCUGUUUUUCAAACUUCAAUGGUAAUGACCAUAGUUCAUUUUUCAAGGCUUUGAUUAUAUAAAUUUUUCCAGGUAGUCUUAUAUAGGACCUACUAUCUACUAUCAGACCACAUGUCAACUUGACUCUGUUUGUUCUUGCUGGUAUUAUUAUUUUGCCUGUUAAUUGCAUUUGUUUUUCUAUGCAAGAUGUUUUUCAAGCAAUUGCUAUCUAUUUGUAUGUCUGCGAUAUGCUAAGUUUGAGAAUUCCUUUCUUUUCUCCAUUCAGAGCGGUUGUGUGCAAAGGAUGAAUAGAUGUGAACCUGCUAUUGAUCAAUGGUAGAGAUUUGGUUCUGAAGGUGGCUUGAUCAAGUUAUCUUUGGAGUUGGCAUUUUCACACAGGCAGAAGAAAUUUUUCUUGUAUUCCCAACCCUGAUACAAUAUUGUUGGUCUAGUCUUUGGCAUUACCGCCACUGAGGAGCGAACCUCCUAUUGAAUCUGGAUUAGUUACAGAAUUUUAAAGACUUUUUAAUCCUCCUGAGAUUCUAAGCACCGAUUUACUCUCCCUAGGAACGCAAGUUAGGAUAAAUGAGUCAGUUAGAUGCUCCACUGGUAUAUCCAUUUUUCAUUUUGCAUAGCUAGUGUAUUCUUGUAGCAAAAUAUUUUAUCCGUUGCAAUUAUAUUGUGAUUUUUCCAUUUUGAACUCGAGAAAUUUUAGUGUAGUAUCUGGAAGACCACAGAGUUACGUGCUUCGGCAGAAACAGUUGUAUACCUGAAUGAAAUCUCUUGUCAAUAAUAAGGUUUGAUUACUCUUUGGAACUCAUUUACAGUACAUGGUUCUCUAGUCACAUGCAAAAGUUGCAGGUUGUUCAAAAAUGGUGGUUAUUUUGGUUUUGGUGAUUUAAGCACUUAUUACUGCAAUAUCAGCAAUGAGGAAAAGCAACUACUGAAAAUUGCUCUUAAUGGUGAAAGCAUUAUACAUCAGGUGUUAUUUGCAGCAGUUCGCAUCUGCUUGCAUAACUGUUAUUGGCAUCCAGCUUGGUGAUGUUGGAUUCUGUUGCAGCAAAACAGUUCUUGUGCUGGGAUUCUGAUGAAUCGCGGUGUGAUUUUUGUACUUAAUGUCAGAAGGUAAUGAACAAUUUCUACUUUCAUCCAUAUUGAUAUAUUCGUCUUAUUUCAGGGAGCAAUGAACAUAAGUGGAUAAUGAGAUUUGGGAUUCAUGCUUGGAAAUGUUCUCACGUUUUGGGUUCGAAAGAUUGAAACAAUUUCUACUUUCUCUUGUUUCAUUGAAGUGAUAAACUAACUGCAACAUUAAAGGUAGGUGUGUUUGAGAAUGUGAUAAUGAUUGUGUUUUAAAUUGUUUUUUAUUUAAAAAUAUAUUAAAAUAAUAUAUAUUUUUAAAAAAUAUUUUUGAUAUCAACACAUCAAAACGAUCUGAAAAAUAUAAAAAUAUAAUUUUAAGUAAUUUUUUUCUUUCAAGUUUUGGUGGAAUGUGGUUUGAACCACAUUUCUAAAUGGGGCCUAAGUAUUCUUAAACUUUAUUUUGAGUGAUUUAGUUUUAAUUAAAGAUCAAUUGAUUUUGAUUUUUUAUGAAAAAAUUUGAUUGAAAAAAGAGAGAUCUAAAUGAAAAAGGCGUCAAACAUGGUGAUAUGCUUUAAGUUUUGAAAAUGAUCUACUUUGAUCCUCAAAUUUUAAAAAACAGAAAUUAUAUAAUUUCGAUACCUUAAUAUUUUUCAAUUUAAUUUUGGUAUGAAAAUUUAUUUUUGUUAUUUUUUAGUUCUUGAUUGAGAGUGAAGAGAGAAGUCGUUAAAUUCCAACGAUAAAUAGAGAAUCAUGUCGUUGACAUUGAUUUAGGCUACUAAAAUGGAUGAUAUUUGUGUCAAAUAGUUCUUUUGAAUUGAGAGAGUUCAUAUUAGGUGUUUUUCUUAACUUGAAAGUUCGUUAAAAAACAAAUAUGAUCUCGGGUUGAUUUUUGAUUUCAGGUUCAUUAAUGUUUUUUCAAAGGGUUUUUUUUCUUUUUUUUAAGGCUAUGAAUAAGUUUAUCAUGGUUCUUAAUGUUUUUUAUAAGUGUUUUGGGAAAAAACUUAGGCCUUGAUUUUUCGACCACCACAGUGGUUAGAAUUUGGGCAAGAUCAGACGACGUGUUGUCUGUCUAAACAGGUGAUGUGUCAUCUGAUUUUUUUUUUAAAAAAAUAAGGGUGGACAACAUAUCAUUCGCUCUAAGAGUAACAAAAAAAAGGACUUAGACGAGCCCUAAUGAAAUGGGUCAUGCCCAGAAGCACUUGACCUUUUAUUUCCCUAUUGUUUUCAAUUAAUCCUUAUUUUUAUAUGUUUUUUUGUAAAAUAAAAAAUUAAUAACAUUUAGAUUAAUACCUCUUUUCUUUUUUUAUUUUGUUUAGAUGAACUAUAUUUUGGAAAAUAAAAAAUAUUUAUUUUCAAAUAAUAUUUCUAAUAUGUGUAGUAUAUAUGUGUGUGUAUUUUAUUCAAUCAAUUUAAUGUCGUUUGAAUAAAAAAACAUUGUAAUAAACAAAAUUUAGCAACAUAUAAUUAAGUAAAUGUCAUGUCUUGCAAGAUUAAAUAUCUUGAUCUACACAUGUCUCUUGAUUUUUCUAGUUUUAUUUUUAGAUAUCAUUAAUGGCUUUUUUUAUUUAUUCAUUAGCACACAUAGUUCUCAGCUUACUUGAUUACUUGUAUGCAUAAACUUUUUUAUCUACACUUUAAUAUUUUGAAUUAUAGAAAUGCGUUGAAAAAACCUGCAUAUAUAAUGUUUUUAUAAAAAAUAAAAAUAUCUGACAUGCAAAGGAGCACAAGUCAUAUAACUACUAGUAGUACUAAAUUCAAGUUAUAAAAAAUAACAUAUAGCACAAGUAAAUUGCAUAGAUAAGACAUCAAUGACACAAACCCCUCCAUUUAUAGAUAAUGGAGCGUCAAUUCUUAAGUUUAGGGAGACACAUGGUGGCCGUAUAAGUCUAUAUUGGAUUCAAGCAAUCUGAUUCAUUCUUCAUAGUUAAUGUAUCUAGUGACUUGACAUGAAAAGCCUAAAGAGUUGGUAACUAAUAGUAGGUGAUGUAUGGUAAGCAAGGUGACCAAUAGUUGGUACUUGUAAAAGGUCCUCUUUGAUGGAUGUGGGGAUUCUCCGAUAGUAAAGUUAGUAACUUUAUAGAAAGAGAAGGUGCAAUAAUAUUUUAGAGAGAGAUACUCUGAAAAUAUAUACAUAGUAGAGAAUGAAGGAUUUAUGGUGUAUUUCUAGCUCAUGAAUCUUAUCUUUUUUGUGAAGAGGAGAGACUAAAGUGUAUUUUAACAUUAUGAUAUUUUGAGUUGUAUUCUACUUAAAAUAAUAUGUAUUUGAUCAAUAUAAAAUAGCCCGAGCUCGUGUUUCUUAGGUGUUUUCUGAUUUUGUUUUUUAUUUAGAGGAUUUUUUUUGGAUCAAUUUUGGAGAAUUUUUUAGAUUUAUUUUAUUUGUAUCCAUCAUAUUCUAUUAUCAAUUUAAAAAUUCCGAAGAUAUAGAUUAAGAAUAUAUUUUGUAUAUAACUUCCUCAUUUUCCAUUCGUAACCCAAUAACACAUCUUGAAACACUAAACUAAGGUGAACCUUCAAAUAGGAAACUAAAUUUUAUUGAAAGUUUACCCCUUUCACAAUAUCUGACACUAAACAAUGAAUAGCUUCAACAAGGAGGAUUUUUUAGGAAAAUUUAUUUAUUUUUAAUGUUUUUUCUAUUUAGUGUAAGAAGUUAAAUUUUUAUUUUUCCUAGUUUAUUUAGAAUUUUUAUUACUUUUUUUUUUCUUCAAGUUUUCUAGUUUGUUUAGGUUAGUUUUUAAGUUUAUUUAAGAAGCUGUAAACUUUUUAGUGAGGAAGACUAUAUGAACAUAAAAUAUUCAGUAAUAAAAUUAUAAAUUAGAAUUUUGUGAGAUAAUUUUAUUUGGCUUCAAUCAUGUCUUUAUAGCUUAUUGUAUUUUUUUGUUUUUAUUUUUGUUUUUUGUUAGUUGAUAUUAGAGUCCAACGAUACCAAUGGUUAUUUUCUUGCUAUGUGCUUAAAUAACCAUGACUAGAAGAUGUAGUAAAAUAAGACAUGCUCGUAUAGAAAAGGAUGAAAAGGUUUUUCUUGAGAAAGAGAUGUUUAAACGAUGGUGAUAGAAAAUAUGUAAAAACAAAUUGCAAAAUUGAAAAGAGAUUUUGAUAUGAUAUAAGACAUGCAUAAAAAAUUGCAAUAUUAACCCCUUAGUUGGCGGAGGUAAGGAGCCUAGAGUAUCUUGAGAAAAGUUACCAUGGAUUUAUAGUUAAUUUUGAGAAUUUGUUUCAAAGAUGUAAGUAAAGAAAAUAACUUCUUGAUUGGGAUGAAUAUGACAUUAAAAUUAAAUGUUUUGAUAAUUCUAGUUUCUUUGUGGACUAGAAUCAAAUACUAAAAUUUGACUAGGAUGAUGAAAAUGACGGCAAAGAAAAAGAUUUAAAUGCAAGUUUUUUUAAUUGGUGAUCUCCAUGAGAAGAUAUCAAAAUUAGAUGUGGUUAUGAAGCAUACCGUGAAGGAUGUGUGUUCAAGAAAAUUUUUAGAAUUAAUGAGGUGAAAGCUGAUGCUAUUGCAAUUCAGCUCAUGCAAGACUUCCAAGUCGUUGGCAGUAUCCAAUUCCAAUAUUAUAGACUUCAUCAAAGGUAGUUUACGAAGAAAGUACCCAUGAGACAUGAUUAUAAUAAAAAGUCGUUGUCGGCAGGGGUGGAGCUAGAAUUAUUUGUUAGGGGACUAUAAUUAAUAUAAUAAAAUAUAAUAUUUAUUUUACUUUAUUGUACAUGAGUUGUAAAAAAACCUGUAUAAUUUAGUUUUAUUCAAAGAACUUACUAUAAACAUAUAAUUAUCUUUGUAUGAGGUAAAAGGUUUGAAGAAAUACCAAUUGAGUCAAAGCAACGAAGUUAAUUUUAUCUUCAUAAUAUAUUCAUCACUUUAAUGUUAGUCUUUAUAUCUAUCAAAUAUAAACAUACAAAGUAUAUAAGAAACAUUAGCUAAAACGAAGUAUUAUUUAUGUUUGAUAAACUUUGAAAUAAAGCAAAAAAUAAUAAAGAACUAUUCUCACUAAUCAAUGCGGGUUUUUUGUAAACUGAGGCGCAUUGGAGUUGCUCAAUCAUAACUUUAACAUUACACAUUGGAGUUGGUUCACUAGGCUGCGAGUUAUCAAUCACCACCAGAAAUUCGCUAAAUACCAACGGACAUACCGACGGAAUUUUUUCUGUCGGUAUUUUUCGGCCGAAAUCACCGACGGACAAUAUUCGUCGGUAAUUAGGUCGGUAAUUACUGACCGAAAAUUCAGAAUUAAUGAAAAAAGGGCGGGCAGGUGGCGCGGAGGUUUUGGCGGGUGAUUUUUCCGACGGAAUUAAAAACUGGGGCCCGUACGCGUGAUGAGACCUGUUCACCGUCAAAAAAUACCGACGGAAUCACCGACGGAUUUGAAAUGCCAGAUCCGUACCGGUGACGUGACCGGUGCACCGUUAAAAAUACCGACGGAAUCACCGAGGGAUUUGAAUAGCAGGUCUGUGCGGUGACGUGUCGAUUGCCCAUCAGAAUUAUCGACGAUUUGGCAGACGGAGUCACCGACGGAAUCCAAACCGUCGGUAAGUCCGUCGGCAAAAGUGAAUAUAUGGCUAACCCCCCCCAUCUGCAAAAUAACCAGCCCCCCCUCGCCCCAAAACAAAAAUCUUCCUCAUCUCAGCACAACAAGUUGUAUUUCUUGAAGUUUUGUGGUCACAGCAUCCGUGUUCUGAUUUAUCGAUGGAUUUUAUUAUUUUUUGUAAGUAAUUCUAUCUUUUAAAAUUUUAACAUUUAAAUGUCAAUUUUAUUGUUUUUUUAGUAUAUGUAUUUUUUUUUUUAGUAGAUGUACAUGUUUUAUUGUUAUUUCUCAAACAAACUUGUAGUAUAUGAAUGUAUAAUUUUAUACUUGUUAUGGUUUGUUUUAGAUUUUGUAAGAUUGUAUUUGUUUGAAAAUUGUUAAAACUUAAUUUGUAGAAUUACCGAAUUACAUGUUAUGUUUUGAAAUAAUUAAGAGCUUGCUUAAUUAAUGGGUCCUUUUUAUAGAGGUUCGAUAGAAGUCAUGGAUGAUCGUUCAUGGAUGUAUCUAGAUUCACCCUAAGGAUUGCGGAGGAUGGAUUAUUGUAACGGGGUUCAGGGUUUUAUUAAUUUCGCAACAUCUAUUCCCAUAAAUUUUACUGGAGGCGGUAUUAGGUGUCCAUGCAGGAAGUGUCAAAAUAAAAAGUAUCUGCAUCCAGAUGUUGUAAUGAUGCAUCUUCUACACAAAUGGUUUGUGGAGGAUUACGAGUGUUGGUAUGCACAUGUAGAGGUAUUUGUUAGUAAUAGGAGAAUGGGAGAAACAGUGGUUGGGUCAACUUCUAGUGCUAGCAACGUGCAUGAAGCGGCAAAUGACAACACUAAUCCUUACAGAAACAUGGUUAUGGAUGCAAUGAGAAUGAAUCAAGAUAAUGUCAAUCAAUGUCCAAUCGUAGAAGAAGAACCAAUGCAGAGGCAGCUAGGUUUUUUGAUUUGUUGAAAGAUUCUGACGAACCAUUAUGGGAUGGCUGCACAAACCACAGUAAAUUAUCGGUUGUGGCACAGGUGUUCACCAUCAAGUCAGAUCACGGGUUGAGUGAGGCCGGGUAUGACAAAAUUAUUGAUUGGGCAAGAAGCAUUUUACCAGAAGGGAACAGGCUCAAAGAGAACUUCUAUGCUGCGAAGUCCAUGAUGAAACCCCUCGGUUUAGGAUACCAGAAAAUUGACAUGUGCCCUAACUUCUGCAUGUUAUACUACCUUGAAAAUGUUGUGAUGACCGAGUGCAUGACAUGGUGGCAUAUAAAAAACUUAGAUAUUUCCCGAUCACACCUAGACUGCAGAGGUUAUUUAUGUCACCAAGGACUACUGAGCACAUGACAUGGCACCAAACACACGAUGUCGUUGAUGGUGUGAUGGUGCAUCCUUCUGACGGCGAAGCAUGGAAACGCUUUAACAGUGUUCAUCCUGACUUUUCUGCUGAAUCAAGGAAUGUUCGACUUGGGUUGUGUACAGACGGGUUCAACCCAUUUGGGUCAUUUGCUGCUCCCUAUUCUUGUUGGCCGGUCAUUCUCACAGUUUAUAACUUGCCACCGGGAAUGUGUAUGAGGCCGGAGUUCAUGUUUCUAUCUACUGUCAUACCCGGUCCAAGCAGCCCGGGGCGGAAUAUAGAUGUUUGUCUUCGACCGUUGAUAGAUGAGCUGGCGCAGUUGUGGUCCUCCGGAUCUCUGACUUAUGAUAUAUCGAGGAAACAAAAUUUCCUUAUGAGGGCGGCUUUGAUGUGGACUAUCAGUGAUUUUCCAGCUUAUGGAAUGCUUUCUGGUUGGAGCACGCAUGGGAAACUCGCAUGUCCAUACUGCAUGGAAAACAACAAGGCAUUCACGCUAGCAAACGGAGGUAAAGCUUCUUUUUUUGACUGUCACCGUCGCUUCUUGCCACUUAAUCACAGGUUCAGAAAGAACAGAAAAGAUUUCUUUGUUGGUAGAGUUGAAAAAGAUGUUGCAUCCCCGCGUCUUUCUGGUGAAGAAUUGCAUCAUGUUGUAUCAGAGUACGGUGACAUUGUGUUUGGCCUUCAAUCAGGUAAGCAAAAGUUUCCUGGUUUUGGUUUGACCCAUAAUUGGGUAAAGCGAAGUAUCUUUUGGGAGCUUCCGUAUUGGAAGACUAAUCUUCUCCGCCAUAACCUUGACGUCAUGCACAUCGAAAAGAACGUGUUUGAGAAUAUUUUCAACACCGUCAUGGAUGUGAAGGGGAAGACAAAGGACAACAUGAAGGCUAGAUUGGAUAUAGCUUUAUACUGUAACCGUAAAAAUAUGGAGUUGGUUUAUGACGAGUCACGGGUUGCAAAACCAAGGGCAAGCUUCGUGUUAGAGAAAAACGCACAACUGCUAGUCUACAAAUGGCUUAAGAGUCUGCGUUUCCCGGAUGGACAUGCAUCGAACAUAUCAAGGCUUGUUAACAUAGAGGACUGCAGAUUGUAUGGAAUGAAGAGCCAUGACUGCCACGUGUUUAUGCAAACACUCAUCCCAUUAGCUUUUCGUGAUUUGUUGCCAAAGGGAAUAUGGGAUGCACUAACGGAGAUCAGUCAUUUCUUCAGAGAUAUAUGCUCCAGCAAGAUGAAUGUUGAGCACAUUGAGAUGCUUCAAACGAAUAUCAUCGAGACACUAUGCAAACUUGAGAUGAUAUUCCCUCCUUCAUUUUUUGACUCAAUGGAGCAUCUCCCUAUACAUCUACCGUUCGAGGCAAAAGCUGGAGGACCGGUCCAGUAUAGAUGGAUGUACCCAUUCGAACGGUGAGAUAUUACAGUUGCAAUGGAAUUCAUAUCUUAAAGUAUUUUCUAUGUUUUUCUUAUUUGAAAAUACUUGAAUUGUACUUCAAUGCAGGUACUUGUUUAAUCUAAAAAAAAAGGUUAAGAACAAGGCGCAUGUUGAGGCUUCGAUAUCUGAGGCCUAUAUUGUUGAAGAGAUAUCAACAUUUAUCUCGUACUAUUUCGAACCUCAUCUGAGAACAAGAAUCAAUCGCGUUCCACGGCAUGACGAUGGCGGUGAAGUGCCUUCCAGUGGGAACUUGUCAAUAUUCUCCAAUACUGGACGACCCACACCUAAAAAUGCCGUAAGAGGAAGAUAUUUGUCGGAAAUAGAAUUCAAACAAGCACACAACUAUGUUCUAUUUAACUGUGAUGAGCUGAGACCAUUUAUUCAGUAAGUCUAUAUAUGUGUAAUACUAAUUAAACUUUGUCAGUAAUAUACUGUUAAUUAUAUAUUGUAAUAUCAUACACUCAUUAUCACUUGCAGGCAACAUCGACAAUAUUUGCUCUCCAAUAACUCGCAGCUGACCGAAUCCCAGAUCUUUCAAUUACAAGAUGAACAAUUUGCCACAUGGUUCAGAACACAUGUAAGCACUAUCACAAACUCAUUCUAACGUAUGCAUGUCAUUACGAGAUUCUCGUUCAUUUACCGUGUAUUGAUGUACAUUUAAUUACAUAUAUUUACAAGGUUUAUCAAAUGGGAAGGAGUGCGCCCAAGUCAUUGUCUUCACUAAGCCUCGGCCCUGAAAGAAAAGUUAAGUGCUACAACGGGUAUUUUGUCAAUGGAUAUGUUUUCCAUACUGAAGAAUACGGGCAAGGAAGAAAGACAUACAACUGCGGUGUUUGUGUUAAGGGAUCCACAAGUAGCCAGUUAGAAGUUGACUACUAUGGUAGAUUAGAAGAGGUCGUCGAACUGCAAUAUCAUAGCGAGCAGAAUAAAGUGUUUUUAUUCAAAUGCUAUUGGUAUGACACGACGGACAGAGGAAUCAGAGUUGAUCCGCACCAUGGUCUGGUCGAAAUCAACUCAAAAGCUAGACUCCGCAACAUAAACGAUGUCUUUGUUUUCGCAAAGCAAUGUCAACAAGUUUAUUACACAUACACCCCUUCAUUUAGAAAGGAUCGUUCAAGAGUUGAUUGGUUGUCCGUUUUAAAAACGAAACCACGGGGUCGUGUCGAGGUUGUUCAGGAUGAGAACGAAGACACAAGUGUGCGAGAUGAAGUCUUUCAAGUUCGUGAGUUGGUUGAACCAUAUCGAGUUGCUCCUUCGAUUGAAUUGGAAGAAAAUUCAAAUUUUCGAGUUCUCGAUGAUAGUCUUGUUGAUAUUGACGGAGAGGAGUUGAAUGUUGUUCUCAGCUCUAGCGGACAAGCAAAUGUCGAUGAAGAAGAUGAUAUCCAUAUUGAAGAUUGCGAUGAAGAUGAUGACAAUUCAAUUGAUGAGGAAGAAGAAGAAAAUUCCGACUAAUUAUGAAAAUGAAGCCCUAUGUAAAAACAUUUGUCUCAUGUAAUUUAGAUUAUUGAUGAUGUAUUUUGUAAAACAAAAUAUUUAUUGUUUAAGCAAUGUGGUUAUUGUUUUAUGUGAUGGAGUUUAUCAGUUAAGUUUUGCAGGAAGGUAAACAGGCAAUACAAAGACAACCUUUCCUGCAUAAUGCAAAUCACCGACGUCCAUACCGACGGACACCAUCCGUCGGUAUCUCACAGAGAGUUCGAAAAUAUUUACAACAAAAUGCCACAAUCACCGACGUCCAUACCGACGGACAACCAUCCGUCGGUAUCUCACAGAGAGUUCGAAAAUAUUUACAACAAAAUGCCACAAUCACCGACGUCCAUACCGACGGAAACCAUCCGUCGGUAUCUCACAGAGAGUUCGAAAAUAUUUACAACAAAAUGCCACAAUCACCGACGUAUACCGACGGAAACCAUCCGUCGGUAUCUCACAGAGCUCGAAAAUAUUUAACAAACCACCACAUCGACGAUUACCGACGGCUAGGUCCGUCGGUAAUUUGUCGGUCACAUAUUACCGACAGAAAUACCGACGGACCGCGCGAUUUCCAAAGUGUGUUAAUUAAUGCGCCUCUGAACUUGUCAGAUUACCGACGGAAUCACCGACGGACUGCGAAAAUAUGGAGGGCUUUUAAAAAUUCGGGGCGAAAUUCAAAAAUACCGACGGAUUUUUGACCUGUUACCGACGGAAUUUUACCUUUUACCGACGGAUAUUAAUUCCGUCGGUGAUUCCGUCGGUAAAAUUGCCUAUAAGUUCCAGCCCCGCCGCUUCGCCUCAUUUUUUCUUCUCUCCCCGCCGCUUCGCUUCUCCUCCUUUUUCACCUCAGAUUUUUCAUUUUUUCCCCUCAAUCCUUAAACACUUUCACCUUUAAUCUCUAGCAAGAUUUGGUGUUGUAAAUCUUCAUCAUAUUAAAAGGUAUGUGUUUUUUUUAAUUUAUUUUAUUUUAUUUUAUUUUUAGUUGUUUUUAUUUUUGUUGUUUUGGUGUUUUUUGUUGCAAUGUAGAUAAAGUUUUGAAUUUGACACAUUAUUAAGGUAUGUAUAUUUCGUUCCUUUUUGAUGUAGGUUUUUAAUUUUUUAAUUUUUUGUUGUUGUGUUGUUAGAAUUGUUAUUAGUUAAUUUAACUUAGAAUUAGUUAAAGUUGAAUAUUUGAAUUUUUUUGAAUUUUUUGAAUUUGUUGAAUAUUUGUUAAUUUAAUUGUUAGUCUAAUAUUUUUUUUAAUUAUUGAAUAUUUUUGUUGUUUGUUGUUAGAAUUGUUAUUAGUUAAUUUAACUUAGAAUUAGUUAAAGUUGAAUAUUUGAAUUUUUUUGAAUUUGUUGAAUAUUUGUUAAUUUAAUUUUAAUCUAUAUUUUUUUUUAAUUUAUUGAAUAUAAUUUAUUGUUGUAUUGCCAUAUAAUUAUUGAUUAAUUUAUUGAAUUAAUAUUGUUAAUGUUGAAUUUACCUUAGAAUUAAUAAUUGCGUUUGUUGGAAUAAUUAUCGAUUUCAAUUUAAUUUAUUUACUUUUAAUUUAUUUUUAGUUGUUUUAUUUUUGUUAUUUUGUUGUUUUGGUGUUUUUUUUGAUAAUGUAGAUAAAGUUUUGAAUUUGUCACAUUAUUAAGGUAUGUAUAUUUCGUUCCUUUUAUUCAUGUAGGUUUUUUUUUUGAAUUUUUUGAAUAUUUUUUAUUGUUUUGUUGUCAUAAUUAUAAUGAUUAAUUUGUUUAAUUAUAAUUGUUAAUGUUGAAUUGUAAUGAUUAAUUUGUUGAAUUAUAAUUUGUUGAAUUUAUUGAAUUUAUUUUUUGUCAUAUUUUUUUAUUGUUUUGAAUAUAAUUAUUGAUUAAUUUGUUGAAUUAUAAUUGUUAAUGUUGAAUUAAAAUGAUUAAUUUGUUGAAUUAUAAUUUGUUGAAUUUAUUGAAUUUAUUUUUUGUCAUAUUUUUUAUUGUUUUGAAUAUAAUUAUUGAUUAAUUUGUUGAAUUAUAAUUGUUAAUGUUGAAUUAAAAUGAUUAAUUUGUUGAAUUUAUUGAAUUUAUUUUUUGUCAUAUUUUUUAUUGUUUUGAAUAUAAUUAUUGAUUAAUUUGUGAAUUGUAAUUGUUAACGUUGAAUUUAUCUUAGGAUUAAUAGUUGAAUAUGUUGGAAUAAUUAGUAUAGAUUGGUUCGAUUGGUUGUGGCUAUUGUUAACAUUUGCAGGUUUGUGGAUUUGGGUAGUAUCCAGUAUAGGGGAGGUGCUGCCGAUUUUUUUUAACUUUUGAAUUUUAUUAUACAAUUAUUAAUAUAAAAUUGUUUAGAUGCGCAAAAUGAAAACCAGAGUUGGUCGUCCAGUCGAAUCAAGUUCGUCUAGCAGCGAUGAUGAUGUUUCCUUAGGUGCCUCUCAAGAAGAGGCACCUACACCACCUGCGCCGUCAACCGAUGCUGCCUCUUCCAGCGAUGUUUCACAUCGCAGACGCGGCGUGCCUUCGAAGCGGAAUCAAUUUACCCGCCAGUACGAGGCACAGUGGAAGGACGAUCUUUCAAUUUAAGUUUGUUAAGGUUUUAGUUUUUUUUAUAUAUAUAAAAAACAAAUUUAAAACAUAAUUUAUGAAGUAAUCACAAAUUAAUUUCAUUUCUUUUCAGGUUCACAAACAUUGAGGCCGCCCGAGUAAUAUCAUCGGCGUUUAAAGCGUCGAUGGAGAUUCCAUUGUUUCAAUGGAGUCAGAUAUCCAGACAUCCUGAAUGGAUGCCUCAAAUCAAUGCAUGGUUUCGUAGAUUUGAGGUUCAUGUUAAUAUAUAAUUUUCAGCUUAUUUCUAAUAAAUUCAAGUUAUAAUUGUAAAUAAAUUAUUAACAUUUUAAAAAAUUAUUUUUUUACAUACAGCAUCGAUUCUGCUAGGACGAUGAACAUGACACUAUUGUGAGGAGGGUGCGGCAAUUAGGUAACAUCGAAAACAAUACGACUUUUUUUUACAUAAUUAUUUAUGUUUCGAAAUGUAAUUUUUUCGUGCGUGAAUUAGGUUGCGUGAUUUUUGGUAUGACACCCAGAAAAAAGCAAAAAAAACAGCGAGGGAUAAGGGGUUCCAAGGCUGGAACGAUGUUGCGGUUUGGAGGGAUUUCAAACCAAUAUACAUCCCGGAAGAUAUAUGGCCAUACUAUCUUCAGCACGUGACGUCUGAGCGGUUCACUCGACGCUCACAGUCCGGUGCUGGCAACCGGAAUCGGCCAAUUCAUGGCUCGGUGACAACGCACACCGGCGGCUUCGUUCUGUUUUCUGCACAUGCGAAACGAAUGGUAAGAUUAACUUAAAUGAAAUAUAUCAUUCAAUUAAUUUGUUGUUAAUACAUUUUUUUCAUUAUAGGCUACGUCUCUUGGACGUGAGCCGAGCCCUAUAGAGCUGUUUGUGGAGACGCACGUGCGAAGUCAUGACCGCCAAAAGGGGACGCAACAGUUCGUUGAUAACCGUGCUCAACAUUUUGUAGUAUGUUUGUUCAACCAUUUUAUUUUGUUUUGUAAGUUAUUAUUAUGUUUAUUGAAUUGAAUAUGAUGAUUUUUUUUCAGGAGACCUAUAAUAAUCGGUUGAGGGAGAGAUACGGGGACGAUCCAUCGACCCAUCCGAAAUUCGAUCCGGAUUUGUGGAUGGAGGCUGGAUCGUCAGGUGGACCCGAUAAAAAUCGGGUUUACGGGCUCUCCAACACUACCGCGACCAACUUGUGGUCGACCGGUACUGCUUCAACCGCUGGGAGCUCCCAAUCUGUAUCGAGCUCCCAAUCUAAGGAGUUUGUGGCCUUGCAGCAAAGGUGCGACCACCUAUCAGAGGCAUACACACAACUCAAAGAAGAGCAAAGAUUGGCGAACGAACAACACAGAGCAGAGUCUGAACAACAAAGAGCGGCCUAUGAAGAGCUUCCACAAAUGGUCAUGAACAUGACACAAGGUGGAACAUGUGCGCCUAAUCCUUUUUGGCCGCCUAACCCCCAUCCUCCUCCUCCUCCUCCUCCUCCACCUUUAUAUUAAUUUUUAAUUAACAUUAUUUACAUUUAAAAAUUUGUUUAAUGUUUUUUUGAAACACAUUCAUUUUGUAAUGAAUAUUAUUUCACUUUGAGUUUUUGUUGCUUAAUAUAAAUUUUAUUUGCAUAAUUGGUUUGUAUUACCAUUAAUUUAUAUCAUUUUUUCAAAAUAAUUAAAAAAAAAUUAAAAAAAAAAAUUACACAGGGAUUUACCGACGGAAUAACUCCGUCGGCAUUAGACAGUGUCCGUCACCGUCACUGACCAUCACUGACGGAACAAAUCUGUCGGUAUAAAUUUCCCGAUGUAUUUACCGACGGAAAUAUUCCGUCGGUAUAUUUAUAACACCUACGGAAAAUAUUCCGUCGGUAUAUUCCAAGCGGGAAACUUUUUUUUUUGGCGCGCACGGUCCGUCGGUAAAAGUUUUUUUUGUAUUUCUGACCGAUAUAGCGACGGAAUGUGGAAUCACCGACAAAAGGUAUUCCGACGGGAGUAUUCCGUCGGUAAUAUAGUCGGUAAAUGCUUUACCGACGAAAUUUCUAUCACACACCGACGAAAUAUUUCCGUCGGUAAAACUGUGAAAUCUUGUAGUGAAUAUUUUUUUUGAAAAAAAAAAUGAAAUUCUUCUUAUUUUGUUCAUGGUUCAACCUAAAAUCAAAACAUAUAUCAUGAGAAAAAAUUGAUAAUUUUGGUGAUUCUGUUAAAAACAAAACAUAAAAAAAUCAAAGUAUAAUCAAAACAAACCAAUGAAAUAUAUCUAAUUAAUUAAAAAAAAAACACUAUAACAAGAAUUCAAAAAACAAUUGGUAAAAUUAGCAGAUCUAAGAAAAAAAUAAAGCAAUUAUUAACAAAAACAUCUCAAAAAAAAAAAAUAUAAAAUAUUAACAAACAUCUCAAAAUAAAUUAAAUUAAGUUACCUUAUUUUGUUUAAUGAAAAUAAAUUAAUUGAUGGCUCUAUUUCAAUUUUUUCGUUGAAAAAUUUUACUUAUGAUUUAUAUUUAUAUUUUUGUUUUUGACCGGCUGCAAAAUUUAUUGUGGAAAAUAAUGAAUUUAUAUUUACAGGAUUUAUAUUAGGGUAUGUAAAUUAAUUUUUUUAAAUCAAAUUAAAAAAUCACACUUAAUUACAGUAAAAAACUUUUGUAGAAUAAAAAACCUCAUCCACACUUAAUUACUAAUCUAUACGUCUCUUUCCCUUCUCUCUAUCACUCUUGCCUGCAACAACUGUUAACACGAGACUUGAAAUUCAAGUCAAGUGGUGUCCAUCAUCCCAUUUUUCCAAGGGCGGUACCCUAAAGACGUGAUUAUAAUAAAAAGUCUAUAUUUCCUGAAAAAUAGAAAAGAAAAACACUACAAAGCUGAGAAAGGCAGACAACAUCGAUUGUCAAAAUCUGAAGGAUACUCAAAUGAGUUUCGGAAAUAUUGAGGAGGGUGCAGGAAAACCUGAAAAUGUACGAGAGAACACAACCCCAUCACGGGUUGCUGUAAUGUGAUAGAAUUAUGGAAUGAAAAACAGAUUGGAAUGAGCAAUAACUAUUACUUGAUUUUUCUAUUUUCUGGUUGUGUAAUUAUCAAUCUGUAAGUGUUUGUUUGGAAUGCUAGGAAUAGCAAUCUAAUGCAUGAGAAUAGCGCAGAGCAGCUCAAAAUCUAAUUAAAUUUAUGUUUAGUGGAGACUAUGAAUGAUAAGGUAUAUCUGGGGGCACUGUAUGUGUCUGGAUCUGAUUUUUCACAGAAAAUUCGACUGAGGAAAAUCAAUAUCUAUGAGCAAUGCAAACCCUUAAUAGUCUGAAUUAAUGUGUUUCUACACCAUCUGUUUCUUGGGACUGACCGCAUGCUAACCUUAAGUUUGCAUAACAUCAAGCUACAACAAUAUAAUGGAUAUAUGCAAAACACAAGCUCAGGAUUCUACAGUGGCACCAGUUCCACUUAUAACAAAUUGAAGCUACUGUUUAUAUAUAUAGACAUGAUCUAAUGCUAGCAAGCUGCGAAUCAUAUAUUUUAAGCAGUCCACAUUGAGAAAUGAUUUCAAUCUCAUCUUGCCUUUGGGUCAAUUAUUUCAGAAAACACACCCCUUGCUCUUUGAUCUGGAUCACUUUGGGUGACACUUUCACGAGUGCUAACAGUGCUCCUUGAAUGUGACUCCGCUCCACUAAACAUGUCAUCGUCAUCAGUGGUCAUGACAUCUUGAUGUGGUGAAAAUGAGCUUUUAUUUUCCAUAUUGAUCCCGUCUACACUGUUGGCAUUUUUCUCAGCAGAUUGUUGAAGCUGCAAUGCAAAUUCAAGGCCCCAAACGACAUCACCCAUUUUAGGGCGUUCAAUUCCUGAAACAUGUAAGCAACUGUUAGCAAUCUCUGCAAACUUAUUUAAAGAGACAGGGGAAACCUCGCCCUUUAAAUGUGGAUCCACGAUCUGAUCAAGGGUUCCUCUUUGGUAACACUUUCUUGCCCAGUCAGCUAAGCUUGCUUGAUCUUUCGGUGAACUUGGAAUCACUGGUGGCCUUGCACAUAGCACCUCAAACAAAACCACACCGAAUGAAUAAACAUCAGAUUUCUCUGUCAGGUGUUGCCUACGGUAGUACUCUGGAUCCACAUAUCCAAUGCUACCUCUAACUACAGUGCUAACAUGGGUUUGGGAUGUACUAGUGGGACCCAAUCUGGACAGCCCAAAAUCUGAAACCUUAGCCACCCAAUUCUCAUCUAACAAUAUGUUUGUUGACUUCACAUCACGGUGAAUGAUUGUGUGCUUUGCUCCUGAAUGAAGAUAAUGCAACCCUUUAGCAGCACCGAUGCAUAUUUCUAGCCUUUGCUUCCAUGGAAGAGGAGAGUUCUUUGUUUUGUAUAGAUGUUCUCUAAGAGUGCCUCUUGACAUGUAAUCGUAUACAAGAAUCAUCUCGCCAUGAUCAUCACAGUAUCCAAUCAGUGACACUAGAUGGAGGUGGCGCAGAUUGGAUAACAUCUCAAUCUCUGUCUGGAACUCACGUGUCCCUUGCUUUGAUGAUGACUCUAGUCGUUUGAUGGCUACUGCGAUGAAACCGUAUUCAAUGUAUCCUUUAUACACAGUACCAAACCCCCCUGAACCAAUAAUAUUUUGAUCAUCAAAGUUUCCUGUUGCUUCGUUGAUUUCGAAAAAUGUAAACCGUCGGCAAAGAUCAGUAGGCAGUGAUGAAGAGAUUGUAGUCGUGGACCUAGAUGUUUGUGAUAUUAGAGUCCAGGAGGAUUUUUCCUCACUCUUGCUAGGGUCCUUGACUCGCUUCUGCUUGAAAGCAAAGAAAUAAAGAAUAAGAGAGCAAGCAAAUACUGCACCUAUGGAACCUCCAACGAUGGCUAUAACCGUAAGUAUUGAUGAUCUUUUGCCCGUUCUUCUGUCUUGUAGACUUGGAUGUUGUUCUGCUGGUGGAGGAGCCACUGUUGGCUCAGGGUUGAAUCCUGCAAGAUUUCCUGUGUUGUAUUCAGCUUGAAUAUUUCCAAGCCAUUCAAGAUUGCAUCAGCAUAAGUAGGUUUCAGUUCCAUGUUAGGGUGUAGUUCGAGCCACAAGCCCUGCUUGCUCUGGCUCCCUGAGGGACCGCACGAUGUAGUCUUUGUAAACUGGAAUGCCGUUGCCACCGCUCAUAUGGAUCACAUCUGCAUCAUCUGCUGUUUGAUUGUUGAUGAAUAUUAAAAAUACCUGUGAUUUUCAUUUUGAACUCCAUUCGAGUCUCACAAAAGUGGAGCCUAAGGAGAUAAUGAAACCAGCAUCAACUGGGAAGAUCCAUGUGAGAUUGUAAUUCAUGUUAAGAAUGGUUCAGGACCCAUUGAACGCAUAGUACUAUAUACCAUAACAGGUGCGGAGUAAGCUGGCGUUUUGGUUGUGUACUUUAUCUUGACGCCUGGGAGAUAUGGAUGUUUCCAGCUUUUCCAAAGAGAUACUCUGAAUCUUGAUGCCAUGUCCUGUACAUUCCAGUCUUGUCUCCAGUGCUGCUGAUAUCUUGCCCCCCAACAUUCAGUCGAUAAACUGUCUCAAGCGCAGUUGUGUUACCCAGAUAGAAGGUGGGCGUGCCCACAUAGGUCAGUGGAUUAUCAUCGCCACGAGCAUAGAAGCUGUCUGGCAUGGAAACGAUUUCGAUACCAUUAACGAAGGCAAAAGAUGCUGGAGACGGAUGAAGGUUAAUUCAAGCUUCUGGUUGUCCCACACGGUGAUGAUGAACUCUUUGGUGAAGUAGUCAACUGGAGGUCUUAUAGCAGAAACUGUAAGAGAGGCACUAAAGUUGUUUAGUAGCUUGUAGUUGUUGGCACUAAGCGAAAAAUAGGAUUUGGAUAUGUCAAGAUUUGAGUAAGAAGCUGGAUAAAAGUAGAGACGCACAAAUUUUGGGCCAGGCAAGACUGGAAAUGUGUAAGUGAAUUAGAGUGAAAAAUACGGGCUGUCAUGUAUGGGACUUGGUCGACAGAGGGGUCUUGAGUGGAGGCUUCAAACACAGAUGAGGCUUCUGGGGGGUUAGAGGCAGCAAACUUAGACUGGGAAUCACCAUCCCAGCUGCGACCAUCUGGAGAUGACAAAUUAGAGGAUGCACCACAGUUAAGGAGUAUUAGAUCAGUGGGUCUGUAUGGCAGCAAGUAAUCUUCAGUAGCAGUAGCAUAGAGGAAGAGAUGGAGGGGAGGGAGAAGGUAGAGAAAGAUGAAGAUGGACAUUACUAUGCUAGUUCUUUGGUGGAGUAAAUUGGAGUAAGAAAAAAUAUCUAUUAAAUGCAAAGAUUUUGAUUUAAGGGAAGAUGAUCAAUGGUGUCGCUGUCUCCAUACAGUAACAUUUUUGCUCAGGUUGAGAAUAAUCCAAUAAUAUAUUUGAGGCCCGUCGGAGAAGAAAAUUCGACGAUAUGGCUAAUGGGACAUAUUGGUCAGCUUUGGAUGGCUGCUUCCCGUUGUGUGGUUCUGAAUUCCGCAAUAAAGCCGCAAUGAACAAUCUAAUUUCAACAAAGGAUCGGAGUUGAGUGGAUGUGAUCCUCCUCCAUGUGUUGUAUUCUUUCUCUAUCUCUAAAUAAAAUGAACCUCUCCCGUGAAUGUAGGCGGUUUUGCCGAACCGCGUUAAAUAUUGUGCCAGUGUGCUUGCCCUCCGUUGAGCAAAUAUCAAUACAUCACCGGUCGGAUUUCCCAACAAUUGGUAUCAGAGCUGAUGGUUUAAAGUGGUGUUUGAUUUUUGCUCAAAAAAUGAAAGUUGUCAAAAUUGUGUUUUGACCAAACCACCGUGUAGAGGAGGAAGAGACGAAGCCACUGUUGAAAAAUGUGUUGAAAUCGGACGUCGGACAUGGCUGCGCGUGCCGUCACGCAUCGGCGGGGUGGCUGGCCACGUGCGCAGCAGCGCGCCUCGUCACACGUGUCUUCUUCGCCUGGAUGGGUUGACCCGACCCGAAUACCAGACGACCAGACCCACGUGGCUGACCCGGAUAAGGAUGACAUCAGCAUGACAUAAUUAUGAUGUCAUCAUGCACAGUAGCAUGGCCCAGGAUGACAUCAACAUGAUGUAAUGGUGGCGUCAUCAUGCACAGUCAGCAUGCCAUGUCAGCACAGUGAGCCGAGCCGAAUUGGAGCUGAGCCAAGCCACGAGCCGAGGGAUAGGAUUAUGUGUAGCUGAGUCUACGUGCAAUCGGAUCUGAGAUUGAAUGUGAGCCGUUGAUCAAGCCAGAAUUGUUUUGAUCAAAGCUUAGUCGUCUGAAGUGUGAUUUGGAUGAUUCAAGACAUGUUUCCAGCUAAUUUGAACAUUCCGGAUGCAAUGGUACGGUCCGAUCGUUGAGAUAUGAGACCGAAAAUGACGGUGGUGAAUUAUUAAAGAGAGAUUGCCCGAUCAGGAGGCAUCUGAGGGUCUUGAUGGAGGUCGAUGGAGAUGAUGAAGAAGAAGGUGCACAUGUUUUCCCAAUUACAUGUGCUGAACUAUUAAAUGGGAAAAUGUAAUGCCUUGAUGGAAGGCAAAAUUGGGACACUCUGGACACCCGGUUAUGUGGACAAUUGAGGUGGAGAGUGAAAAUUGACGAAGACCAAUCUUGACGAAUCUAAGCACUGUAGUCUCGCAGAUGUUGAGAAAUCAGGUAUAAAACCUGAUACCAGAUCACUUGUAAAGGAAAGCCGCAACAAAGCUAGCAAAUGGUUGUAUAUACGGAAAGACAGUACGAUGGAUAGAUAUGGCCUAAGAAGUUCUGUCUAGGAGAUUGGGUUUUAAGGGACCGUGUGACCCCUCCAAUCUUUCCUGGGAACUUGCUUAGUGGAAGGAUUAUCCAUACGGUACUAUUUUCGUAUAUGUAACAGUUUGUAAUGAAAUUGUUGAAGACUAGCAGGAUGACGGCACAAGGGGAACAGUUGGGUUCCGUAUGAUCAAGGAUCUGAUGGAGUGGUGAUUUCUUCAAAGAAGCUAGUUUCGGUGACUGUGAUUUCUCGAGGGAAGAAUUGAUGAAGACGCUGAUAAUGGAAGAGAAAUAUAGCAAGGGGAUAAAGAUUGACACCCUAUUUUGAAUUGGACAAGUGUUGUGUCAAGAUGAGCUGCUGUCAAACAUAAGCAAGGAAUAGGGAGAAAUCUAGAGAACAGAAAUUGCACGAGAGCACACGGAGAUUGUGCAGGAGUACCCGUAGGAUCCAACAAGGUACUGUAAUGAGACAACAGGUACAAGGAGAAGAAGAGUUCCCAGAUGAAGCUAAAAGCAGAGACUGUGUAUAAUAGGAAGUCUCUUAUGCUCUUGAUGAAGACAACAGGCGAAGACCUUUCCAAUGCAUGCAAGGAUGGAAAGAUGAGUUGUUGUAGAGGCACCUAAUUGAGGGGAUGCAAACGCCUGUGAUAAAAGGCAACGGUUUAUGAAAGGCAAAGACACCAAAGAGAGUUGGUGUAGGUGGAGCUGUUAAGCGCAAUGAUGAAAGGCGUAGAAGCUCCAAACAUAGAAAUCGAGGUGGAGGAUUGGGAGGAGUAUACCGCAAGUUUCUCUUUCUAUGUAGUUAGUGGCAGUAAUCUCUCUCAAGUCCACAUGGUGGUAGAGAAUUUUGGAGCCACUUUGAAGCAUCUCAGCUGAAGGAGGAUGCGACCGCCUAUGAAAAGGCGAAGACACCUUAGAGAGAAGGUGUGGGCCAUGUAAGCCCAAGAUCAGACGCCCAUGACAACGGGCGAAGACACCUUAGAUAAGGUGUGUGGGCCAUGAUAGGAGCCCCAGAUUCAGAUCGCCCCAUGACAACGGGCGAAGACACCUAAGAUAAGGUGUGAGGGCCGUGAUAGGAGCCCCAGUUCAGACCGCCCCAUGACAACCGGCGAAGACACCUUAGAGAAGGUGUGAGGGCCAUGAGAGGAGCCCCAGUUCAGACCGCCUUAUGACAACAGGCAAAGACACCUUAAAAAAGGUGUGAGGGCCGUGAUAGGAGCCCCAUUUCAGACCGCCGCAUGACGACAAGUGGAGACACCCAAGGAGAAGGUGUGUGGGCCACGAUAUGAGCCUAGUUCAGAACGCCCCAGAGCCAAUGUGAUGGCUAGAUAUGAGUGGACAGGUGUAUAGCCAAUGAAGUGGCUAUGAUGAGUAUGGAGACAAAUGCAGGAUUGACUUCAUGGAUAUUGCCCCCAUGCUAAAGAUCAAUGAGCUAGAAGACAUUUGCCUUGGACAAUAAGUGGAUGACUUAUGGAGCAUUAAGACGCGACUGCUAUGAAGGAGUAGAGGGCAUGUGCAGGUUCCUGGAACAAGUUGACUCUUGUCAAAGUGGUGAGCUCGGUGUAGACAUUGUAAUACUCACAGUAUCAAGACAGAUAUGGAUCAACCUUUAAUGGGUUGCCCCCAUAGGUAAAGGUGGAAAGCUACCUGGACUCUUGAGACUAAGAGUGAGAGACUCAUGGAGAAGUAAGGCGUUGUUUCUAGGGUGGAACAGAGGGCAGCGCAACUCCUGGAUGAGUAGACUCUUGGAAGAGUGGUGAGCUCGUGAUCAUAUUGAGAUACUCAGAUAAUGACUGUCGCACUUGGAAAUAUCCGUUUGAGGGGGUGUUCUAAGCCUUGGUGUGAGGCUUGAUAAAUCAUUCAGGACCGAGCAUGGUUGAUACACUCGAAGGGGAAUGAUGUGUCCCAGAGACAAGCGUUAACACUCUUCAGAUGUGAUGUGGGAGACCAUCUGGUUGCAGUGAUCCUUUUGUGUGAGAAAAGGUGUGCUUUGGUGACUCUGGUGAUUGAAAGGUUUGGCGAGUACCUGUAAACUUGGCCACAGACGCUCUCGGAAUGGUAAGCUUGGAAGAGCUGCAGGAUGCAAGAUUGUGCUGAAGAAGCAAGAGGACAAUUGCCCAUAUAAAUGUCAAAGGGGGUGAUUGUUGGGAUAUUGUCAUUAUUGGGCAACAUGUGCAGCCUACCCUAUAAAGAGUAGGGUUACCAUUUGUCAAUGGUAGUUGCACCCACCAUUGAUAAAUGUAUCAACCCAUGUGCAACUAUUGUUGUUGAAGAAGAACAGCCACCAUCCUUGCCUAUAAAUAGACAGCAAGAGAGCAGAACAAUUGAGAGAGGGAUUGUGAGAAUGUAGAGAGUGUGAAGAGAGAAAGAAAGAGAAGGGCUGCCACCAGCAGCCCUGCUGCCUUAUGCAGCUACUGCCCUAUGCAACAAUGAGAGAUGGGAGUUGACUGGAUGUGAUCCUUCUCCAUGUGUUGUAUUCUUUCUCUAUCUCUAAAUAAAAUGAACCUCUCCCGUGGAUGUAGGCGAUUUUGCCGAAUCAUGUUAAAUAUUGUGUUAGUGUGCUUGCCUUCCGUUGAGCAAAGAUCAGUACAUCACCGGUCGGAUUUCCCAACAGUUAUACUCAUCGAAAACAUGAGUAAAAAAAAAAAAGAAGGGUUCAGACAGUUGCACCCACCAAAGGUUGAGAUGAAAUAAAAAGAGGCAGGAAUUGAAUUCAAAGGUAUUUUUGCUGUAAACAAUUCCAAUCCUUUGUAUGAUUUUUUAGGGAGAAUCUCACUUAUUGAAGAAAAAUAUUGCCAUCAAUUGUUUGACAACUAAGUUGGAAAAUUCUUUGGAAAUGUUUUGAGAAAAUCUUUCAAGGUGCAGGGGUUUUGAUUCAUCUCUUGAAAGGUUAAAACCUUUUGAAUUUUUAUUUUUGAAAAAACAACAUUGUUUACAUCUUGAUUAUGAGUUAUUUCAACAAAGUCAAUAUCAACCAAAAUAAACUCAUAGAAUUUGUUUUGUUUUCAACAUAUUUUCUAAAAUAACUUAUGAAAAUAAUAGCUUCUUGACUUGAAAGGGUUAAAGCUUUUUUUAGGGAAAAUUUGGAGGGUAAUUAACACAAGUGAAAGAACAAGCAAUGGGACAAUAGCGAGAAAAAGAAAAUUAAUAGUUGAAAUAGAGUAGAGCACAAGAAUUCUAAUUUAUAGUUUUAUUGAUGAAGAGAAAAAUUCACUAUUUCUUUUGCCUCUUUAAGAUGUUUUCAACUUUUUAAAUAAUCUAAAAAAUCAAACUAAUCAAACAAGAAAACCCUAAAAUAAAGAUAAAAAAUAUUAAAAUUCCUAAACAAACUUAGAGAAAUAAAAUUACUAUUCUCAAUAUUUAAUUUCCUAAACUAAGUAGAAAAAAUAAAAUCACCGAAAAUAUUUUCCUAAACUACAUAGAAAAUAAUAAUAACUAAGAAAUUUUAAUUUCAUAAAAACCCUUGGCAUCAACAAUAAUGUUGUAAAAGGUGUAUUAAUUUUGGGAUUGAACAAACUAGGGAUUUUGGAGAGAUUAAGAAUAAUUUAUAGGUGAGGUGUUUGGACUAGAUCAUGCUGAUGAAAGGAUUCAAAAUUGAUUAUUUAAGAUACUAGCCUGAAGAAGGUCAAACCCUCCUUGAAAUAAAUAUCUUGAACGCUUGAUGUUGUGGCUUGAAUUGGUCUUGAUGGUGUAAGAGCAUAUGAUUAUUUUGACUUAUUUUGAGCCUAGUAAAGACUCUUUGGAUAAAAGACUCUUUGGAUAAAAGACUCUUUGGAUAAAAGACUCUUUUACUUCUUUCAUUAAUUCAAUCUCGAAAUCAUAUUUUAAUAGAUUAUCUUGUUACCUGGCAAAAAUUUGUUUUGACACAAUAUUUUGAAUAUUUUUUUCAACAACUUAUUUUACAUAUUGACAAUUUAUUUGUAAAAGAAAUUUCUGGAAAAUAAAUCAUCUUGAAAAUAUUAGAUGUAUAAAAUAAUUAAUAAAAUUUUAUUUUUGAUAGUUGAAUAAUUUUCUUGAGGAUCCAACCAAAUACCUAAAUGAUAUUGCAAUAUAUGUUAUUGACUUUGAAAAUUUUGUUUGAGAAUACCACUAUAACUAAUAUCAAAGGCAUCGGUUUCAACUAUAAAAAAGGCCUCUAGAUCAUAAAGUCUUGAACAUGAAAACUCUUGACUUGACUUUUAAGAGUAUUCACAAUUUUGAUCAUUUGAUGAUUGAUUUUAGACAGGAGGGUUUUUCUUAAGUCUUUUGUACAAAGGUUGACAUAUAGUUCUAUGAUUUGGAAAAAUAUCUAAAACAUAAUCGAGGCAUCCCAUAAACUUUUAAAGCUAGGUUUUACCCUUGAUCUUAUUUAUGAAUUUAAUGGUAAAUUUUAUUAUAGUGACAAGGGUUAUUGAUAAAUUAUAAUUUUUAAGGUUGAGAAAACUAAUCUAUUUUGUUUGAUAAUAUUAAGAAACAUUUGUAAGUUGUUCAAAUGUUUGGUUAUUAGUUUUAAAAAUAAAAGAACAUCAUCUAUGUAUAUAAUCAUAAUUUUGAAUAUAGAUUAAAGAUGUCAUUCAUGAUGCUCUGAAGUUUUGAAGGAGUAAUUUUUAGUUCAAAAGACAUUAUAUCUCAUUUGUAAUGACCAAAUAAAAUAAUGAAUGUUGUUUUAUAAUGAUUUUUUUAAUCAAUUUAGACUUGUUAGAAUCUUGAUUUCAUAUCAAUUUUUGAAUAUAUUGAAGAAUUUUAAAGUCUUCUGAUAAGAUCUCUCUUAUUGUGUAUUGGAUAUCUAAUAUAUUGGAGCACUUUGUUGAGAGGCUUGUGAUUUAUGACAUGUCUUAGUGCAUGAUUAGUACUUAAAAGUGUAUUUUAUCAAUGUUUUAUAUUAUCAUUUUGUACUUGAAGUAUCAAUAACUCCUUAACUAGAGCAUGUUUUAUAAUAACAAGUCUGAUAAUAUAAGAUAACUUUAAUUUAUGGUAAAUGCUCAUUUUAAAUACAGACAUAUCUCACAAUCCAAAGGAUUGAUUGCUGUGAUUAACUAUUGAAAGUGAAAAGACAAAGAAAAGGCUAAGCUUAGAAAGGAGAUGCAGAUUCAAUUCAAAUUGGAACACUGUUAAGUUAUUGGGUCAUAUCUGGAGCUACAGUUCUUGGAUUUCAGUUUGGUUUAUAUGGCUAGAAAGAUAAGAAAUAGGCUUACAAUGUUCAUGAAUAGUGAAAGACCCAAAUCUUCCGUUUUCAAAUUCAAAGUUUGGCCACAAAAGAGAAGUUAGAAUCUGUCCUACAAUCCAGCCCAAACACUGCUCAUACUUUUACCCAUAGCUGGAGUUUUAAAAGGAAAAAUGAUGUCAAAUUUGGUGGGUGGAAGGAUAAGACAAUUUUCAAAAACUUUCAUGCAGACGACCUGCUCCAAUUAUGAUGUUAGAAAUGACAUUUCAUCCAGACAAGAGCUUGAGGGAUGUCCACUACGUCCACCAGAAGCACUACUCAGUAUUUUAGCCAUAUCUCAAUCUCUAGUGAUCCAAAUGCUCUAAAAUUUUAUGGAUGGAAAGAGGAGAUGAUUGCAGACAACUUUUAUGAAGAACACUUUGCCAAAUGUUGAUUGAAUCAAUGUCAUUUCAUCCAGCCAACAUGCUUAAGUGUUGUUGUCCACCAAGUCCACUAAAUCAAUAGUUGGCCACUACAUCAAUAAUCAAUUACCAAAUGAAUAGUUCUGAAUUUUAGCCUAUAAAAGGAGACAAUUGCAAUUCAUUUAGGCAUCUUGGUUUUUAGAUCAAGAUCAUGUUCUUGCUCUCUCUUUAUAUUUUUGUAAUGCUUAAGUUUUGCUUUCAUUAAUCUCUUGUUUAUGCUUUUCAUUUUCUUUACUAUACUUAGUUAACUUAUAUCAUGUUUAUGUUCAUAUAUUGUUUAUUUAUGUUUUUCCUUUUCAUAAUGUCGAGCUAAGUUAAUUAUGUCAAGGUGAAAAGGUUUCACUAAUGGUGUUAGAAUAUGUAUAAUAUAAACUCAAUAUGGACUUCAAUGUUUAUAUCCAAGAAAGUUUGUUAUUAAUAUGUCAUAUCUUUUUAUCUUAUUAAUUCUUAAUACCUUGCUUGUUAAAUGGUUAAUCUAGAUUUGUGUUGUAUAACACUUGGUAAAUCAAAUGCUUGAUCCUUCAUAGUCUUCGGUCAACAUCAUUGUUAUGAGAUUAGCAUCAUGAAUUCCUGAUAAUAUUUAAAAGUAUGGUGUUACUAAAAUAAGAUAAUUAAUAUGAUCAUGUUAAAAAUUUAUAAUUAACUUUUACGGAUAAAUCAUCCUAUUGGAACCUCCUUUGUGUGUGGUUUCCAAUUGAGUAAUACAAAGAGUUUAUACUAUACUUAUUUCUAAUACCAUUAGUGGACCCUCUAACCUUGACAUUUGUUUGUAUUAUUGUUUAAUCCUCACAUUAAUCUUAUAUCUCAAAGAUCUCUUUAUAUAUAUAUAUAUAUAUAUAGUUAACUUUCCUGUGGAUCGACCCCGGUCUUGCUGAGUUAUUUAUAACUUUGACACUCCUUCACUUGAGAGAAGACAUCAAUCUUUUGGUCAUGUCAGUGCACUUCUUUCUAUUUCAGCUUGAUUCCAGACAUAAAAAGGUGGCACAUAACCAUGAUGAUUUACUAGGGCUUAUAAGACACUUUUUGAUUAAUUUAAGGUAAUUUCCAAUUAUCAUUGUACGUGACUUUAUCUCAUUAUCAAAGUUUAGGAACUUAAAUGUUUGAAUUUUGAGAGUUAGCUUUAAUAAGGAGAGUUUAAUUUAUAGAUGAAUUUUUGAGAGCUUUUGGAGCUAUGUUUGUAUCCAUGAUUUUGUAAUAUAUUCUAUAGAUGAUGACUAUAUUCAUGGAAUCUUGAAGCAUAUCAGUACAAGUCUUAACAAGUCUCAAUAUUUAGAGCUAAAGUUUUCACUGUAAGGACCAAAUGAAAUAAUGAAUGUUGUUUUAUAAUGAUUUUUUUUUUAUCAAUUUAAACUUGUUAGAAUCUUGAUUUCAUAUCAAUUUUUGAAUAUAUUGAAGUAUUUUAAAGUCUUCUGAUAAGAUCUCUAUUAUUAUGUAAUGGAUAUCUAAUAUAUUGGAGCACUUUGUUGAGAGGCUUGUGAUUUAUGACAUGUCUUAGUGCAUGAUUAGUACUUAAAAGUGUAUUUUAUCAAUGUUUUAUAUUAUCAUUUUGCACUUGAAGUAUCAAUAACUCCUUAACUAGAGCAUGUUUUAUAAUAACAAGUCUGAUAAUAUAAGAUAGCUUUAAUUUAUGGUAAAUGUUCAUUUUAAAUGCAGGCAUAUCUCACAAUUCAAAGGAUUGAUUGUUGUGAUUAACUAUUGAAACUGAAAGGACAAAGAAAAGGCUAAGCUUAGAAAGGAGAUGCGGAUUCAAUUCAAAUUGGAACACUGUUAAGUUAUUGGGUCAUAUGUGGAGCUAUAGUUCUUGGAUUUCAGUUUGGUUUAUAUGGCUAGAAAGAUAAGAAAUAGGCCUACAAUGUUCAUGAAUAGUGAAAGACCCAAAUCUUCCGUUUUCAAAUUCAAAGUUUGGCCAAAAAGAGAAGUCAAAAUCUGUCCUACAAUCCAGCCCAAACACUGCUCAUACUUUUACCCAUAGCUGGAGUUUUAAAAGGAAAAAUGAUGUCAAAUUUGGUGGGUGGAAGGAUAAGACAAUUUCCAACAACUUUCAUGAAGACGACCUGCUCCAAUUAUGAUGUUAAAAAUGACAUUUCAUCCAGACAAGAGCUUGAGGGUUGUCCACUACGUCCACUAGAAGCAUUACUCAGUAUUUUAGCCAUAUCUUUUUAUGGGUGGAAAGAGGAGAUGAUUGCAGACAACUUUUAUGAAGAACACUUUGCCAAAUACUGAUUGAAUUAAUGUCAUUUCAUCCAGCCAAAAUGCUUAAGUGUUGUUGUCCACCAAGUCCACUAAAUCAAUAGUUGGCCACUACAUCAAUAAUCAAUUACCAAAUGAAUAGUUCCAAAUUUUAGCUUAUAAAAGGAGGCAAUUGCCAUUCAUUUAGGCAUCUUGGUUCUUAGAUCAAUAUCAUAUUCUUGCUCUCUCUUUAUAUUUUUGUAAUGCUUAAGUUUUGCUUUCAUUAAUCUUUUGUUUAUGCUUUUCAUUUUCUUUACUAUACUUAGUUAACUUAUAUCAUGUUUAUGUUCAUAUAUUGUUUAUUUAUAUUUUUCUUUUUCAUAAUGUCGAGCUAAGUUAAUUAUAUCAAGGUGAAAAAAUUUCACUAAUGGUGUUAGAAUAUGUAUAAUAUAAACUCAAUAUGGACUUCAAUGUUUCUAUCCAAUAAAGUUUGUUAUUAAUAUGUCUUAUCUUUUUAUCUUAUUAAUUCUUAAUACCUUGCUUGUUAAAUGGUUAAUCUAGAUUUGUGUUGUAUAACACUUGAUAAAUCAAAUGCUUGAUCCUUUAUAGUCUUCAGUUAACAUCAUUGUUAUGAGAGGAACUUGAUUUGUUGUUAACAUAAGUUAGCAUUAUGAAUUCCUGAUAAUAUUUAAAAAUAUGGUGUUACUAAAAUAAGAUAAUUAAUAUGAUCAUGUUAAAAAUUUAUAAUUAACUUUUAAGGAUAAAUCAUCCUAUUGGAACCUCUUUUGUGUGUGGUUCCCAAUUGAAUAAUAAAAAGAGUUUAUACUAUACUUAUUUCUAAUACCAUUAGUGGACCCUCUAACCUUGACAUCUGUUUGUAUUAUUAUUUAAUCCUCACAUUAAUCUCAUAUCUCAAAGAUCUCUUUUAUAUAUAUAUAUAGUUAAUCUUCUUGUGGAUCGACCCCGGUCUUGCCGAGUUAUUUAUUACUUUGAACAAUCUUUUGGUCAUGUCAGUGCACUUCUUUCUAUUUCAGCUUGAUUCCAGACAUAAAAAGGUGGCACACAACUGUCGCACUCGACAUCGCGGCGGCCUUAAAAAUUAAUUCUCGAUUAUGGAAAAAGAACAGAUUUCUGACAUCUUAUUCUUUAAUGGGGAAUGAUCUUGUUUAAGGAGUCGCCACCUAGUAUUAUGGUCACUAGGAACCCUAACUGGUCAACAGAGAUUCUAUGGUUCGGGACUGGUUACAUAAAAGGGAAGAUAUUAUCACCCCUUAAACGUCAUGCCUAAGGCAGGCUGCAUUGCUGGUUUCGUCUUAAAUUGCUAAAUGUUUAUUAAUUUAUGUUAUGAAAAUUUUCUUAUAAUAUUCCUGACUCUGGCGCCAGUGAAUAUUUAACUACGAAUAUUUCCAACUCUGGCGUUGGUAAAUAUUACGUAGCUAUAAAAAUAAAUUUAAAUCAAUAUUUUUUUUAUUCCUGACUCUGGCGCCAGUGAAUAAAUAAAUAAUAAUACAUUUAUUUUUUUUGAAUGCACAUAUUUCUUUUUUUUUUCUAGCUAAAUAAAAUUGAAUAAACAAAUAAAAAUAAUAUAAAUUUAAACCGGUAUUUUUAUUCCUGACUCUGGCGCCAGUGAAUAAAUAAAUAAUAAUACAUUUAUUUUUUUGAAUGCACAUAUUUCUUAUGUUUUUUCUAGCUAAAUAAAAUUGAAUAAAAAAAUAAAAAUAAUAUAAAUUUAAACCGGUAUUUUUAUUCCUGACUCUGACGUUAGUGAAUAAACUAAUAAAUUUACAUUAUUUUUAUUCUCGCAUACACAUUUUUUUUUUCUGUAUUUUUUUUAUCAUUUUUUAUUUUUUUAUUUAUAUAUAUUUUUGGGCUGGGCCCAGCCCAUCAUAUGUUUUUGGGCUGGGCCCAGCUCAGCCCCAGUGACCCGGCUGGGCAAUAAAAAAAAUAAAGGCACGCGUGACUUGUUCACGCGUGCCCGAACACUGGUGAAGGUAAUUAAAUUACCUUCACACAGUGUUCUUGUAACAUUGAAUUGCUUUUUUUGAAUGAAGAUGCAAAGGGACGAAGUCAUACCUGCUUCUGGAGACGAUGAAGAAGGCUGCGAUGCUGGUGGCUGCUGCUUUCGUUCGACUGCUUUCUCUUCUCUCCCCGUUGUGCUCACUGUCUUCCUUUUUCUUUUCUUUUUUUGUUUCCCUGAUAUGUUGGAGGGGAUGAGACGAAGCUGCGGGUGAUUAGUGCACUGUGUUCUUUUUUGUCUGUGUCUCCUUGGUUUCCCAGUCCAGUGCGCUUCCCUCUGUUCGUUCUCCCUGUUUUGUUAUCUGCCUCUCUAUUUUUUUUGUCUCCGAUUCUCGGCCCCUGUUCCCUCUGGUUUCGGUCUCUGCUUCGUCCUCCUGUGGUGUUUCUUUUCUUUGAGAUCGUAUGAUUUUUUUCUGGUUUCUCCUGUUUCUUUUUUUUUUUUCUGGGUUUUGCUCUGUUUUUGCUUGCGUUUUUGGGUUUCUCUUUCGUUUUUAUGCUGGGUUGAUUUCUGCCUUCGUUCCUUGUUCUUAACUUUGCUUUUUCUGGGUUUUCUCCUCUGCCUCUGGUUUGUGUUUUUUGCUUCCUUUUAUAGAGACAACCGAUUGACCCCCCCCUAACCAUCUUCAAGAUUACAGGCGAGAGACGUGGUCCACGAUUUGGAUCGAAACUGUUGCAGAUCUUCAGCCUAUGGAAUCGGGAUGGAGAAGAUGACCAUGGCUGCUCCACCAGCAACGGCAGCGUUUUGGCAGCAAGAGAUAUUUUCAAUUUGACCCCUGAACUUUGGAAAUUCUGCAAUUGAACCCCUAAGCAAAUAAAAAUUUCUUUUAAUUUUGCCCUUUUGGAUAAAUUUCAAUUAAAUCCCUAAAUUGGUGCACUGUUUACAAAACAGUCCUUAAUUCCUGGAUUAUUCAAUUUGAUCCUUAAUUAAUUCUUUCAAUUUUGCCUUUUUUGGAUAAAUUUUAAUUAAGUCCCUGAAUUUAUUUAAUUAAUUAAAUCAAAGUUUAAUUAAGUCCACAAACUUAUUAAUUCUUUUAAUUUCAUUCAUUAAACUAAUCUAAAUUUUAAGUAAAUUUCCAAACUUAUUAAUUCUUCAAUUUUUGACUAAUUUAUUCUCAAAUCUGAUAAUUUUAUCCUUAAACUUCAAAAUUUAUUGUCUUAACUUCAUUGUCAACUAUAUUUAAUUUUUAUUAUUUGUUUAAAAAUUAUGUUAUGACAAUAACCAUGAUGAUUUACUAGGACCUAUAAGACACUUUUUGAUUAAUUUGAAGUAAUUUCCAAUUAUCAUUGUACGUGACUUUAUCUCAUUAUCAAAGUUUAGGAACUUGAAUGUUUGAAUUUUGAGAGUUAGCUUUAAUAAGGAGAGUUUAAUUUAUAGAUGAAUUUUUGAGAGCUCUAUGUUUGUAUCCAUGAUUUUGUAAUAUAUUCUAUAGAUGAUGACUAUAUUUAUGGAAUCUUGAAGCAUAUCAAUAGGAGUCUUAACAAGUCUCAAUAUUUAGAGCUAAAGUUUUCACUAUAAUAUCUAGGUUGAAUAAUGAGAUAGUGAAAUUUGGAUAACAAUUCAAGUAUGUAGAACCAUUAGCAAGAUUUGAUUGAAAGAUUGUAAGGAGUGAGUUUGAAGAGGUCAUAAAUUUAUGGUCUCUUGAAAACAUGAGUAUGGGAGAGUCUAAUCCGAGAUACUACAAUAUAAAUUAGACGGUGAUCAUUUUUAGUUUGGUUUGUUUUUAAAAAUCAAAACCGGUUCAAACUUUGAAAUUUUUAUAUAUGUUCGUUCUAUGUAUAUUUGUUUUCAAGCUUUGAAAUUUUUAUAGCUCAAUUAUUAUAAUUUUUUUAAAUUUUUUUAUGUGGGAAAAGAGUAUCAAAAUUGUGGGAAAUAUAUAUUAGAAUAUUUCAUGGACUGCACUGCUCUAUGAUUGUGCAUUUAUAGCCCAAUUAUUAUUAUUUUUUCUUUUUCCUGUUGAUUGCAUUUUGGAAUCCAUUUGAUUAGACAUAAUUUGAACUGGAAGAAUGAAUUGGGUUCACCUUCAUUUGUUCUGUUUUAAUGUGACUGAGAGCCUUAUUUUUUAAAAUGUAUUGUCACUCAUUUAGAUACUGGCUAAGUAGAGUUUGCAGUCAGAUUAACAUACAGCAUGCAUUCAUUCCAUUAAGCCCUAAUGGAGUGAAUGAAUAAAAUGACUUCUAUUAAAUGUUCCUCUACUACUUGGAUGCUGAACUGGAUAUUGGAGGUUCCCACAUUGCCCAUUGUUGGUAAUUUAGCACUCUGAAACAGAAGCUAGUCAAUAGGCGUCUAUAAGUUGUACAGAGAUUUUACAAUAGAAACUAUUCAAGUAAGAUUUUGGUGCAAUCAGUGUUCUAUAUGCACGAACAAAUUUGGGGCUUCACUGUACUACCUCAGAUACUCUCAAAAAAUGCUUCUUGGAAUUCGGAAGUUUAGACGAUCAUCGGUUGAAAUGAUGUUACCGUUUCUCUUUCUGAACGUUAUUUCCAGGUUGGAAAUUCAAGUAAUUAGUUCAAAUCCUAGAAGAUGAGUGGUGGCUUAGAAUGCUGUGAAAAAAUCGUUCCCUUAUUCAUUUUUCAAAAUAGAAAAGACAUAACUUUUUGCUUGAACUUCUAGAAUAUAAAAAAAUCUUACUUUUAUAUCUAGACACUUUCCAUCUAUGAUCUUUAAAUCUGAAGACAUAUCAUCGAUCUGGUUUUAAGAAAGUGCUAUUAACAUACCAAACUUUAUUAGAUUGUUGUUGUGCACUUAGGAAGAAAUAAAAUACUUGUCCUCCUUUAUUGUUUUCAAUAGCAUGAUCAGCUUCAUAGUUUUCUACGUUGUCUUUUUUACUAGAAGUACCUUCGUGAAUGUUGGGAAUUUCUGUCUUUUGCAUCUAUACCAGCACUCUUUUACUUGGUGUCCACCUCAUUUUCAAGUUCAUAAGUAGGAGGAAUGAAUGUAAAAAUAUAGCCAUUUUUUUUUCUGGUUUUUUGCUGGGAUUUUUAUUUAAAAUUUGACACAAGUGUUUAUAUAUAAACAUUUUGAUUUUUUUGUUUCCUAAUCGACGAGGAAUUCCACUCACAAGUAAUAUCUGUACAUUUUUUCUCAUGUUUGGUUAAGGCUAGGAAAGUGAAACAAAAAUCAUGUUAUGCUGUAUAAAAAGGUAAUGUAAGUGACUGGUUUCACCAUCACCGGUAAAGUGUCUGUAAUGACUGGUAUGGCCUGUGGGCUACAUUAUGCUUAGAUCCGUUAAAAUCAUGUAUGUAAUGACUGGCUAUGAAUGAGGUUUUUGUAAUUUUUAAAAAAUAAUAAUAAAUUCUGUGAUGUCCAAAGUACACUUAUUAUGGGCUUGAGGAAGUAUUAAUUUAUAUAGUUAACAUCUGGCCUUCCUCAUGUUUUUGCUUAUUUAUUGAAGUCACAAAGUUCUUUGUUCAUCUAUGGUGACACCUGUGUAGUUUAAAGUAAGGGCCUAUCAGAGUACACAGUUGUUAUAGCAUAAUUUUGAGAUACUUUCUUAGGGAUCGAUUGAGAUUUUUAUUGGCUGAGAACUCCCUAUAAGGUACUUGGAUGGUCAGCCAACAAUUUAGUGAUAUUUGACCGAGGCCUCUCCUGUUUUUGAAACUUCAAUGGUAAUGACCAUAGUUCAUUUUUCAACGCUUUGAUUAUAUAAAUUUUUUCCGGCUAGUCUUAUAGAGGACCUACUAUCUACUAUCUGACCACAUGUCAGCUUGACUCUGUUUGUUGCUGGUAUUAUUAUUUUGCUUGUUGAUUGCAUUUGUUUUUCUAUGCAAGAUGUUUUUCAAGCAAUUGCUAUCUAUUUGUAUGUCUGAAAUAUGCUAAGUUUGAGAAUUCCUUUCUUUUCUCCAUUCAGAGCGGUUGUGUGCAAAGGAUGAAUAGAUGUGAACCUGCUAUUGAUCAAUGGUAGAGAUUCGGUUCUGAAGGUGGCUUGAUCAAGUUAUCUUUGGAGUUGGCAUUUUUACACAGGCAGAUGAAAUUUUUGUUGUAUGCCACUGAGGAGCGAACCUCCUAUUGAAUCUGGAUUAGUUACAGAAUUUUAAAGACUUUUUAAUCCGCCUGAGAUUCUAAGCACCGAUUCUUUUACUCUCCCUAGGAACGCAAGGUUAGGAUAAAUGAGUCAGUUAGAUGCUCCACUGGUAUAUCCAUUUUUCAUUUUGCAUAGCUAGUGUAUGCUUGCAGCAAAAUAUUUUAUCCGUUGCAAUUAUAUUGUGAUUUUUCCAUUUUGAACUCGAGAAAUUUUAGUGUAGUAUCUGGAAGACCACAGAGUUACGUGCUUCGGCAGAAACAGUUGUAUACCUGAAUGAAAUCUCUUUUCAAUAAUAAGGUUUGAUUACUCUUUGGAACUCAUUUCCAGUGCAUGGUUCUCUAGUUACAUGCAAAAGUUGCAGGUUGUUUAAAAAUGGUGGUUAUUUUGGUUUUGGUGAUUUAAGCACUCAUUACUGCAAUAUCAGCAAUGAGAAAAAGCAACUACUGAAAAUUGCUCUUAAUGGUGAAAGCAUUAUGCAUCAGGCUUCCUCGGAGUGAAGGCUAGCCAUAGAUGCUUUUGUUUACUGAAGGUGUUAUUUGCAGCAGUUGCAUCUGCCUGCAUAACUGUUACUGGCUUCCAGCUUGGAUAAUUAGAUGGUGAUGUUGGAUUCUGUUGCAGCAAAACAGUUCUUGUGCUGGGAUUCUGAUGAAUCGCGGUGUGAUUUUUGUACUUAAUGUCAGAAGGUAAUGCAUAUCAUCCAUAUUGAGUUAUUCAUCUUCUUUAGGGAGCAAUGAACAUAAGUGGAUAAUGAGAUUUGGGAUUCAUGCUUGGAAAUGUUCUCACGUUUUGGGUUCGAAGGAUUGAAACAAUCUGCACAUUUCUUCUUUCUCUUGGUUCUUUGAAGUGAUAAACUAACUGUAAUAUUAAAUGUGUGAAAAUGAUUGCGGUUCAAAGUGCUUUUGGUUUAAAAAUACAUUAAAAUAAUAUAUUUUUUUAAAAAAAUAUUUUUGAUAUCAGGAUAUCAAAACGAUUUGAAAAUAUAAAAAAAAUAAUUUUAAGCAAUUUUUGUUUCUUUCAAAUUUUGGUGGAACGUGGUUUGAACCGCAUUUCUAAAUGGGGUCUAAGUAUAAAACUAAAAGGUAUGAGUUUUUCACCAUGCAUGAUCUUACUAUUCAUUUUCUCAUGUAUUACUGUCAAUGAACUGUAAAAACUUUUUGUUUUUUCAAUUUGGUUCUUAAACUUCAUUUUGAGCGAUUUAGUCCUCAUUAAAGGCCAAUUGAUUUUGAUUUCUUAUGAAAAAAAUAAGAUUGAAAGAAGAGAGAUCUAAAUGAAAAAGGCAUCAAACAUGAUGACAUGCUUUAAGUUUUGAAAAUGAUGCACUUUGGUCCUCAAAUUUAAAAAAACACAGAUUAUAUAAUUUUGAUACCUUAAUAUUUUUCAAUUUAAGUUUGGUAUGAAAGUUUAUUUUUGUUAUUUUUUUAGUCCAAGGUUAAGAGUGGAGAGAGAAGUCGCUGGAUUCCAACGGUAGAGAGAGAAUCAUGUCGUUGGCAUUGAUUUAGACUAUUAAAACGGAUGAUAUUUGUGUCAAAUAACUUUUUUGAAUUGAGAGAAAUGCGUUGAAAAAACCUGCAUAUAUAAUGUUUUUAUAGAAAAUAAAAAUAUUUGACCUGUAAAGGAGCACAAGUCAUAUAACUACUAGUAGUACUAAAUUGAAGUGAUAAAAAAUAAUAUAAAGCACAAGUAAAUUGCAUAGAUAAGUCAUCAAUGACACAAACCCCUCCAUAUAUAGAUAAUUGAGCAUCGAUUCUUAAGUUUAGGGAGACACAUGGUGGCCAUGUAAGUCUAUACUGGAUCCAUGCGCUUGCAAGUAAUGAUGGAUUCUCAUGAGUCCUAGAAUUCAACAUGCUUAAGAAUAUAACGGACGUGUUGGAUAAUUUGUUGAUUUCUUAGUUCAAGUAAUCUGAUCCAUUCUUCAUAGUUAAUGUAUCUAGUGACUUGAUAUGAAAAGCCUAAAGGGUUGGUAACUAGUAGCAGGUGAUGUCUGGCAAGCCAGGUGACUGGUAGUUGGUACCUAUAAAAGGUCCUCUUUGAUGGAUUUGGAGAUUCUUCGAUAGUAAAGUUAGUAACUUUAUAGAGAGAGAAGAAGCAAUAAUAUUUUAGAGAGAGAUACUCUGAAAAUAUAUACAUAGUAGAGAAUGAAGAUAUUGUGAACCUUUGACUUGAAGGAUUUAUGGUGUAUUUAUAGCUCAUGAAUCUUAUCCUUUUUGUGGAGAGGAGGGACUGAAGUGUAAUUUCAAUAUUAUAAUAUUUUGAGUUGUAUUCUACUUAAAAUAAUACGUAUUUGAUCAAUAUAAAAUAUUGAGAGACUUGUAUGGGGUCCAGAAAAAAUUCUCUAACGAAUGUUGGGCUUGGGCAGGGUGCACGAGCCUAUUGGAGGUGAAAGUGGGUUCAAGAGCACUACUUAGACCCAAACAUACUGGGCUUGGUAUGACAACUUGUGCCCAUGAGGGCUAUAAGGUGCGCGCCCAUGAGGGCUAUGGGGUGUCUGCCCAGCAUCACCUAGGCGUACGCCUUACAUUGGUGUACACCUAUUGGGGUGCAUUAGGUGUACAUGCAUGUACUGUGCAGACGCCUAAUACAUUGUAUAGUGCCCAUGCACUUGGCGUCCAUAUGCCUAUGCAGGGAGCAUGCUCUUGGUGUGUGAUAGCUCGAGCUCGUGUUUCUUGGAUGUUUUUUGAGCUUUUUUUUUUACGAUUUUUUUUGGAUCAAUUUUGGAGAAUUUUUUAGAUUUAUUUUAUUUGUAUCCAUCAGAUUCUAUUAUCAAUUUAAAAAUUUUGAAGUGAUAGAUUAAGAAUAUAUAUUGUAUAUAAGUUCCUCAUUUUCCAUUCCUAACCCAAUAACACAUCUUGAAACACUAAACUGGCGUGAACCUUAAAAUAGAAAACUAAAUUUUAUUGAAAGUUUACCCCUUUCACAAUAUCUGACAAAGCAAUGGAUAGCUUCUACAAAGAGGAUUUUUUAGGAAAAUUUAUUUAUUUUCUUAUUAUUUUUACUAUUUUUUCUAUUUAGUGUAAGAAGUUAAAUUUUAUGUUAAUAUUUUUAUUUUUUCUAGUUUAUUUAGAAUUUUUAUUACUUUUGUUUUUUGUAUUUUUAGGUUUUCUAGUUUGUUUAGGUUAGUUUUUAGGUUUAUCUAAGAAGUUGUAAACCUCUUAGUGAAAAAGGCUAUAAGAACAUAAAAUAUUCAGUAAUAAAAUUAUAAAUUAGGAUUUUGCGAGAUAGUUUUAUUUGGCUUCAAUUAUGUAUUUAUAGCUUAUUGUUUUUUUUUUUGUUUCUAGUUAGUUGAUAUUAAUUACAGUCCAACGAUACCAAUUGUUAUUUGCUUGUUAUGUGCUUAAAUAACUAUGACUGGAAGGGGUAGUAGAAUAAGACAUGCUCGUAUAGGAGUGGAUGAAGAGGUUCCCCUUGAGAAAGAGAUGUUUAAAAGAUGGUGAUAGAAGACAUGCAACGAUAAAUUGCAAAAUUGAAAAGAGAUUUUGGGAUGAUAUAAGACAUGCAUAAAAAAUUGCAAUAUUAACCCAUUAGUUGGAAGAGGUAAGGAGCCUAGGGUAUCUUGAGAAAAGUGAUCAUGGAUCUAUUGUUAAUUUUGAGAACUUGUUUAAAAGACAGUAAGCAAAUAAAAUAACUUGUUGAUUGGGAUGAAUAUGAUAUUGAAUCUAAAAUUUUUGAUAACUCUAGUUUCUUAGUGGACUAGAAUCAAAUACUAAAAUUUGACGAGGAUAAUGAAAAUGACGGCAAAGGAAAAGAUUUAAAGGCAAAUUUUUUAAUUAGUGAUCUCCACGAGAAGAAAUCAAAAUUAGAUGUGUGUUUAAGAAAAAUUUUAGAAUUAAUGAGGUGAAAGCUGAUGCUAUUGCAAUUCAGCUCAUGCAAGACUUACAAGUCGUUGGCAGUAUCCAAUUCGAAUAUUAUAGACUUCGUCUAAGGUAGUUUACAAAGAAAGUACCCUUAAGACGUGAUUAUAAUAAAAAGUCUAUAUUUCCUGAAAAACAGAAAAGAAAAACACUACAAAGCUGAGAAAGGCAGACAAUAUCGAUUGUCAAAAUCUGAAGGAUACUCAAAUGAGUUUCGGAAAUAUUGAGGAGGGUGUAGGAAAACCUGAAAAUGUACGAGAGAACACAACCCCAUCAUGGGUUGCUGUAAUAUGAUAGAAUGGAAUGAAAAACAUAUUGGAAUGAGCAAUAACUAUUACUUGAUUUUUCUAUUUUCUGGUUGUGUAAUUAUCAAUCUGUAAGUGUUACAUAUUGAUCCCGUCUACACUGGCAUUUUUCUCAGCAGAUUGUUGAAGCUGCAAUGCAAAUUCAAGGCCCCAAACGACAUCACCCAUUUUAGGGCGUUCAAUUCCUUGACCAUGUAAGCAACUGUUAGCAAUCUCUGCAAAGUUAUUUAAAGAGACAGGGGAAACCUCGCCCUUUAAAUGUGGAUCCACGAUCUGAUCAAGGGUUCCUCUUUGGUAACAUUUUCGUGCCCAGUCAGCUAAGCUUGCUUGAUCUUUCGGUGAACCUGGAAUCACUGGUGGCCUUGCACAUAGCACCUCAAACAAAACCACACCGAAUGAAUAAACAUCAGAUUUCUCUGUCAGGUGUUGCCUACGGUAGUACUCUGGAUCCACAUAUCCAAAGCUACCUCUAACUCCAGUGCUAACAUGGGUUUGGGAUGUACUAGUGGGACCUAAUCUGGACAGCCCAAAAUCUGAAACCUUAGCCACCCAAUUCUCAUCUAACAAUAUGUUUGUUGACUUCACAUCACGGUGAAUGAUUGUGUGCUUUGCUCCUGAAUGAAGAUAAUGCAACCCUUUAGCAGCACCGAUGCAUAUUUCUAGCCUUUGCUUCCAUGGAAGAGGAGAGUUCUUUGUUUUGUAUAGAUGUUCUCUAAGAGUGCCUCUUGACAUGUAAUCGUAUACAAGGAUCAUCUCGCCAUGAUCAUCACAGUAUCCAAUCAGUGACACUAGAUGAAGGUGGCGCAGAUUGGAUAACAUCUCAAUCUCUGUCUGGAACUCACGUGUCCCUUGCUUUGAUGAUGAAUCUAGUCGUUUGAUGGCUACUGCGAUGAAACCGUAUUCAAUGUAUCCUUUAUACACAGUACCAAAUCCCCCUGAACCAAUAAUAUUUUGAUCAUCAAAGUUUCCUGUUGCUUCGUUGAUUUCGAAAAAUGUAAACCGUCGGCAAAGAUCAGUAGGUAGUGAUGAAGAGAUUGUAGUCGUGGACCUAGAUGUUUGUGAUAUUAUAGUACAGGAGGAUUUUUCCUCACUCUUGCUAGGGUCCUCGACUCGCUUCUGCUUGAAAGCAAAGAAAUAAAGAAUAAGAGAGCAAGCAAAUACUGCACCUAUGGAACCUCCAACGAUGGCUAUAACCGUAAGUAUUGAUGAUCUUUUGCCCGUUCUUCUGUCUUGUAGACUUGGAUGUUGUUCUGCUGGUGGAGGAGCCACUGUUGGCUCAGGGUUGAAUCCUGCAAGAUUUCCGCCUGUUCUAUUCAGCUUGAAUAUUUCCAAGCCAUUCAAGAUUGCAUCAGCGUAAGUAGGUUUCAGUUCCAUGUUAGGGUGUAGUUCGAGCCACAAGCCCUGCUUGCUCUGGCUCCCUGGAGGGACCCGCACCAUGUAGUCUUUGUAAACUGGAAUGCCGUUGCCACCGCUCAUAUGGAUCACAUCUGCAUCAUCCUGUGCUGUUUGAUUGUUGAUGAAUAUUAAAAAUACCUGUUGAUUUUCAUUUUUGAACUCCAUUCGAGUCUCACAAAAGUGGAGCCUAAGGAGAUAAAGGAAACCAGCAUCAACUGGGAAGAUCCAUGUGAGAUUGUAAUUCAUGUUAAGACGUGGUUCAGGACCCAUAGAACGCAUAGUACUAUAUACCAUAACAGGUGCCGAGUAAGCUGGCGUUUUGGUUGUGUACUUUAUCAUAACGCCUGGGAGAUAUGGAAUGUUUCCAGCUUGUCUAAAGAGAUACUCUGAAUCUUGAUGCCAUGUCCUGUACAUUCCAGUGUCUCCAGUGCUGCUGAUAUCUUGCCCCCCAACAUUCAGUCGAUAAACUGUCUCAAGCGCAGUUGUGUUAUACAGAAAGGUGUGGACAUCGGGGCCCACAUAGGUCAGUGGAUUAUCAUCGCCACGAGCAUAGAAGCUGUCUGGCAUGGAAACGAUUUCGAUACCAUUAAUGAAGGCAAAAGAUGCUGGAGACGGAAUGAAGGUUAAUUCAAGCUUCUGGUUGUCCCACACGGUGAUGAUGAACUCUUUGGUGAAGUAGUCAACUGGAGGUCUUAUAGCAGAAAUUAACUGUAAGAGAGGCACUAAAGUUGUUUAGUAGCUUGUAGUUGUUGGCACUAAGCGAAAAAUAGGAUUUGGAUAUGUCAAGAUUUGAGUAAGAAGCUGGAUAAAAGUAGAGACGCACAAAUUUUGGGCCAGGCAAGACUGGAAAUGUGUAAGUGAAUUUAGAGUGAAAAAUACGGGCUGUCAUGUAUGGGACUUGGUCGACAGAGGGGUCUUGAGUGGAGGCUUCAAACACAGAUGAGGCUUCUGGGGGGUUAGAGGCAGCAAACUUAGACUGGGAAUCACCAUCCCAGCUGCGACCAUCUGGAGAUGACAAAUUAGAGGAUGCACCACAGUUAAGGAGUAUUAGAUCAGUGGGGCUGUAUGGCAGCAAGUAAUCUUCAGUAGCAGUACCAUAGAGGAAGAGAUGGAGGGGAGGGAGAAGGUAGAGAAAGAUGAAGAUGGACAUUACUAUGCUAGUUCUUUGGUGGAGUAAAUUGGAGUAAGAAAAAAUAUCUAUUAAAUGCAAAGAUUUUGAUUUAAGGGAAGAUAAUCAAUGGUGUCGCUGUCUCCAUACAGUAACAUUUUUGCUCAGGUUGAGAAUAAUCCAAUAAUAUAUUUGAGACCCGUCGGAGAAGAAAAUUCGACGAUAUGGCUAAUGGGACAUAUUGGUCAGCUUUGGAUGGCUGCUUCCCGUUGUGUGGUUCUGAAUUCCGCAAUAAAGCCGCAAUGAACAAUCUAAUUUCAACAAAGGAUCGACCUAUUCCUUUUUGGUUCAUGAGUGUGCCUUUUUGGGCUGAGCUUAUAACCAAAAAUCUUCUCAUCUGGUAUAGUAAUCGCUUACUGCAAAACUUGGUGGUAAUGAGAAAUCUUUCUUCCCCUUAAUCGAAGAAUAAUGGAUUUACCUCUUGAUAUAUCUGGGACAUAUUUGGUAUCUAUUAGAAAAUAAUAUAAAUUAUAUAUUGAAAUUUUAUUUAAAAAUUUAAGUAAUUGGGUUGAGAUGGUUCUUUGAUAUGAUAUCAGAGUCUUAAUGACAAAACAUGCAUGAGAUUAAAUCUCAUCAUUCUCAUCUAUUUGAUAAAAAUUAAGCACAAGGUAAUGUGAGCCUAUGCAAGUUUAAAGCUCAAAAGACUUUCACUUGAAAGAGUGUGUUAGAGAAUAAUAUAAAUUAUAUCUUGAAACCUCACCUAAAAAUUUAAGCUAUUGGAUUGAGAUAGUUAUUUAACAGUACAUAAUAAAAUCAAUAGCAACAGUGAAGAAGAGGCAAGCUGUCCUCUCUUCCCUGGAGAUGGUAAUUUGCUCUCUCUCAUCCUGUUAAGCUUGAUUUCCAUACAUGAGGGGAAACUGAAUGGAGUUCUCGGUGGAUGAAAAAUAAUUGGAAUAAUAAAUGAAAUGAAAUUGAGUUUCAUUGUUGAAAAAAUCAUGCUGAAAUCACUUCAAUCCUAAGGAAAAUACAAGUCUUCUACAAUGAUCAGGUCUAGCAAAUGUUCUUAUCUUGUACAAACACGACACCUAAUGCAAACCUGUGAACAUUCCAAGAUCUUUUUUUAAACUUCAUUGCUUGCAAUAGAUCAAGGAAGCUUCGCCAUUAAUUAGUGCACGAGAAAGACAAUCACUAGAUAUCGUAUCAACAUAGCAAUUGCUUGCUAUUUUCUUCAAUUAUAAAUCAUUAUAAAGUAUAUACAAAUUUUAUUGUUAUUGUUGGGAUAUUGCCAUUAUUGGGCAACAUGUGCAGCCUACCCUAUAAAGAGUAGGGUUACCAUUUGUCAAUGGUAGUUGCACCCACCAUUGAUAAAUGUAUCAACCCAUGUGCAACUGUUGUUGUUGAAGAAGAACAACCACCAUCCUUGCCUAUAAAUAGACAACAAGAGAGCAGAACAAUUGAGAGAGGGAUUGUGAGAAUGUAGAGAGUGUGAAGAGAGAAAGAAAGAGAAGGGCUGCCACCAGCAGCCCUGCUGCCUUAUGCAGCAAUGAGAGAUGAGAGUUGAGUGGAUGUGAUCCUCCUCCAUGUGUUGUAUUCUUUCUCUAUCUCUAAAUAAAAUGAACCUCUCCCAUGGAUGUAGGCGGUUUUGCCGAACCACGUUAAAUAUUGUGUCAGUGUGCUUGCCCUCCGUUGAGCAAAGAUCAGUACAUCACUGGUCGGAUUUCCCAACAAUUGGUAUCAGAGCUGAUGGUUUAAAGUGGUGUUUGAUUUUUGCUCAAAAAAUGAAAGUUGUCAAAAUUGUGUUUUGACCAUACCACCGUGUAGAGGAGGAAGAGACGAAGCCACUGUUGAAAACUGCGUUGAAAUCGGACGUCGGACAUGGCCGCACGUGCCGUCACGCGCCAGCGUCACACGUGUCUUCUUCGCCCGGAUGGGCUGACCCGACCCGAAUACCAGACGACCCGACCCACGUGGCUGACUCGGAUAAGGAUGACAUCAGUAUGCCGUAAUUAUGACGUCAUCAUGCACAGUAGCAUGGCCCAGGAUGACAUCAACAUGAUGUAAUGGUGGCGUCAUCAUGCACAGUUAGCACAUUGGACCCACUAACACGUCAUCAGCCGUGAGCCGAGCUGAUCCGAGCGGCGAGCCGAGGGAUAGGAUUCUGUGCAGCUGAGUCUAUGUGCAAUCGGAUCUGAGAUUGAAUCUGAGCCGUUGAUCAAGCCAGAAUUGUUUUGAUCAAAGCUUAGCCGUCUGAAGUGCGAUUUGGACGAUUCAAGACAUGUUUCCAGCUAAUUUGAUCAUUCCAGAUGCAAUGGUACGGUCCGAUCAUUGAGAUUUGAGACCGAAAAUGGCGGUGGUGAAUUAUUAAAGAGAGAUUGCCCGAUCAGGAGGCAUCUGAGGGUCUUGAUGGAGGUCGAUGAAGAUGAUGAAGAAGAAGGUGCACAUGUUUUCCCAAUUAUAUGUGUUGAACUAUUAAAUGGGAAAAUGUAAUGCCUUGAUGGAAGGCAAAAUUAGGACACUCUGGACACCCAGUUAUGUGGACAAUUAGAGGUGGAGAGUGAAAAUUGACGAAGACCAAUCUUGACGAAUCUAAGCACUGGUAGUCUCGCUAGAUGUUGAGAAAUCAGGUAUAAAACCAAGAUACCCAGAUCACUUGUAAAGGAAAGCCGCAACAAAGCUAGCAAAUGGUUGUAUAUACGGAAAGACAGUACGAUGGAUAGAUAUGGCCUAAGAAGUUAUGUCUAGGAGAUUAGGUUUUAAGUGGGACCGUUGUGACCCCUCCAAUCUUUCCUGGGAACUUGCUUAGUGGAAGGAUUAUCCAUAUGGUACUAUUUUCGUAUAUGUAACAGUUUGUAAUGAAAUUUUUGAAGACUAGCAGGAUGACGCCACAAGGGGAACAAUUGGGUUCCGUAUGAUCAAGGAUCUGAUGGAGUAGUGAUUUCUUCAAAGAAGCUAGAUUCGGUGACUGUGAUUUCUCGAGGGGAGAAUUGAUGAAGACCCUGAUAAUGGAAGAGAAAUACAGCAAGGGGAUAAAGAUUGGCACCCUAUUUUGACUUGGACAAGUGUUGUGACAGGAUCAGCUGCUAUCAAACAUAAGCAAGGAAUAUGGAGAAAUCUGGAGAACAGAAAUUGCACGAGAGCACACGAAGAUUAUGCAGGAGUACCCGUAGGAUCCAACGAGGUACUGUAAUGAGAAGUUUAUUAUGUUGUUGUUGAAGAAGAACAACCACCAUCUUUGCCUAUAAAUAGACAACAAGAGAGUAGAACAAUUGAGAGAGGGAUUGUGAGAAUGUAGAGAGUGUGAAGAGAGAAAGAAAGAGAAGGGUUGCCACCAGCAGCCCUGCUGCCUUAUGCAGCUGCUGCCCAAUGCAGCUGCUGCCCUAUGCAGCAAUGAGAGAUGGGAGUUGAGUGGAUGUGAUCCUCCUCCAUGUGUUGUAUUCUUUCUCUAUCUCUAAAUAAAAUGAACCUCUCCCAUGGAUGUAGGUGAUUUUACCGAACCAUGUUAAAUAUUGUGUUAGUGUGCUUGCCUUCCGUUGAGCAAAGAUCAGUACAUCAUCGGUCGAAUUUCCCAACAGUUAUACUCAUCAAAAACAUGAGUAAAAAGAAAGAAGAAGGGUUCAGACAGUCACCCUACACGUAGAGCAAACUGAUCCACCCAUCUUGGUGGAGCUCACAUAGACGGAUUGGGUCACCUUGCGCUUUAUAGGUCGCUGUUGAAAUCGAAACCCACGCAGACAGAUAAAGAACCGACCCCUUUGUCCCCUCUUCCUCGAUCAACUACCAUGUUUGCAUCGAUUGUAGCAAGUGCAAGGCCGAGAGUUACCAUUGAUCGGUUUUGCACAGUUGCCAUAUAUUUGUGCAUUGCAAAUUGGUUGUCGUUCUAAACUCUUAGGCCAUGUUUGUUUCCUAAAAAGUAGUUUUUGGGAAAUAAUUUUCCAGACUUUCUUAUGUUUGUUUACUAUUAGAAAAGUUGGUCAAAUGAAAACACUUUCCGGUCAACGGAAAACACUUUUUAGUCAAAGAAAAUUUUAGCUUGGUUUUCAGGAAAGUGUUUUCCAUUUUAGCGGUGUUUAUUUUCUGAAAAGUGGUUUCCAGGAAAUCACUUUCCAAACUUUCUUGUGUUUGUUUGCCAUUAGAAACGUUGGUCAACAGAAAAUACUUUCCAGUGAAAGGAAAAUUUGACUUGGUUUUCAGGAAAGUGUCUUCGUGGAAAAUUUGGGCGGAAAACACGUUCCGAAAGUUGUGAAAAAUUUAGAAAUGUCAUUAUUUGCUGAUUAUAUCAAAUUUGAUCCUUAAACUUUUGAUUGCUAUAUAUAUUUUGUUUUGAAUAUUUAUUUUUCAAUUUCAUCUCUUAAAAUUUUUAUUUUAUAUUAACUUUGGUCCUUAUUUUUAUAAUUGCUAUUUUCUUUUUCCUUAUCAUUUUUUUAUUGAAAUUUUUUAUCUAUCAAAUUUGGUCCUCAUUCUUUUGAUUGUUACUUAAUUUUUUAGAUUUGAUCGAUAUUAUUUUGAUUAUUAUUUAUUUUAUUUGAGAUAAUUUAUGAAAUUAUAUUUAUUUUUUCAAUUUCAUUCAACUUUUUAAUUUAUAAGAUUUGUUCCUCGUUAUUUUAAUAAACUUGAGAAAAAUAAAAUAUUAAUAAGUUAUUUUCCAACUCAUUUUCCAUGACAUAACCAAACACUGGAAAAUGUUUUCCAACUUAUUUUCCAUUACACUACCAAAUAUCGGAAAAUACUUUCUCGGAAUUCACUUUCCGAAAAGAAACUACUUUCCAACAAACAAACGGGCCUUAUAGUUAAUAUAGUUACCUUGAGAGGCCAGUAGUCUCUGAUGCACUUCAGAUUCCAUAGAGAACUCCUCUUCAUUACCUUCACCGAUUGUGGCAUUGAAAAUUGGACUCGAGUUUGCUUUCAAGAAAGGCAGCUGCAGAAGCAGAUGUGAUCACCAAAACAAGCAGGAUAGUUAAAGAGAGCCACCAGAGGAAUUCAAUACUUACGUUAGGCCUCGUCUCUUUCUGUCUGUACCCUUCUGUUACAGAGUUUGAAGAGCACUAAAUAAACGUCACUGCGAAGAAUGCUUCGAACUCUGGAUAUGGAGUGAAAGGCUAGCUUUUUUCCAUUGACUUGCUUUUUUUGUGAAGACUUAGGUCUUCACAUGAAUGUGAUUUUGAUGUUUUAUACUAUCUUAAUCUAAUAAUUUAAAUUAUUAGAUAAAAUUAUAAAAUAUGAUAUAUAUUGUUCAAGAAUAUUUGACAAAACAUCCAGCCACUUAUAUAUAUAUAUAUAUAUAUAUAUAUAAGAUCAGGACCAUAAUCUGGAUUUUCGUUAGUGAAUUCAUCCUCAUCGGAACUUGAUAUUUCAUAUAAGGCUUCUUGGAGUUUUUUCUUGUAUUCUGACGUUGAGCUUGAUGAUGCAAGGUUUUCUUGAAUUCAACUUUUAGAGGUGAGAAACGUAAAUUGCCUUCUUGAGAUAGAGUUGAUGGGUAUGCUUGCAGCUAUGGAAUUUGAUGUGAUGAGAUUAUUGCCAAGCAUGCACAAUUUCAGAACAAGCUUGAGCUUCUCUGAAUUUGGGUCCACCAUUUGACUUUGAUUUUUCUCAUGAGAUCUAAAGAGUAACCAAUAUCUUUAUUUACAUCAUUCAUUAUAAUGGAGUCCCAAGAUAGCAUGAGACACCAAAGGUUGAGAUGAAAUAAAAAGAGGUAGGAAUUGAAUUCAAAGGUAUUUUUACUGUAAGCAAUUCCAAUCCUUUGUAUGAUUUUUUAGGGAGAAUCUCACUUAUUGAAGAAAAAUAUUGCCAUCAAUUGUUUGACAACUAAGUUGGAAAAUUCUUUGGAAAUGUUUUGAGAAAAUCUUUCAAGGUGCAGGGUUUUGAUUCAUCUCUUGAAAGGUUAAAACCUUUUGAAUUUUUAUUUUUGAAAAAACAAGAUUGUUUACAUCUUGAUUAUGAGUUAUUUCAACAAAGUCAAUAUCAACCAAAAUAAACUCAUAGAAUUGUUUUGUUUUCAACAUAUUUUCUAAAAUAACUUGAAAAUAAUAGCUUCUUGACUUGAAAGGCUUAAAGCUUUUUUUAGGAAAAAUUUGGAGGGUAAUUAACACAAGUGAAAGUACAAGCAAUGGGACAAUAGCGAGAAAAAGAAAAUUAAUAGUUGAAAUAGAGUAGAGCACAUGAAUUCUAAUUUAUAGUUUUAUUGAUGAAGAGAAAAAUUCACUAUUUCUUUUGCCUCUUUAUGAUGUUUUCAACUUUUUAAAUAAGCUAAAAAAAUCAAACUAAUCAAACUAGAAAACCCUAAAAUAAAGAAAAAAAAUAUUAAAAUUCCUAAACAAACUUAGAGAAAUAAAAUUACUAUUCUCAAUAUUUAAUUUCCUAAACUAAAUAGAAAAAAUAAAAUCACCGAAAAUAUUUUCCUAAACUACAUAGAAAAUAAUAAUAACUAAGAAAUUUUAAUUUCAUAAAAACCCUUGGCAUCAACAAUAAUGUUGUAAAAGGUGUAUUAAUUUUGGGAUUGAACAAACAAGGGAGUUUGGAGAGAUUAAGAAUAAUUUAUAGGUGAGGUGUUUGGACUAGAUCAUGCUGAUGAAAGGAUUCAAAAUUGAUUAUUUAAGACACUAGCCCCAAGGAGGUCAAACCCUCCCUGAAAUAAAUUAAUAUCUUGAAUGCUUGAUGUUGUGGUUUGAAUUGGUCUUGAUGGUGUAAGAGCAUAUGAUUAUUUUGACUUAUUUUGAGCCUAGUAAAGACUCUUUGGAUAAAAGACUCUUUUACUUCUUUCAUUAAUUCAAUCUCCAAAUCAUAUUUUAAUAAAUUAUCUUGUUACCUGGCAAAACUUUGUUUUGACACAAUAUUUUGAAUAUUUUUUUCAACAACUUAUUUUACAUAUUGACAAUUUAUUUGUAAAAGAAAUUUCUGGAAAAUAAAUCAUCUUGAAAAUAUUAGAUGUAUAAAAUAAUUAAUAAAAUUUUCUUUUUGAUAGUUGAAUAAUUUUCUUGAGGAUCCAACCAAAUACCUAAAUGAUAUUGCACUAUAUGUUAUUGACUUUGAAAAUUUUGUUUGAGAAUACCACUGUAACUAAUAUCAAAGGCAUCGGUUUCAACUAUAAAAAAGGCCUCUAGAUCAUAAAGUCUUAAACAUGAAAACUCUUGACUUGACUUUUAAGAGUAUUCACAAUUUUGAUCAUUUGAUGAUUGAUUUUAGACAGGAGGGUUUUUCUUAAGUCUUUUGUACAAAGGUUGACAUAUAGUUCUAUGAUUUGGAAAAAUAUCUAAAACAUAAUCGAGGCAUCCCAUAAACUUUUAAAGCUAGGUUUUACCCUUGAUCUUAUUUAUGAAUUUAAUGGUAAAUUUUAUUAUAGUGACAAGGGUUAUUGAUAAAUUAUAAUUUUUAAGGUUGAGAAAACUAAUCUAUUUUGUUUGAUAAUAUUAAGAAACGUUUGUAAGUUGUUGAAAUGUUUGGUUAUUAGUUUUAAAAAUAAAAGAACAUCAUCUAUGUAUAUAAUCAUAAUUUUGAAUAUAGAUUAAAGAUGUCAUUCAUGAUGCUCUGAAGUUUUGAAGGAGUAAUUUUUAGUUCGAAAGACAUUAUAUCUCAUUUGUAAUGACCAAAUGAAAUAAUGAAUGUUGUUUUAUAAUGAUUUUUUUAAUCAAUUUAGACUUGUUAGAAUCUUGAUUUCAUAUCAAUUUUUGAAUAUAUUGAAGAAUUUUAAAGUCUUCUGAUAAGAUCUCUCUUAUUGUGUAUUGGAUAUCUAAUAUAUUGGAGCACUUUGUUGAGAGGCUUGUGAUUUAUGACAUGUAUUAGUGCAUGAUUAGUACUUAAAAGUGUAUUUUAUCAAUGUUUUAUAUUAUCAUUUUGUACUUGAAGUAUCAAUAACUCCUUAACUAGAGCAUGUUUUAUAAUAACAAGUCUGAUAAUAUAAGAUAACUUUAAUUUAUGGUAAAUGCUCAUUUUAAAUACAGACAUAUCUCACAAUUCAAAGGAUUGAUUGCUGUGAUUAACUAUUGAAAGUGAAAAGACAAAGAAAAGGCUAAGCUUAGAAAGGAGAUGCAGAUUCAAUUCAAAUUGGAACACUGUUAAGUUAUUGGGUCAUAUCUGGAGCUACAGUUCUUGGAUUUCAGUUUGGUUUAUAUGGCUAGAAAAAUAAGAAAUAGGCUUACAAUGUUCAUGAAUAGUGAAAGACCCAAAUCUUCCGUUUUCAAAUUCAAAGUUUGGCCACAAAAGAGAAGUCAGAAUCUGUCAUACAAUCCAGCCCAAACACUUCUCAUACUUUUACCCAUAGCUGGAGUUUUAAAAGGAAAAAUGAUGUCAAAUUUGGUGGCUAGAAGGAUAAGACAAUUUCCAAAAACUUUCAUGAAGACGACCUGCUCCAAUUCUGAUGUUAGAAAUGACAUUUCAUCCAGACAAGAGCUUGAGGGCUGUCCAUUACGUCCACCAGAAGCACUACUCAAUAUUUUAGCCAUAUCUCAAUCUCUAGUGAUCCAAAUGCUCUAAAAUUUUAUGGAUGGAAAGAUGAGAUGAUUGCAGACAACUUUUAUGAAGAACACUUUGCCAAAUGUUGAUUGAAUCAAUGUCAUUUCAUCCAGCCAAAAUGCUUAAGUGUUAUUGUCCACCAAGUCCACUAAAUCAAUAGUUGGCCACUACAUCAAUAAUCAAUUACCAAAUGAAUAGUUCCGAAUUUUAGCCUAUAAAAGGAGACAAUUGCAAUUCAUUUAGGCAUCUUGGUUCUUAGAUCAAGAUCAUGUUCUUGCUCUCUCUUUAAAUUUUUGUAAUGCUUAAGUUUUGCUUUCAUUAAUCUCUUGUUUAUGCUUUUCAUUUUCUUUACUAUACUUAGUUAACUUAUAUCAUGUUUAUGUUCAUAUAUUGUUUAUUUAUGUUUUUAUUUUUCAUAAUGUCGAGCUAAGUUAAUUAUGUCAAGGUGAAAAGGUUUCACUAAUGGUGUUAGAAUAUGUAUAAUAUAAACUCAAUAUGGACUUCAAUGUUUAUAUCCAAGAAAGUUUGUUAUUAAUAUGUCAUAUCUUUUUAUCUUAUUAAUUCUUAAUACCUUGCUUGUUAAAUGGUUAAUCUAGAUUUGUGUUGUAUAACACUUGGUAAAUCAAAUGCUUGAUCCUUCAUAGUCUUCGGUCAACAUCAUUGUUAUGAGAAGAACUUGAUUUGUUGUUAACAUAAGUUAACAUCAUGAAUUCCUGAUAAUAUUUAAAAGUAUGGUGUUACUAAAAUAAGAUAAUUAAUAUGAUCAUGUUAAAAAUUUAUAAUUAACUUUUACGGAUAAAUCAUCCGAUUGGAACCUCCUUUGUGUGUGGUUUCCAAUUGAGUAAUAAAAAGAGUUUAUACUAUACUUAUUUCUAAUACCAUUAGUGGACCCUCUAACCUUGACAUUUAUUUGUAUUAUUGUUUAAUCCUCACAUUAAUCUUAUAUCUCAAAGAUCUCUUUAUAUAUAUAUAUAGUUAACUUUCCUGUGGAUCGACCCCGGUCUUGCUGAGUUAUUUAUUACUUUGACACUCCUUCACUUGAGAGAAGACAUCAAUCUUUUUGUCAUGUCAAUGCACUUCUUUCUAUUUCAGCUUGAUUCCAGACAUAAAAAGGUGGCACAUAACCAUGAUGAUUUACUAGGGCUUAUAAGACACUUUUUGAUUAAUUUGAGGUAAUUUCCAAUUAUCAUUGUACGUGACUUUAUCUCAUUAUCAAAGUUUAGGAACUUGAAUGUUUGAAUUUUGAGAGUUAGCUUUAAUAAGGAGAGUUUAAUUUAUAGAUGAAUUUUUGAGAGGUUUUGGAGCUAUGUUUGUAUCCAUGAUUUUGUAAUAUAUUCUAUAGAUGAUGACUAUAUUCAUGGAAUCUUGAAGCAUAUCAGUACGAGUCUUAACAAGUCUCAAUAUUUAGAGCUAAGGUUUUCACUAUAAUAUCUAGGUUGAAUAAUGAGAUAGUGAAAUUUCGAUAACAAUUCAAGUAUGUAGAACCAUUAACAAGAUUUGAUUGAAAGAUUGUAAGGAGUGAGUUUGAAAAGGUCAUAAAUUUGUGGUCUCUUGAAAACAUAAGUAUGGGAGAGUCUAAUCCGAGAUGAUGAAUUGGUUUGAGUACAAUCUGUAUUAGACGGUGAUCAUUUUCGGUUUGGUUUUUUUAAAAAAACCAAAACCGGUUCAAACCGACCGGUUUCAGUUUGACUCGGUUUUUUCUGGUUUGGAUAUGUUUUUUUCGAUUUAGGUUUGGUUUGGUUUUUCAGUUUCAAACUUAUAAAACAAAAACCAAACCGAACUGGUCGGUUUUUCUGGAAAGAUAUAAUUGUUUCAAAUUGUUUGAUGAAGGCUGGUCUAGAUCAUAAAUAAUUGUCAUUACACAGUGCCGGUCUAACUUGAAAGAUGUUAAUGCCCCAUUAAUUGCGACGCCUAAGCUCAUAAACGAUAUCCAUGAAUUAUGAUGACCAUUAAGGAAGCUCAUAGGAACUCCUUAAUUUCAAGUUGCUUCUUAAUUUGUCUUCUUGGACAUGCAUGUGAUCUAAAGGAACAAAGGGAAAUUAAAUGCUUAAGCAUGAAUGUGAUCGUUCUAUAUAUGUUCGUCUUCAAGCUUUGAAAUUUUUAUAGCUCAAUUAUUAUAAUUUUUUUUAAUUUUUUUAUGUGGGAAAAGAGUAUCAAAAUUGUGGGAAAUAUAUAUUAGAAUAUUUCAUGGACUGCACUGCUCUAUGAUUGUGCAUUUAUAACCCAAUUAUUAUUAUUUUUUCUUUUUCCUGUUGAUUGCAUUUUGGAAUCCAUUUGAUUAGACAUAAUUUGAACUGGAAGAAUGAAUUGGGUUCACCUUCAUUUGUUCUGUUUUAAUGUGACUGAGAGCCUUAUUUUUUUAAAUGUAUUGUCACUCAUUUAGAUACUGGCUAAGUAGAGUUUGCAGUCAGAUUAACAUACAGUAUGCAUUCAUUCCAUUAAACCCUAAUGGAGUGAAUGAAUAAAAUGACUUUUAUUAAAUGUUCCUCUACUACUUGGAUGCUGAACUGGAGUAUUGGAGGUUCCCACAUUGCCCCAUUGUUGGUAUAUUCACCACAAGAAUUCACAGUUUUAUCGAGGGCAAUAUUCCGUCGGUGUGUGAUUGAUAGUACUUCGGUAAAUUAUUUACCGACUAAAUUACCGACAGAAUACGUCUGUCAGCUUACCUUUCAUCGGUGAUUCCACAUUCCGUCGCUUUAUUGAUCGGAAAAACAAAAAAAAUCAUUUACCGACGGUUUUACAGACGGAAUUUGCGUGCCAAAAAAAAAAAGUUUCCCGCUUCAAAAAUACCGACGGAUUUUUAUUCCAUCGGUGAUAUCACAAGUCACCGACGGUUACUUUCCGUCGGUAAAUUAGUCGGUGAAUUGUUGAAAUACCGAUAGAAUAUAUUGUCUGUCAAUUCGUCGGUAACUUGUAAUACCGACGAAAUUAUUCCAUCGGUAAAUCUGUUGGUGAGUCAUGAAAACACCGACCGAAUUUAUCUGUCUGGAAAUUUGUCGGUGAUGGUUGCGGCUACUGUCUAAUACCGACGGAUUUAUUCCGUCGGUAAAUCCCUUUAUAAUUUUUUUUCUAUUUUUUUUAAUAAUUAUUUAGAAUACAUAAUAUAAAAAGGAUAUAAAUUAAUGGUAAUAAAAACCAAUUAUGCAAAUAAAAUUUAUAUUAAGCAUCAAAAACAAAAAAUGAAAGAUAAAUAAUAUUCAUUACAAAAUGAAAUGUUUCAAAAAAACAUUAAAUGAAAUUUUAAAUGUAAAUAAUGUUUAUUAAAAAUUAAUAUAGAGGAGGAGGAGGUGGAGGACGCUGGCUGUUAGGCGGCCAAAAAGGAUUGGGUGCACAUGUUCCACCUUGUGCCAUGUUCAUGACUAUUUGACGAAGCUCUUCAUAGGUCGCUCAUUAUUGUUCAGAAUCUGCUCUGCAUUGUUCUUUGAGUUGUGUGUACGCCUCUGACAGGUGGUCGCACUUUUGCUGCAAGGCCAUGAACUCCUUAGAUUGGGAGCUCGAUACUGAUUGGGAGCUCCUGACGGUUGAAGCAGUAUGGGUCGUCCGCAAGUUGUCGGUCGUAGUGUUGGAGAGCCCGUAAACCCGAUUUUUAUCGAGUCCACUUGAUGAUCCAGCCUCCAUCCACAAAUCCGGAUCGAAUUCCGGAUGGGUCGAAGGAUCGUCCCUGUAUGUCUCCCUCAACCGAUUAUUAUAGGUCUCCUGAAAAUAAAAUAAAAAGUAAUCAUCAUAUUCAAUUCAAUAAACAUAAUAAUAACUUACAAAAUAAAAUUGUUGAACAAACAUACCACAAAAUGUUGAGCACGGCUGUCAACGAACUGUUGCACCCCCUGUUGGCGGUCUUGACUCCGCACGUGCGUCUCCACAAAUAGCUCCAUAGGGCUCGGCUCACGUCCAAGAGACAUAGCCUAUAAUGAAAAAAAUUUAUUAACAACAAAUUAAUUAAACGAUAUAUUUCAUUUAAAUUAAUCUUACCAUCCGUUUUGCAUGUGCAGCAAACGGAACGGAGCCGCCGGUGUGCGUUGUCACCGAGCCAUGAAUUGGCAGAUUCCAGUUGCCAGCACCGGACUAUGAGCAUCGUGUGAACUGCUCAGACGUCACGUGCUGAAUAUAGUGCGGCCAUAUAUCUUCCGGGAAGUAUAUCGGUUUGAAAUCCCUCCAAACCGCAACAUCGUUCCAGCCUUGGAACCCCCUAUCCCUCGCAGGUUUUUUUGCCUUUUUUUAGGCUUCGUACCAAAAAUCACGCAACCUACUUCACGCAAGCAAAAAUUACAUUUCGAAACAUAAAUUUUUUUGUAAAAAAAAAAGUUGUAUUGUUUUCGUUGUUACCUAGUUGCUGCGUGAUUUUCCUACACCCUCCUCACAACAGUGUUAUAUUCCUCGUUCCAACAUAAUCGAUUAUGUGUAUAAAAAAAUAAUUUUUAAAAAUGUUAAUAAUUUAUUUACAAUUAUAUUAAGAAUUUAUUAGAAAUAAGCUGAAAAUUAUAUAUAACACGAACCUGAAAUCUGGAAAACCAUGGAUUGAUUUGAGGCAUCCAUUCAGGAUGCCUGGUUAUCUGACUCCAAUGAAACAAUGGAUUCUCCAUCGAUGAUUUAAACACCGCUGAUAUUACUCGGGCGACCUCAAUGUUUGUGAACCUGAAAAGAAAUGAAAUUAAUUAAAUAGUGACUUCAUAAAUUAUGUUUUUAAUUUUUUUUUUUAAAAAAACUAAAACCUUAACAAACUGACAUUGAAAGAUCGUCUUUUCAUUAUGCCUUGUACUUGCAGGAAAAUCGAUUUCGCUGUGAAGGCACGCCGCUUUUGGGCUGUGAAACAACGCUGGAAGAGGCAGCAUCGGUUGACAGCACAAGUGGUGUAGGUGCCUCUUCUUGAGAGUCACCUAAGGAAAUAUCUUCCUCGCUGCUAGACGAACCUGAUGCGUCCGGACGUGAAGCUCUGGUUUUCAUUCUGUGCAUCUAACCAGUUUUAUAUAAAUAAUUAUAUAAUUAAAUUGAAAUGUUAAAAAAAAAUUCGGCAACACCUCCCCUAUACUAGAUACUACCCAAAUCCACAAACUUGCAAAUAUUAACAAUAGCCACAACCAAUUGACCCAAUCUAUACUAAUUAUUCCAACAUAUUCAAUUACAAAUCCUAAGGUCAAUUCAACAUUAACAAUUACAAUUCAACAAAUUAUUCAAUAAUUAUGCCAAUACAACAAUAAAAUAUAUUCAAUAAAUUAAAAAAUAAUUAUAAACUAAAAAUUAAAAUCAAUGGAAACAAUUAAACACAAAUUAUGCAAUAAUAGAGUAAAAUUACUACGUAUUCCAACAUAUCCAAUUACUAAUUCUAAGGUAAAUUCAACAUUAACAAUUAUAAUUCAACAAAUUAUUCAAUAAUUAUGUCAAUACAACAAUAAAAUAUAUUCAAUAAAUUAAAAAAAUAUUUUAAACUAACAAUUAAAAACAAUGAAAAUAAUUAAACACAAAUCAUGCACUAAUAGAGUAAAAUUACUAAUUAUUACAACAUAUGCAAUUACUAAUUCUAAGGUAAAUUCAACAUUAACAACAAAUAUUCAACAAAUUAACUAAUAACAAUUAUGCCAAAACAACAAUAAAAAAUUUUCAAUAAAUUUUUUUAAAAAAACUAUAGACUUUAGGGAAGAAAUAUGCAUACCUUAAUAAUGUGUUGAAACAAAAAAUUUAUCUACAUUACAAAAAAAUACAACAAAACAAAAAACAUAAAAAGCAUAAAAAUAACUAUAAAUAAAAUAAAAUAAAAUAGAAAAAACACACAUACCUUUUAAUAUGAUGAAGAUUCACAACCAAGCUUGCUAGAGAUUCAACAAAGCUUGAAGAUUUGAGAGGAAAAAAAUCAAAAUUCUAAGAACUUAUAGAAACCUUAGGUCUAUUUUCACGGGCGACAAGCCCACCCAUACUCACUCUGGUCUAUUUUCACAGGCGACCUGCCCACACUCUCACAUUGGUCUAUUUUCACGGGUGACCUGCCCUUUUUAUUGGGUUUACCUAAGAUCCCAUCUUGAGAUCUAACAAGAACAAAAAUCGGUGUGUAGCUCGAUCAACCUGAAAUCCCAUCUAGUAAUUCCCUUUAGCUAGAGCCAAGGUCUGUGCGGUUAGACUGAACUGAGAUCCCUUCGCCGAUCCCCUUCAACCAGAACCAAAAUCCUUUCCAAUUAGGUUAAACUGAGAUCCCUUUGCCGAUCCCCUUUAACCAUAACCAAGGAAUGUGUGGUUAGACUGAACUGAGAUCCCUUCGUCGAUCCAUUUCAACCAGAACCAAAAUCCUUUCCAAUUAGGUUAAACUGAGAUCCCUUUAUCGAAAAUUAACCAACCAAGGAAUAGUUAGACUGAACUGAGAUCCCUUCGUCGAUCCCCUUCAACCAGAACCAAAAUUUUGGUUAAACUGAGAUCCCUUCGUCGAUCCCCUUAACCAUAACCAAGGAAUGUGUAGGGUUGGGCUAGACUGAGAUUCCUUUCGGCAAUCCCCUCUAACCAGAACCAAAAUCCUUUCCAAUUAGGUUAAACUGAGAUCCCUUUGCUGAUCCCCUUUAACCAUAACCAAGGAAUUAUGUAGGGUUGGGCUAGACUGAGAUUCCUUUCGGCAAUCCCCUCUAACCAGAACCAAAAUCCUUUCCAAUUAGGUUAAACUGAGAUCCCUUCGUCGAUCCCCUUUAACCAUAACCAACGAAUGUGUGUAGCUCGGUCAACCUGAAACCCCAUAUAGAGAUUCCCUUUAACCAAAGCUACAUGAGAUCCCAUCUAGCGACCUCAUUCAACUGGAACAAAAGAAUGUGUAAAAAGUGGUCUCAUUAUAAUGGGUGACCUACCCAAGUGGAAAGGAGGAAGAGUGGUCUCAUUCUUAUGGGUGACCUACCCAGGGGGAAAGAAUAUGAAGUGCGGUCUUAUUAUAAUGGGUGACCUACCCAAAAUGGAAAAAAUAUAAAGUGUGGUCUCAUUGUAAUGGGUGACCUACCCAGAUGGAAAGAAUAUGAAAAAGUGCGGUCUCAUUGUCAUGGGUGACCUACCCAGAUGGAAAGAAUGUGAAGUGCGGUCUCAUUGUAAUGGGUGACCUACCCAGAUGGAAAAAAUAUCAUGAAGUGCGGUCUCAUUGUCAUAGGUGACCUACCUAGAUGGGAAAAAUAUGAAAAAUGGUCUUAUUAUGACGGGCGACCUACCUAGAUGGAAAGAAUGUGAUAUGACAAGUGUGAAAAAUAGGACUUACCUGGCGAAGUCUUGAGGGGAUGACAGAAGAUGGGCUGGAAAACUUGGUGCUUCAUGAUAAUCCCCGAUCAUAGGGUUUGAAAACUUGGUGUUUCCUGACUGCAAGAGUUGAAAACUCGAGGCUUCACGAUUGCAAGGUUGAUCUCUUCAUUUCUUUGGGAUUUUCCUAAUGGCAAGGUUCAUCCCAUCAUCCUUUUAUUCCAUGAUCAAAAUCGAUUCUUUAUUAUCAUCACCAUAGUGCUUCUUUCUUUUUUCAACAUCUUGCUGGACCUCAUUAAGGAUUUUCCUGUAACAAUUCAAAAAUAUAUGCAAAUGGUUUUUUUUUUUUUUAAGGUUAGAUGAUAUGCAUGCAUCCUUACCUGAUUUGAAAUAUAGGUCCCCCCCUCUUUGAUGCUCCAUCGUCAUAGGGUGCCCUUGUUUGUAUCCCAAAACUUUCUUUGUUCUUCCGAUACAUUGGCUCAUUCAUGUGCUAGCCAUCCACUCAGCUGUAAAUGCAGUGCCCAUCCCGAGCUGUUUUUGACAAUUACUGCUUGCAUCGUUCAUCAAGCUUGACCCUUCCCCCAAGUGUGGUACUGCUUGAUUCAUCAUGAAGGAUUUUCUCUCCUGGCUUCUUCUAAGAAUUAUCCUCUGAUUGAUUGUGUGCAUCAUGCCAAUACCCAUCAAGAUUGUUAAUCAGUCAUGAACUUGCCUCUAGUUGAAACAAUACUGUUCAAGUACAUGUUAUCAUUAGCCUUCUUGGAACUCAUUCAGUCAUCCAGUCAUGCAUCUCAUAGCUUGCACUACAAAGGCUCAUGGUUGUAUGCUCAGUGUUCUUCUUAAUAGAUUCCCUUCAACUCAGCCUCAUCAAUGAUGCUGCUUUUAUCACUCAUACUCAUGCAGUGAAGCACUCAUCUGGCUUCAAAACAAGUUAUCCCACAGUCAGUCUUCGAGGUGGGUGCCUUUCUGACAUUCAUUCAAUGCAGUUGUGUGAUAACAUCUUCCGAUAAACAUGUUUCAAAGGAUGACAAUAUGACAUUGUCCUUUAAGUGAAGCAUUGUUCCACAGUCAGUCUUGGUGGUAUGCAUCUUUUCUCCAUUCAAUUACAUUCAUCUGUGUAUCUUCAUCGAUCGCUAGCCAUGUUUCAAAAAUGAUGAUAUGAAAGUGUCCUUCAAGUACAUCUUGUUUCUCCAUUGCCGACAGGGUUCACUAAGCAUGGGCCAUUUUGGAAUGACAUUGCCCCCAGUAUGAUCUGAAUGUGCUCGUUCAUUGAUUAUCUGUCUUUGAACAUCAUUGUCUUCAGUUCACUGAUUCAUCAUUUAAUCAUUGCCUCAUAGCUGAUCUGAGCACUGCUUGUUUUUCCUUUUCAAGGUCUACUGUAUUGCCCCCAGCUGCUCAACUUUUCAAGGAGUGUCGAGGACUUCAAUGUCAUUUCUAUCAACGAUUUUGCAUACUCAAUCAAUGUUCUUCUGUGUUUGAUAAUCUUCCUUGUUCUGGAAUCAACUCUCAUAUUUCAAAGAUCAUGUCUAUUCAAAGUCUAGUUUGUUGAAAUGAAAUCAGAGAUGUCCUUUUUGAAAAUCUUUUGAAAAUCAAGCUUUUUGAUCAAAGACCCAACACACGUUAUUCGAAAUACACAGUCCUUUGAUUGUCAUGCAUUUUAAAAACAUAAAUUGACCCAAUGUAGGAUUAAAAAUGGUUUUUUCCAUGGUUCUUUGUAUCAAUUUGAAUCCUUGAUAUUGGGUAUAUCAUUUGAUAGUCUAUGAUGAGGUGACCUUUUCGUGAAUUUCAAAAGCAAGGCACUCAAGUCAACACUUAGGCUUUAUCAAGAAAGGUUGUUUCUCUUCUUAUAACUUGUUUUAUCAGCAUGCAUAAUAACCAAUAGCUUAAUUCAUGAAGUCACGACCCUUAUGGAAAAGCUCUUCAAGUUUUGAGAGCGCCAUUUAUCGGUUCAAAUUGCUUGCUUGAUUAAAAAGGGCUUUUAAAAGCAUGUAAUGCAGGCUAUGGUUCAUGGCUAUGAAAGAAAAGGAAUCUCAAAGGCUCAAAAGGUGUUUGAGGGUUUCAAAGACCUAGGAUCAACAUCAAUUAUUCAUCAACUCUUUUUUAUUGUUGUCUUUAUAGAGGAAACGACAUAUAACCUUGUUAACCUCAAAGAUCAGACUUCACUUAACAUAAGUCAUAAUGCAAAUCCACCUUUCCUUGAUGAAUAACCAACCUUAAUCAUCUGAUAACAUCAGAGGCUUUAUAAUGGACACCAAAAGUCACGUUUAUAACUUAGUCUUUUUUCUGGUAUUGAGUUUUGUUGUGCCUUUCCUUGAUUGAAAUUUCUUUUGCUCUUCAUAGACUUGAUAGGCGUUCUCCUUCCUUUAUCUUUGACUUGUAUUUAAGUGAGGGCAAAUUUCAACUUCCUUUUUUUUCAUUCUCUUUUUUUUCAUAGCCUUCCUCAAAAUUUUCUUAUAUGCCCCCAGUCUAUGUGUUUUCUUUUAUUUCUCUCUCAAUCAUUGGACCUUUGUUCUAAACCUUCCCCUUUAUCCAUUAAUUAUAUCAAUGUCUCCAACAAAUCUCUCAUCUGCCCCCAGUGUGGGGUGUGAUCCUAGUCAUGGUUUUUUUUUAAAGAAAAUACUUUACCAGGCUCAAAAUGGGACUACAAGGGAUAUAAUCUUUAGAAAGUGAAGGGAUAUCAAAGAUGGCCUUUUCUCAUUUCAAGCAAGGUCGGUUAGAACCGAUAAAUUUUGACCCAUCCAGUGUAAUGAUUGGGACUUGUAAGAAUCAUGAUUCACGAGUCCAUAACUACCGAAUCCACUACAUGUCAUUAUGCAUACUGUUAAAACUUAGCUAUAUGAUGUGUGGUUCAGUUUCAGGAGGUAUGAGUUCAAAAUUGUUUAGUCACCUCAUGUCAUUUUCAAGCAUCGAGUCAUUUCUGUAAUCAAAACACUUUUAAUCUUCAGGAUUGAUUAACCUUUAUCGCAUGUUGGAGUUUGAUCAAAAUAUUUUGUCAGAAUAAAAUGCUAAACAUCUGUUGAUUUCAAAACAACAAAGAGACAAAAGCAAGGCAUGUUUCGUUGAAGGAUGAGAUGUGAUCCCAAAACAAAAUGCAGAAUUCCAUAACAAUAUGAUUGAUUGUUCAUCACCAUUCUUGAAUCAGCUUUUCUGGCAAUAUCUGUGUUUUGCCAAGCACUUUCGAUCACAUGUCAUUUUGAAGAUGUUCGGGGGACAAUAUAGCCAAUGACACCCUCCUUCACCGACUCCACUUGUCUCUUGCUCACCAACUUUCGGACUCAAUUCUUGCAAUUCUUGCAAUUGUUCACUUGAAAUGGUUGAGGACCCCACCAUGACAUCAUAUCUCUUGUCUGGAUUAUACCACCUAGAAAACGGUGGUUGCAUGGGAUUUGUCGGAGUCUAGCAAGUCUAGAAUCUGGCAGAUGCUGGCAAAUAAACUCAUAUGACAACUAUUCAAUUGAAAUUCUUGCAACUAUUCCAUUGAAAUGGCCGAGGACCCAACCAUGACAUCACAUCUCUUGUCUUGAUUAUACCACCUAGAAAAUGGUAGUUGCAUGGGAUUUGUCAGAGUCUAGCAAAAGUCUAGAAUCUGGCAGAUUCUGGUAAAUAAACCCACAUAGCAAAGAAUGUCUAUCUUUGGCAAAGACAUUGGAGUAGUCGAUGAUACAACAAGACUUGGUUGGACCAACAUAAUUAAGGUUUUCCAUCGUCAGAUUCUUCUUUUGAUUCAUCUCUCAUCGUUUCUCUAGAAUCCUUGGCAGAACCUUCAAUCUUUCCCAUCUUGAUAGCUUGUUCAAUUUUUGGCAAUCCACACAACUUCAUGUCAAUCUUCCAAUGUUGUUGUUGUUGUUUUAGGAUUGUUGGAAACCCGUCAAUAUCUAGGUAAUCCUGGCAGUGCGCAAAAACAAAAAUGUAUGGAAUCAUAUAUUGUCAAAAUUGGAAGAGAAACUGAUGAAUCCACAACUCCUCUAUUUCCUCUUUGAUUCCUCACUGACGGUGCAACAAACAUCCACUUUUGUGUUUUAAUGCCAAUACUAGUAGGAGAAAAUUGUGGACAAUCUGAAAACCACUGCAUCCCUUCUUGGAUUUCCCAUUUACAGAUCCAUAAAUAGAUUCCUGCCGAGAGAUCUCUGCAACGGUGAAGUUUGAUGUCUGCUCCAUGUUUUUCAAACCAAAUCUGGCUCUUCAACAUGCUACAGUUUCUUCAUGCUGAAACUAAUGAGAGAAAUAUUUGUAGCAUAUGCAAUUAGUAAAUCCUCUCUUGCACUCUCAACUUGCAACAUCAUAAACAGAUUUCUGUAGAGAAAGCUCUGCCACGUUGAAGUUCGACGACUACUCAUAUUUUCAGACCAAGCCUGACUCCUCUGCCUAGUACGAUGUUUUGCUCGUGCCACUGGUGGGAAAAAAGUUUCAAAGCAUAUGAAAUUAAUACAUCCUCUUUUGUAUUUCCCAUUGGCAGAUCCAUAAAUAAAUCUCUACAAAGAGAGCUCUACCACGUAGAAGUUCAGUGUAUGAUCAUGGUUUUCGGACCAACAUCUUGUGCUGCUGACUGAAAUUGAGCUCAUAAUUAGGGUAACUUCAAAGCAGACUAAUGCACCAUGUACAGGAGGCUAGUAGUUGUUUGGUUCCAUUAGAUGAUGUGGAGGCGAUGAACACUUAACAGUGCAACUAGACAAGAACUAGAGUUGUCAUUAGUUGAUGACUGAAGGCAUUGUUGCUGUUGUUCAUGACUGAAAAGGAGAGGCAACUUCAAUUGAACGUGGACAAGCAGUGUUCCCACAGAAGACUGUGUAGACAUUCUCUUUCCAUUUGAUGCUCGACACUUGUUCGAGCAGAUCUGAGUCUAGCUACUUCACCUUUGAUGCUCUCAACCUCAAUCUGAUAAUGAGCCUCUAUCUAACACUUUUCUUCACCUCUAUCAUUUUUCUUCAAUCACGUGCAGCACAGCUUGUGCGGGGGACCUACCUUUCAACCUGGUACAUGCAUGAUAAAUGUAUGAAUAUGUAAUCUAUAUGACAAACUCGCCCUUCGAGGGGUGACAUAUGGUCGCAACUCUUGUAUGAUGAAACAAGAAUCUUGAUUCUUGCACAAACUCUACAAUGAAAAUGUUCUGAGCGACGGUCAUUGUGUCACCCAUAAGUCUGGAGUUCAAGAUGCUUCAAAAAGGGCUUGCUCGGAUGCAAAACAAUGUAUACGGAGCAUACAUCCUAAAGGUAGAUUCUAAUCUUUUUAAGUGAGACAAAAGGUAGGAUAUCAUCUUCUUCAUCGACAUUUGCUUGUCCGCUAGAGCUCAAAACAACGUUCAACUCCUCUACGUCAACAUCAACAAGACUAUCAUCGAAAACACGAAAAUUUGAAUUUUCUUCCAAUUCAAUCGAAGGAGCAACUCGAUAUGGUUCAACCAACUCACUAACUUGAAAGACUUCAUCCCACACACUUGUGUCUUCGUUCUCAUCCUAAACAACCUCGACACGACCCCGUGGUUUUGUUUUUAAAACGAACAACCAAUCAACUCUUGAUCGAUCCUUUCUAAAUGAAGGGGUGUAUGUGUAAUAAACUUGUUGACAUUACUUUGCGAAAACAAAGACAUCGUUUAUGUUGCAGAGUCUAGCUUUUGAGUUGAUUUCGACUAGACCAUGGUGUGUAUCAACUCUGAUUCCUCUGUCCGUCGUGUCAUACCAAUAGCGUUUGAAUAAAAACACUGUAUUCUGCUCGCUAUGAUAUUGUAGUUCGACGACCUCUUCUAAUCUUCCAUAGUAGUCAACUUUUAACUCACUACUUGUGGAUCCUUUAACACAAACACCACAGUUGUAUGUCUUUCUUCAUUGCCCGUAUUCUUCAGUAUGGAAAACAUAUCCAUUGACAAAAUACUUGUUAUAGCACUUAACUUUUCUUUCAGGCCCGAGGCUUAGUGAAGGCAAUGACUUAGACGCACUUCUUCCCAUUUGAUAAACCUUGUAUACAUGUAAUGUACAUCAAUAAACGGUAAAUGAACGAGAAUCUUGUAAUGACAUGCAUACGUACAGUAAUUUUGCAAGUUAGAAUGAGUUUGUGAUAGUGCUUACAUGUGUUCUAAACCAUGUGGCAAAUUGUUCAUCUUGUAAUUGAAAGAUCUGGGAGUCGGUCAGCUGCGAGUUAUUGGAGAGCAAAUAUUGUCGAUGUUGCCUGCAAGUGAUAAUGAGUGUAUGAUUUCACAAUAUAUAAUUAGCAGUAUAUUACUGACAAAGUUUAAAUAGUAUUACACAUAUAUAAACUUACUGAAUAAAUGGUCUUAACUCUUCACAGUUAAAUAGAACAUAGUUGUGUGCUUGUUUGAAUUCUAUUUCCGACAAAUAUCUUCCUCUUGUCGCACGUCAAAAACAAAUCCGUGCGCGGCAUCGACUGGCGAUUAUUCGUUCUGUUUUGCUGAUUUGGUUCUUUAGAGUCGCCACCUAGUAAUUCAUUGAGGGCUACUAGGAAACCUGAUGUACUGGACUUGUCAGAGAUCGCGGGUAAGGGACUGGUUGUGGUUAGGGAAGGUAUUAGCACCCCUAACGCACCCUACCUGAGGUAAGCUGCUUUGUGGACUUGAUGUGUUAAAGAAGUUUUAAAAAUUAUGUUCUUUCAUCGAAUUUUAGAAAAUACAACUUACAUGUAAGUUCAUAAUUCUUUAUCCGUGAUCAAAUCAGAAUAUUAAAUUCUUCUUUAUUCUUGCAAUUUUAUCAUAAUAAAAAAAACAUUCAUAAACAAAAAUACACACCACAUUCACUUUCAAGCUUUGUGGACUUGAUGUGAUAUUAAAAAUAAAAUUUUAGCCCAAUUAUAAGGCUUUGAUAAAUCAGUUAUUACUUUUCCAGACUAUUAUGUAGAUACAUGUUCUACAUUUCCAUGGAAAAUUCAACAUGAUUUUUAUCUGUCCUUUAGAUAUUUGUGCAUAUAAAAUAAAUUCCUUUUUUUUUAUUCAAUAACAUUCAAAAAAAAAAAUACAAGCACACAAACAUUUUUUUUAUUAUUAUUAUCACUUUCUCUGUCUUUUCUUUUCUUUUCUUUUACAUCCUUUUUUUUGUUCUUUUUAUACAUUACCUUACAAAUUAUAAAAACAAAUCAAACUAAAUAAAAAUGACAUUACAUAAUUUACAAUUUACAAAAACAGUCCCUAAACUCAAGAAAUUGCAUUGAAGGACACUGCCGGAACUGCCCUGAACUUGUGGCGGCGCGUCUUCCCACGUGCCACCGUCACUGGCGGCGCGUGAAUCUAGAAACAGCGGGAUCUGGUUCGGCUUCUCUCCUUCUUCCUUUCCUCGCCAGCGGUGAGCAACGCCGUCACCUGUAGAACACAAAAACGCAAGCAACAGUCUGUUUUAGUUAAUUUUUAGAUCUGUUUUCCAUCAUUAUCUGCUUCCCUUUCUUCUUUCUCCGGUCUAUUCUUGGGGAUUCACCAUCUUCUUCUCUGCUCAGGUAGUCGGGCGGCGGCUGGUUGAUGGUGGAUCUAUGGCCGGAUGUGGACGGCGCUGCUGGAGGAAGGCGUUGCUGCCUGAUUGUCGGUUGCGGUUGGUGCUGGACCUGUGGGGGCUGCCGUUGAAGGGGCUGGAAGUCAGAUCGUCUGAGAGAGAGGAGUGGUGGUUGAUUCUCCGUACCUGGCGAGAAGAAAAGGAAGUCUGAUCUGGGAGGAUCGGCCGGGGAAGCGGCUGAAGGAAGAAGAAAAACCGAAUCUAGAGGGGGGGAAACGGCGACCAGUUUUGAAAGGAAGCAGGUUCGGUUUUGGCCAGCGUUAUGAUCACGAUCGGUGAUGGGGUUCGGUGAGGAGGGGAAGAUCGGCUGUGGAGUGUGGUGGUGAGCGGCUGAAAAAAUCAAAGAAAAGGGGGCUCUGGUGAGGCCAAGAAGGAAAAAUUGAUUCGCCGGCUGUAAAAGGGAGAACCGGUUUUGGUUUGGGUGUGUCUGUGUUUGGUGCCAUGUCAUGUGCUCAGUAGUCCUUCGUGACAUGAAUAACCUCUGCAGUCUAGGUGUGAUCGGGAAAUAUCUAAGUUUUUCCCCUGCCAGUUCUGGGUUUGUAACGGGAAUACCCGCAUGUCAUGCACUCGGUCAUCUCAGCAUUUUCAAGGUAGUAUAACAUGUAGAAGUUAGGGCACAUGUCAAUUUUAUGGUAUCCUAAACCAAGGGGUUUCAUCAUGGACUUCGCAACAUAGAAGUUCUCUUUCAGCCUGUUCACUUCAGGUAAAAUGCUUCUUGCCCAAUCAAUAAUUUUUUCAUACCCGGCCUCACUCAGCCCGUGAUCUGACUUGAUGGUGAACACCUGUGCCACGGGCGACAAUUUACUGUGGUUUGUGCAGCCAUCCCAUAAUGGUUCGUCAGAAUCUUUCAACAAAUCAAAAAACCUAGCUGCCUCUGCAUUAGGUUCUUUUUCUACGAUUGGACAUUGAUUGACAUUACCUUGAUUCAUUCUCAUUGCAUCCAUAACCACAUUUCUGUAAGGAUUAGUGUUGUCAUUUCGCUUCAUGCACGUUGCUAGCACUAGAAGUUGACCCAACCACCGUUUCUCUCAUUCUCCUAUUACUAACAAAUACCUCUCCAUGUGCAUACCAACACUGGUAAUCCUCAAACCCUUUGUGUAGAAGAUGCAUCAUUACAACAUCUGGAUGCAGAUACUUUUUAUUUUGACACUUCCUGCAUGGACACCUAAUACCGCCUCCAGUAAAAUUUCUGGGAAUAGAUGUUGCGAAAUUAAUAAAACCCUGAACCCCGUUACAAUAAUCCAUCCUCCGCAAUCCUUGGGUGAAUCUAGAUACAUCCAUGAACGAUCAUCCAUGACUUCUAUCGAACCUCUAUAAAAUUAUGAUGACAUCAUGUAUUAAUUAACUAAGUUAGGUAAAUAAACUUGCAAAAAUAUUACUUUACCUCGAGAUUAUCCAACAAACCAAUCACAACUUCUCAUAAAUAUUAAAUAUUCAUUAUCAUUUAUCAACGUCCAUACAAAUUAAUAUAUAUAAAUUAACAGAAAUUACCACUCUGCAAUACCAUCGAUAAAACUUAAAAAGGACCCAUUAAGCAAGCUAUUAAUUAUUUCAAAACAGAACAUGUAAUUCGGUAAUUCCACAAAGUUUUAACAAUUUACAAACAAAUACAAUCUUACAAAAUCUAAAACAAACCAUAACAGGUAUAAAAUUAUACAUUCAUAUACUACAAGUUUGUUUGAGAAAUAACAAUAAAACAUGUACAUCUACUAACAAAAAUACAUAUACUAAAAAACAAUAAAAUUGACAUUUAAAUGUUAAAAUUUAAAUAGAUAGAAUUACUUACAAAAAUUGAUAAAAUCCGUCGGUAAAUCAGAACACGGAUGUUGUGACCACAAAAUUUCAAGAAAUACAACUUGUUGUGUUGAGAUGAGCAAGAUUUUUAUUUGGGGGCAAGGGGGGGCUGAUUAUUUGCAGAUGGGGAGAGUUAGGAUUAGGAAGAAAAAGGAGAUAUGGGGAAGGAGAGUGUCGACAGAGUGGCCAUAUAUUUACUUUUUCCGACGGCCUCAUCGACGGAAUAACACCGUCGGUGACUCCGUAGGUCAUUCCGACGGGAAAUCGACACGUCACCGCACGAACCUGCUUUUCAAAUCCCUCGGUGAUUCCGUCGGUAUUUUUUAUGGUGCAACGGUCGCGUCACCCAUACGGAUCUGCCGUUUCAAUUCUGUCGGUGAUUCCGUUGGUAUUUUGAAGUCCCAUGACACGUACUUGUCAACCAUUUUGAAUCCGUCGGUGAUUCUGUCGGAAAAAUCACCCGCCAAACCUCCACGUCAGCUACCCGCCCUUUUUUCAUUAAUUUUGAUUAUUCUGUCCGUAAUUCGGUCGGUAAUUACCAACCAAAUGACGGACAGAAUAAUUCCAUCGGUAAUUUCGACCGAAAAAUACCGACAAAAAUAUUCCUCGGGGAUUCCGUUGAUAUUAAGCGAAUUUCUGGUAGUGAUUUGAGCAACUCUGAAACAUGAAGCUAGUCAAUAGGCGUCUAUAAGUUGUACAGAGAUUUUACAAUAGAAACUAUUCAAGUAAGAUUUUGGUGCAAUCAGUAUUCUAUAUGCACGAACAAAUUUGGGGCUUCACUGUACUACCUCAGAUACUCUCAAAAAAUGCUUCUUGGAAUUCGGAAGUUUAGACGAUCAUCGGUUAACAUGUCUGGUGUUGGUGCUUCAUGAAAUGAUGUUACCGUUUCUCUUUCUGAACGUUAUUCCAGGUUGGAAAUUCAAGUAAUUAGUUCAAAUCCUAGAAGAUGAGUGGUGGCUUAGAAUGCUGUGAAAAAAUCGUUCCCCUGUUCAUUUUUCAAAUUAGAAAAGACAUAACUUUUUGCUUGAACUUCUAGAAUAUAAAAAAAUCUUACUUUUAUAUCUAGACACUUUCCAUCUAUGAUCUUUAAAUCUGAAGACAUAUCAUCUGGUUUUAAGAAAGUGCUAUUAACAUACCAAACUUUAUUAGAUUGUUGUUGUGCACUUAGGAAGAAAUAAAAUACUUGUCCUCUAUUGUUUUCAAUAGCAUGAUCAGCUUCAUAGUUUUCUACGUUGUCUUUUUACUAGAAGUACCUUCGUGAAUGUUGGGAAUUUCUGUCUUUUGCAUCUAUACCAGCACUCUUUUACUUAGUGUCCACCUCAUUUUCAAGUUCAUGUCGCUGGAUCCAGCGGUCAAGAGAAAAUCAUGUCAUUGACACUAAUUUAGACCAUCAAAAUGAUUGAUAUUUGUGUUAAAUGGUUCCUUUUAACUGAGAGAAUUCAUAUUAGGUGUUUUUCUUACCUUUAAAGUUUGUGAAAAAACAAAUAUUAUCUCAAGCUGAUUUUUGGUUUCAUGUUCAUUUCUAUUUUUUAGAGGGUUUGUUGGUUUUUUAGGCUAAAAAUAUGUUUAUCAUGGUUCUUAAGGUUUUUUAUAGGUGUUUUGGGUCAAAAUGAGUUUUGAGUAAAAAAACUUAAGCCUUGAUUUUUCAACCACUACAGUGGUUGGAAUCCGGAUAAGAUCAGACGACGCGUUGUCUGUCUCAAUAGGCAACGCAUCAUCUGAUUGUUUUAAAAAAAUAGAGGUGGACGACAUGUCAUCUGCUCUAAGUGCAGCGAAAAAAAUGGGUCCAGUUAGGUGAGCCCUAAUGAAAUGGGCCAGGCCAGGCAACACUUGACCGUUUUUUCCCUUAUUUUUUUCAAUUCAUCCUUAUUUUUAUAUGUUUUUUUGUAAAAUAAAAAAAUAUUUAUAUUUAGAUUAAUACCUCUUUUCUUUUUGUAUUUUGUUCAGAAAGUCUUUUAAAUGAUGAUUAUUUUUUUGUUAUGUUUUUAAUUUUUGAAGAGGUCUUUCUGAUUCAUUUAUAUUUUUUUUAUCGUUUAUGUAGAAGAAUUAUAUUUUUGAAAAUAAAAAAUAUUUAUUUUCAAAUAAUAUUUCUACAGAGAGGUCGCUGGAUCCAGCGAUAAAAAAGAAAAUCAUGUCGUUGACACUAAUUUAGGCCACCAAAAUGAUUGAUAUUUGUGUUAAAUGGUUCCUUUUAACUGAGAGAGUUCAUAUUAGGUGUUUUUCUUACCUUUAAAGUUUGUGAAAAAACAAAUAUUAUCUCAAGCUGAUUUUUGGUUUCAUGUUCAUUUCUAUUUUUUAGAGGGUUUGUUGGUUUUUUAGGCUAUAAAUAAGUUUAUCAUGGUUCUUAAGGUUUUUUAUAGGUGUUUUGGGUCAAAAUGAGUUUUGAGUAAAAAAACUUAAGCCUUGAUUUUUCGACCACUACAGUGGUUGGAAUCCGGAUAAGAUCAGACGACGUGUUGUCUGUCUCAAUAGGCGACGCAUCAUCUGAUUUUUUUUUUAAAAUAGGGGUGGAUGACAUGUCAUCCGCUCUAAGUGCAGCGAAAAAAAUGGGUCUAGUUAGGCGAGCCCUAAUGAAAUGGGCCAGGCCAAGCAACACUUGACCGUUUUUUUCCUUAUUUUUUUCAAUUGAUCCUUAUUUUUAUAUGUUUUUGGUAAAAUAAAAAAAUAUUUAUAUUUAGAUUAAUACCUCUAUUCUUUUUUAUUUUGUUCAGAAAGUCUUUUAAAUGAUGAUUAUUUUUUUGUUAUGUUUUUAAUUUUUGAAAAGGUCUUUCUGAUUCAUUUAUAUUUUUUUUAUCGUUUAUGUAGAAGAAUUAUAUUUUUGAAAAUAAAAAAUAUUUAUUUUCAAAUAAUAUUUCUAAUACGUGUAGCCUUGCAUAAUGUUUUUUUUUUCUUUUUAUUUUAUUCAAUCAAUCUAAUGUGUUUGUCCAUUUCUUUUAUCAAUUGAUUGAAUAAAAAUACAUUAUAAUAAUCGUGUAAAUAUCCAGUCUUGCGAUAUUAAAUAUCUUGAUCCACACAUGUAUCUUGAUUUUUCAAGUUUUAUUUUUAAGUAUUGUUAAUGACUUAUUAUUAAUUUAUUAGCACACAUAGUUCUCGGUUUACUUGAUUACAUGUAUUUUUGAUCUACACUUCAAUUUUUUGAAUUAUAGAAAUGCAUUGAAAAAACUUAUUUAUAUAAUGUUUUUAUAGAAAAUAAAAAUAUCUGAUCCGUAACGGAGCGCGGUUCAUAUAACUAGUAAAUACUAAAUUGAAGUGAUAAAAAAUAACAUAAAGCACAAGUAAAUUACAUAUACAAGUGAUCAAUGAUAGAGGCUCCUCUAUGUAUAGAUAAUGGAGCAUUGAUUCUUAAGUUUAGGGAGACACAUGGUGCCCGUGUCAGUUUAUAUUGGAUCCUGUGCUUGUAAGUAAUGAUGGAUUCUCAUGAGUCCUACUAUUUAACAUGCUUAAGAAUAAAGUUGACAUGUUGGAUAAUUGAUUGAUCUCUUAGUUCAAGUAAUCUGAUUCAUUCUUCAUAGUUAAUGUAUCUAGUGACUUGAUAUAAAAAGCCUAGUGGGUUGGUAACUGGUAGCAUGUGAUGUCUAGUAAGCUAGGUGACAGGUAACUAGUACCUAUAAAAAGUCCCAUUUGAUGGACGUGGGGAUUCUCAGAUGGUAAAGUCGAUAACUUUAUGGAAAGAGAAAGUGCAAUAAUAUUUUAAAGAGAUAUACUCUGAAAAUAUAUACAGUUAUACACAAUAGAAAAUGAAGAGAUUGUGAACCUUUAACUUGAUGGAUUCAUGGUGUAUUUAUAGCUUAUAAAUUUUAUCCUUUUAUGGAGAGGAGGGGCUGAAGUGUAAUUUCAAUAUUGUGAUAUUUUGAGUUGUAUUCCACUCAAAAUAAUAUGUAUUUGAUCAAUAUAAAAUAUCAAAAGAUGUAAGUUGGAUUUUGAAAAAUUCUCUAGUGAGUAUUGGGCUCGGAUAAGGUGCCCGAGCCCAUUGGAGGUGAAAGCAGGUUCGGGAGUACUACCUGGACUCAAACACACUAAGCUCAGGCGUGAAAACCUGUUCCCAUGAUGGCUAUAGGGUGCAUGCCCAACACCAUUUGGGCGUACACCCUACAUAGGUACACAUACAUUGGGGUGUAUUGAGCGUACAUACACUGGGCAAAUGCCCAAUGCACUGCAUAAUGCCCAUGCAUUAGACGUUCAUACGCCCAUUAAGGAGCAUGGGCUUGGGCUCCUUGCCCGAGCCCAUGUUCUUGGUGCGUGGAUAGCCCGAGCUCAUGUUCCUUGGGUGGUUUUUGAGUUUUUUUUUUCUCUUUUAGAGGAUUUCUUUGGGUCUAUUUUGAGGGAUUUUUUUGGUCAAUUUUAUUUGUAUCCAUCAGAUUCUAUUAUCAAUUUAAAAAGUCUGAAGUGAUAGAUUAAAAAUAUAUUUUGUAUAUAAGUUCCUCAUUUUCCAUUCGUAACCCAACAACACAUCUUGAAACAUUAAACUGACUUAAACCUUCAAAUAGAGAAUUGAAUUUUAAUGAAAUUUAACCUUUUUUUACAAUAUCUGACACUAAGCAACGAAUAGCUUCUAUAAAGAGGAUUUUUUAGGGAUUUUUUUUUAAUUCUUUUCUAUUUAGUGUAAGAAGUUAAAUUUUAUGUUUAAUAUUUUUAUUUUUCAUAGUUUAUUUAGAAUUUUUAUUAAUUUUUUUAUUUUUAGGUUUCUAGUUUGUUUAGGUUAGUUUUUUAAGUUUAUUUAAGGAGUUGUAAACCUCUUAGUAAGGAAAACUACAUGAACAUAAAAUAUUCAGUAAUAAAAUUAUAAUUUAGGGUUUUGUGUGACAAUUUUAUUUAACUUCAAUGAUACUAGUGGUUAUGUCUUUAUAGCUUAUUGUUUUUAUGUUUGUGUUUCCGUUUAUGUUAGUUGGUAUUAAAGUUCAAUGAUACUAGUGGUUAUUCGCUUGCUAUGUGCUAGAAUAACAAUGAUUAGAAAAUGCUAUGUGCUAAAAUAACAACUCUAAAAUAAAGAAAAUGUAAUAAAAUUUCUAAAAAAACUAAGAGAAAUAAAAUUACUUCUUUCAUGAAUUCAAUCUUGAUUUAUAAUAGAACUCAUGUUUGGAGGCACUUAGGCCUUUUCAACACAGUUAUUUUAUAAUUAUCUAUUUAGAUGGAAGGCAAUUAAGUCUUUCACCAUAUAUAAAAUUAAUUUUAAAAAAAGAUGGUUGGUAAAUGCCACUCACAUGCCAGUAAGUAGGAGGUAUUCAUGUUUUUUAGGCGAUACAUAUGGCACCUUACAAUGGUCAAAUGUCGUUGUUCGCUACAGUGUGUAAAGUAGAGCAUCAUCAUUUUCAAAGUGAUAGGGCACAUAUUCACAAUGGAGGUGAGGUUAAGCUCUGAUGAAUCUUUUUUUUCUUCUUUUUCUUUUCUCUCUCCUAGCCUCAAAAUUUUCACUAGCCCUUUAAAAAAUUAAUUGUGUCAUCCAGUUUGGUCUUUAUUCUUUUGAUUGCUAUUUGUUUUUUCAAUUUUAUUCCUCAUCAUUUUAUCUUGUUUAAUUUUUGUGUCCAAUUUUGGUCCUCAUGCUUUGAUUGCUAUUUUUUUAAUCAUUUUCUUAAUUUAUUUUAAAUUUUAAUUUAGUCCCUCAUUGUUUUAUUUCAUUUAAUUUUUAUGCCAAAUUUAAUCUUUAUGUUUUUUAUUGCUAUUUGUUUUGUUUAUCUAAUUUUGGAUGAUUAGGGAUUUUUCUUGGUAUUUUUUAGAGUUUGCCUUAAAUGGUUUAAUCUUGAUCUCAUAACUCAAGUCACUAGUUUUGAGAAUUAGCCCGAUUUAACUUCAAUAUUUUUUAUGCCGUUUUCUUAAAAUUGAUUAUUUUUUAAUUUUAUCAUUUCAUUUUAGGUUAUUGGAUCUUGAGUUUCAUGGUUUUUUCCACUUUUCUUUUUCUAUUUUAUCCUAGGUCAUGGGUUUGUUGGGUGAACCCAGAUUCAUUCAAGUUUUAAUUUUUAUUCAGUCUUGAGUUUCAUGGUUUUUAUUUAAUUUUUUUAUUUCAUCAUUCGACAUUGAGUUAUUGGGUCAUUUGAAAUUCAUUAUUAUGCCUUAAGCUUUGUGAUUUUAUUUUUUUUUCAUUUUUCUUUUUGUGGGGUUAACCUAGGUUGACUUCGGAUUUUUUUGGUAUUUCUUUUAUUUUUCUUUGAUCUUUUUUUCUAGGUCAUUUUUAUUUUGAAUAAUUUUUUAUCCCGAUCACAUUAUGUGGAUUGCGAGUUAGUUGAGUGAAUCUUAGCUAUCUCAAUUUGUUUUACGUUGCUUUUUUUUAAUGAUUUUUUUAUUUCAAUUUAAUUCUUUGACAUUAGAUUGUUGGGUCAUGAUCUUAGUGAUUUUUUCCACUUUCCUUUAUAUGAAGUUGGCCCAAGUUACAAGUUAAUCAAAUUAACCCGGUUUAUAUGAGUGGGGCACAAGUUACAAGUUAAUCAAAUUAACUCGGGUGGACUCAAUUGUUUUCUUGACAUUGACUUCGAUCUUUUUAUUUAAGUUUAUUUUUUAAUUUAUUUUUUUUAUUUUGAUCUCAUAUUGAGGGUAGUGGGUAGUUAGGUGAGCCCAGGUUGACUCGUGUUGAUGUGAAUCUCGUGAUCACGUAGUCACGCAACCCACAAUCAAAAUUAAGAUCUAAUCCCGGAAAGCCGAAAUAGAUCUGAUAGGAGUCUGACACAAUGGAAACUUGCCCCAAGGCACCAACACUAUUGGAAUGAGUAGAAUGACGCCACGAAGCCAAUUAAUCUUCGAUAAAUCAGAUUCAAUUCGUUCAAGAACUAAAGAAUGCAAGAAUCACUCUCACACAUUAAAACUGAAAAAUUCAGAAGUAAUAAUCAUCAAAGCUCCCAAAAUUUUGGCUUGCAUGAGUUUAAAUAGUUCUUGAAAAAUUAACCCUAAUGGACCCCUUAUAUGGACUUAUAUGAGGUCCACUCAAAACUGAUGCAAAAUCCUAAACUGAAAAGCCCAUAACUUAAUCCAAACAAGCCUUGGAUCCUAGCUGAAAACAAAGUAUUAAUUAAGCUCAAACAUAAAAGAAAAUAAUAAAAAUAACUAACUUGUCAUUAAAUACCACCAGCCCUUCUUUCUUUGUGUAGUUAGGAUGAAUAAGGGAAUCCUUAUAAGAAAAUUAUUCUAAAACAUUAAUGAAUCAUUGCCACACUUGGAGAAUAUUAUAUUGCAGCUCAUUAAAGAUCCUUAAGGAACUAGGAAAUUCCCAAAACAAGCUCCCACAUCCUUGUAGGAAAAUGAUCCUUGCUGAACAGGAAGUCCACAAGUUAAAAGGAAGUAAAUAAUAGAAUUCGCAUAACCUGUUCGGACCUAUAUUGCAAGUCUUUUCCGAACAUGGAUUCUUCUAAAAAUGUACCCCAACAUAGAAAAACAUUUUUGAAAUCUUCUAGUAAAGUUUCAGCUCGAUCCAACGGUUGGAUUUGAAGUUAUGCUCAAUAAUGUAAAACUGAACGGUAGAAACUUUUACGCCAAAAUCCAAAUCUGACAUUGCUUGGUUCGUAUCACAAGGCUGAACUGUAUCACGUGUUUUUUCUUCGAUGUUUUUAUUUUUAAAUUUUAUUUUUCAAGUUUUAUCUUUUGAUAUUAGGUUAUUGGGUUUUACUUAAAGGAUAAAGGGGGGGUUCAUUGGAAUCUAAAAGUAAGUUUGACAUAUUCAUGAUGAAUAAAAGUACAAAAGUAGAUUAAUUGAAAUAUUAUUAGUUUAAUUAUAUAAAUAUUAUGUAAAGUUCGAUGUCAUUUAUCCACACACAAAAACAAAUUGCAAUAUUAACCCGGAGGUAAGAAGUCUAGGGUAUCUUGAGAAGAGUGAUCAUGGAUCCAAGGUUAAUUUUGAGAAUUUGUUUCAAAGAUGUAAGUAGAGAAAAUAACUUUUUGAUUGGGAUAAAUAUAAUAUUGAAAUUAAAAUUUUGAUAAUUCUAGUUUUUUUGUGAAUCGGAAUCAAAUACCAAAAUUUGAUAAGGAUGAUGAAAAUGAUGGUAAAGAAAAAGAUUUAAAUGCAAAAUUUUUAAUUAGUGAUAUCCACGAGAAGAUAACAAAAAUAGAUGUGGUUACGAUGCAUAGCGUGAAGGAUGUGUGUUUGAGAAAAAAAAUUAGAAUUAAUGAGGUGAAAGCUGAUGCUAUUGCAAUCCAGCUCAUGCAAGACUUCCAAGUCGUUGGCAGUAUCCAAUUCGAAUAUUAUAGACUUCGUCUAAGGUAGUUUACGAAGAAAGUACCCGUAAGACAUGGUUAUAAUAAAAAGUCGUUGGCAGUAUCCAAUCGAAUAUUAUAGACUUCGUCUACGGUAGUUUACAAAGAAAGUACCCAUAAGCAUGAUUACAAUAAAAAGUAUACAUUUCCUGAAAAAAAGAAAUGAAAAACACUACAAAGCUGAGAAAGGCAGACAAUAUCAAUUGUCAAAAUCUAAGGAUACUCAAAUGAGUUUCGGAAGGAAAACCUGAAAAUGUACGAGAGAACACAACCCCAUCAUUGAAGCUGCUAUUUAUAUAUAUAUAUAUAGACAUGAUCUAAUGCUAGCAAGCUGCGAAUCAUAUAUUUUAAGCAGCACACAUUGAGAAAUGAUUUCAGUCUCAUCUUGCCUUUGGGUCAAUUAUUUUAGAAAACACACCCCUUGCUCUUUGAUCUGGAUCACUUUGGGUGACACUUUCACGAGUGCUGAUAAGCCACGAUCUGAAGAAUCUCAAAGUCCACGUCAUUCUAAGAGGAUCCAUAAACCAAAUCCCAAAUAUCUGGGAUGAGCUGAUCGUGAGUUAAUGCAUGCAUAACGGAAGAAGCCAUUAAACAGGGGUCGUGGCUAUCAAGGAGUAAUGGAAGGAGGGGUUACACCCGUUAUAUCACCAUUUAUGGUCAUCAGUUAUAUCUUAAUUAAUUCCAAGUUAUUAGUAGCUUUAUUGUUCCCUUUGUAUUUCAGUUUUAUUUGUAAUUCACUUUGGCUAUUUAAGCAGCUAAAGUUUUAAUAAGAAGAUAUAAUUUCAGUAAAAAAGUGUGGUUUAGUUCUCACCCGAAGAGAACCUUUAUAAUUUGUGCUGGGACCUAACAUUGGUAUCAGAGCACGUUAUGGGAACCAACAAGGAGCGUAUUGAGCACCUGGAAUCUGGACUUGGGAUAGUUCAAGAUGGUCUUCAGAGAAUGGAGUUGGGAGUGAAUGAUAAACUCCAACAUUUGGAAGACACUCUUACUCGACUUGCCAAUAUGUUGAGGCAAAUCAAGAGAAUCCUAACCGCGACAAUUAUCAUAGAGAAGGCAACAAUGGGGGUCGGCAGAUUAUCUCCUCCAAAACAGCAAAACUGGACUUCCACGAUUUUCAGGGGAUGACCCAACCGAAUGGUUCAACCGUGUGGAACAAUUCUUUGAAUACUUGGGCACAGUUGAAAACCAAAAGGUAGCCAUGGCUGCUUACCAUCUUGAAGGGGAGGCCAACCAGUGGUGGCAAUGGCUUCAAAGGACGUUGCAGGGAGAAGGGCAAGUGAUUUCAUGGGCAAAUUUCAAGAAGAGUUAUGGGCUCGUUUCGGACCAUCAGGCUGUGAAGAUUUUGAUGAAGCUCUCUCAAAAAUCAAACAGGAGGGACAUUGAGGGAUUACCAACGGGAGUUCGAGAAGCUUGGAAAUAAGGUACAAGGUUGGACACAGAAAGCAUUAGUGGGAACAUUCAUGGGGGUCUGAAGACAGAAAUUUCUGAAGGGAUUCGGAUGUUUAACCACAAUCCCUCAAGGAGGUCAUUAAUCUAGCAAGAAUGAGAGAUGAGCAACUUACAAGACAGAGGCGGUUCUACGACCAGCACCUCCAAAAAUUCCUCUAGCUCUUCCACCACCCAAUCGGGUAACUCCUGCUAGUCGGUCUACUCCGCUUAGGCGUUUGUCAUGGGAGGAGAUGCAAAGAAGAAGAGUGCAAGGCCUUUGUUUCAAUUGUAAUGAAAGGUUUACAGCCGGGCACAAAUGUCAACAACCUCAGCUACUACUCUUGGAAGGUUACAUAGAUGCUGGUAAUAUGUCCUAUGAAGAUAUUACUUAUCCACAAACCAGGGGGUUUGUACAAGGAGAAGAUACAGUAGAGGCAUGCGAACCAGAAUUGGAACCUGAAAUCACUCUGCAUGCAUUAACAGGGUGGACAGCCCCAAGAACAAUGCGAGUGACAGCGAAGGUGGGCUCUCAUACGGUGAUGGUGUUGAUAGACAGUGGAUCCACACACAACUUCAUCAGUGAUCGCUUAGCAAACACACUACAUCUACCAGUGAAACCAACCAAGUCGUUCACUGUUCGGGUUGCUAAUGGCCAGCGUCUACAUUGCCAAGGACAAUUUGAUAAGGUACCCGUGAAUUUACAAGGCACUGAAUUUUAUCUCACACUCUUCUCUCUGCCAUUAUCAGGGCUUGAUCUAGUGUUGGGCAUCCAAUGGUUAGAAUUGUUGGGAUCAGUGGUUUGUAACUGGAAAGACUUAACUAUGGACUUCAUUUGGAAUAAUCAAGCUCGAAGGUUGCAAGGAGUGGGGAGCAAUCUAUUCAAGAGGCUACUUUAAAACAAGUCUCAAAAGAUUGUCGACAGCAACAGAUGUUAUUUGCAGUAUGUUUCCUUUCAACCACGAGGACAAAAUUCUGAAGGCAGACUAUGGCAAUCAAGACAUACAGCAGUGAUAAAGGAGUAUCAGGAUGUAUUCCAAGAACCCUCAUGCUUACCACCUGUGCGGAGGUGACCAUUGCAUUGCACUUAAGGAGGGCACUGAGCCGGUUAAUGUACGACCCUACGAUAUGCUCACUUUCAGAAAGAAGAAAUUGAAAAGCAAGUGCAGGAGAUGCUGAAAUCAGGACAUAUACGUACUAGCACCAGUCCUUUUUCUUCACCAGUGUACUCGUACGAAAAAAAUGGUAGUUGGAGAUUUUGCACGGAUUAUCGCGCACUAAAUAAUGCAACUAUCAAGGAUCGGUUCCCCAUUCCAACCGUGGAGGAUAUGCUUGACGAAUUAUAUGGAGCGGCAUAUUUUACGAAACUGGAUUUACGAGCUGGAUAUCACCAAGUAAGGGUCAAUCCUUCUGAUAUUUCUAAGACUGCUUUUCGUACUCAUAAUGGCCAUUAUGAAUACCUCGUUAUGCCUUUUGGCCUAUGUAAUGCACCUUCCACAUUUCAGGCCAUCAUGAACACUAUUUUUCGACCUCACCUUCGAAAAUUCAUUCUAGUUUUCUUCGAUGAUAUCCUUAUCUAUAGUACUACAUGGGACAAACAUGUGGAACACAUUGCACAAACUCUGCAGAUUUUAAGACAACAUCAGUUUUUUGCUAAAGCUAGCAAAUGUGUUAUCGGCCAACAAGAAUUGGAGUAUCUGGGGCAUAUCAUUACACCGCAAGGAGUGAAAGUUGAUGACCAAAAGAUUACAGCCAUGCUUGCAUGGCCUCGACCUACUAAUAUUUCUGAAUUGCGUGGUUUUUUAGGAUUAACAGGUUAUUACAGGAAGUUCGUCCAAAAUUACGGCAUCAUUGCUCGACCCCUUACCAAUCUAUUAAAGAAGGGGAAAUUUGGAUGGCAUGAUGAGGCAGAGGCAGCCUUCUCAGCUCUCAAGCAAGCCAUGACAACCACUCCCACUUUAGCCAUGCCUAAUUUCAAUGAUUCAUUCACAAUUGAAACAGAUGCUUCAGGAGAUGGUAUUGGUGCGGUUCUAACACAGCAAGGCAAACCCAUCGCCUACAUGAGUCGGGCACUGGGAGUCACAAAAAAAUCCUGGUCCACCUACGCCAGAGAAAUGCUUGCAAUUGUAGAAGCCAUCCGUUUAUGGCGUCCUUAUAUACUGGGAAGAAAAUUCUUCAUUGAAACCGACCAGCGUAGCUUGAAGUAUCUACUGGAUCAACGAAUAGCAACACCAGAACAGCAAAAGUGGGUAGCCAAACUACUGGGUUAUGACUAUGAAAUUCGUUAUCGUCCAGGCCGCGAAAACUCAGCUGCAGAUGCACUCUCCCGCAGGCCAAACAGCCCCACACUUCAUCAUUUGCACGUGGCCACCGUAACCUUGUGGGAUGAAAUCAAAGAAGCAUACAUUGGGAAUAAAUACAUUCAGUCAGUAGAGCGGGUAGCCAAGGCUCAACCCAAUGGACCAUAUUCACAACGCCAAGGAUUGUGGCUAUUCAAGCACAGAGUGAUAAUUCCUACAUGUGAACUGCUACGCACCAAGUUAUUGUAUGAAGCACACAAUACCAAGAUUGGCGGACACUCUGGAGUCUUACGAACAGUCAAACGACUAGCUCAUCAAUUUUACUGGCCUAAGAUGCAACAAGAUGUCCAAGAAUAUGUCCGACGCUGUGAAGUAUGCCAAAGAAUGAAAUCAGACACUCUUUCCCCUGCUGGACUCCUACAGCCUUUACCCGUUCCGUGUCAAGUUUGGGAUGAUAUUACUCUUGAUUUCGUUGAAGGAUUGCCAACCUCCCAUGGAAAAGAUACAAUCUUAGUAGUGGUUGACAGGUUAAGCAAAUUUGCCCAUUUCUUGCCCUUAUCCCAUCCAUUUACUACAAAAGGAGUAGCUGAAAGAUUUGUGGAAGGAAUUAUUAAGCUACAUGGCAUUCCUAAAUCAAUCAUUAGCGAUCGAGAUCCCAUCUUUAUCAGCCAAUUUUGGCAACAGUUAUUUCGCUUGUCAGGGACACAACUAAAACUCAGCUCUGCCUAUCAUCCACAAACAGACGGCCAAACCGAGGUGGUAAAUCGAUGUGUUGAACAAUAUCUUCGCUGCUUUGUUCAUCAAUGGCCGCGCAAGUGGAGCACCUAUAUUCCUUGGGCUGAGCUCUGGUAUAACACCACAUUCCAUGCCUCUACUAAAAUGACUCCAUUUCAGGCAUUGUAUGGUCGACUGCCUCCUCUCCUUCCCAAUUACCAGGGUGGUGAUGCGUCGGUGCAUGAGGUGGACAAGAAUCUCAUGUCUAGAGAUGAGUUACUAAGUCACCUAAAGACAAAUUUGGAGAAAUCCAGCAAUCGUAUGAAGCAGACAGCAGACAAAAAAAGAAGGGAGGUGACUUUUGCAGUAGGUGAUAUGGUGUUUCUCAAGUUACACCCCUAUCGACAACAAUCGGUUUUUAAACGUGUGCACCAAAAGCUUGCAAGUCGAUUUUACGGCCCUUAUCCAGUAGUUCAAAAAAUCGGCGCAGUUGCUUACAAACUUCAACUACCAGAGGGCAGUCGUAUUCACCCGGUCUUCCACGUCUCUCUACUCAAGAAAUAUGUGGGCGACCUAGUGGUGUCAUCUACAGAAUUACCACCAGUGAAUGAUGAAGGCCUAAUUAUACUGGAACCACAACAGAUUUUGGACACUCGCUGGGUCAAACAGGGAAACAAAUUUGAAGAGGAGAGCUUGAUUCAGUGGCAACGACUACCAGCAGAGGAGGCCACAUGGGAACUAACUAAGUCGUUGCUUGAGCAAUUUCCACACAUCAACCUUGAGGACAAGGUUUUGCUUGGUGGGGGAGGUAUUGAUAAGCCACGAUCUGAAGAAUCUCAAAGUCCACGUCAUUCUAAGAGGAUCCAUAAACCAAAUCCCAAAUAUCUGGGAUGAGCUGAUCGUGAGUUAAUGCAUGCAUAACGGAAGAAGCCAUUAAACAGGGGUCGUGGCUAUCAAGGAGUAAUGGAAGGAGGGGUUACACCCGUUAUAUCACCAUUUAUGGUCAUCAGUUAUAUCUUAAUUAAUUCCAAGUUAUUAGUAGCUUUAUUGUUCCCUUUGUAUUUCAGUUUUAUUUGUAAUUCACUUUGGCUAUUUAAGCAGCUAAAGUUUUAAUAAGAAAAGAUAUAUAAUUUCAGUAAAAAAGUGUGGUUUAGUUCUCACCCGAAGAGAACCUUUAUAAUAUUGUGAUGGGACCUAACAUUGGUAUCAGAGCACGUUAUGGGAACCAACAAGGAGCGUAUUGAGCACCUGGAAUCUGGACUUGGGAUAGUUCAAGAUGGUCUUCAGAGAAUGGAGUUGGGAGUGAAUGAUAAACUCCAACAUUUGGAAGACACUCUUACUCGACUUGCCAAUAUGUUGAGGGCAAAUCUACGAGAGAAACAAAAUGUACGAGAGAACACAACCCCAUCAUUGAAGCUGCUAUUUAUAUAUAUAUAUAUAGACAUGAUCUAAUGCUAGCAAGCUGCGAAUCAUAUAUUUUAAGCAGCACACAUUGAGAAAUGAUUUCAGUCUCAUCUUGCCUUUGGGUCAAUUAUUUCAGAAAACACACCCCUUGCUCUUUGAUCUGGAUCACUUUGGGUGACACUUUCACGAGUGCUAACAGUGCUCCUUGAAUGUGACUCCGCUCCACUAAACAUGUCAUCGUCAUCAGUGGUCAUGGCAUCUCGAUGUGGUGAAAAUGAGCUUUUAUUUUCCAUAUUGAUCCCUUCUACACUGUUGGCAUUUUUCUCAGCAGAUUGUUGAAGCUGCAAUGCAAAUUCAAGGCCCCAAACGACAUCACCCAUUUUAGGGCGUUCAAUUCCUUGACCAUGUAAGCAACUGUUAGCAAUCUCUGCGAACUUAUUUAAAGAGACGGGGGCAACCUCGCCCUUUAAAUGUGGAUCCACGAUCUGAUCAAGGGUUCCUCUUUGGUAACAUUUUCGUGCCCAGUCAGCUAAGCUUGCUUGAUCUUUCGGUGAACUUGGAAUCACUGGUGGCCUUGCACAUAGCACCUCAAACAAAACCACACCGAAUGAAUAAACAUCAGAUUUUCUGUCAGGUGUUGCCUACGGUAGUACUCUGGAUCCACAUAUCCAAUGCUACCUCUAACUACAGUGCUAACAUGGGUUUGGGAUGUACUAGUGGGACCCAAUCUGGACAGCCCAAAAUCUGAAACCUUAGCCACCCAAUUCUCAUCUAACAAUAUGUUUGUUGACUUCACAUCACGGUGAAUGAUUGUGUGCUUUGCUCCUGAAUGAAGAUAAUGCAACCCUUUUGCAGCACCGAUGCAUAUUUCUAGCCUUUGCUUCCAUGGAAGAGGAGAGUUCUUUGUUUUGUAUAGAUGUUCUCUAAGAGUGCCUCUUGACAUGUAAUCGUAUACAAGGAUCAUCUCGCCAUGAUCAUCACAGUAUCCAAUCAGCGACACUAGAUGGAGGUGGCGCAGAUUGGAUAACAUCUCAAUCUCUGUCUGGAACUCACGUGUCCCUUGCUUUGAUGAUGAAUCUAGUCGUUUGAUGGCUACUGCACCGUAUUCAAUGUAUCCUUUAUACACAGUACCAAAUCCCCCUGAACCAAUAAUAUUUUGAUCAUCAAAGUGUCCUGUUGCUUCGUUGAUUUCGAAAAAUGUAAACCGUCGGCAAAGAUCAGUAGGAGUGAUGAAGAGAUUGUAGUCGUGGACCUAGAUGUUUGUGAUAUUAGAGUCCAGGAGGAUUUUUCCUCACUCUUGCUAGGGUCCUUGACUCGCUUCUGCUUGAAAGCAAAGAAAUAAAGAAUAAGAGAGCAAGCAAACACUGCACCUAUGGAACCUCCAACGAUGGCUAUAACCGUAAGUAUUGAUGAUCUUUUGCCCGUUCUUCUGUCUUGUAGACUUGGAUGUUGUUCUGCUGGUGGAGGAGCCACUGUUGGCUCAGGGUUGAAUCCUGCAAGAUUUCCGUCUGUUGUAUUCAGCUUGAAUAUUUCCAAGCCAUUCAAGAUUGCAUCAGCAUAAGUAGGUUUCAGUUCCAUGUUAGGGUGUAGUUCGAGCCACAAGCCCUGCUUGCUCUGGCUCCCUGAGGGACCAGCACGAUGUAGUCUUUGUAAACUGGAAUGCCGUUGCCACCGCUCAUAUGGAUCACAUCUGCAUCAUGGCUGUGCUAUUUGAUUGUUGAUGAAUAUUAAAAAUACCUGUUGAUUUUCAGUUUUGAACUCCAUUCGAGUCUCACAAAAGUGGAGUCUAAGGAGAUAAUUGAAACCAGCAUCAACUGGGAAGAUCCAUGUGAGAUUGUAAUUCAUGUUAAGAAGUGGUUCAGGACCCAUAGAACGCAUAGUACUAUAUACCAUAACAGGUGCGGAGUAAGCUGGCGUUUUGGUUGUGUACUCUAUCUUGACGCCUGAGUGAUAUGGAGUGUUUCCAGCUUUUCCAAAGAGAUACCCUGAAUCUUGAUGCCAUGUCCUGUACAUUCCAGUCUUGUCUCCAGUGCUGCUGAUAUCUUGCCCCCCAACAUUCAGUCGAUAAACUGUCUCAAGCGCAGUUGUGUUACCCAGAUAGAAGGGGGCGGUGCCCACAUAGGUCGGUGGAUUAUCAUCGCCACGAGCAUAGAAGCUGUCUGGCAUGGAAACGAUUUCGAUACCAUUAACGAAGGCAAAAGAUGCUGGAGACGGAAUGAAGGUUAAUUCAAGCUUCUGGUUGUCCCACACGGUGAUGAUGAACUCUUUGGUGAAGUAGUCAACUGGAGGUCUUAUAGCAGAAACUGUAAGAGAGGCACUAAAGUUGUUUAGUAGCUUGUAGUUGUUGGCACUAAGCGAAAAAUAGGAUUUGGAUAUAUCAAGAUUUGAGUAAGAAGAUGGAUAAAAGUAGAGACGCACAAAUUUUGGGCCAGGCAAGACUGGAAUUGUGUAAGUGAAUUUAGAGUGAAGAAUACGGGCUGUCAUGUAUGGGACUUGGUCGACAGAGGGGUCUUGAGUGGAGGCUUCAAACACAGAUGAGGCUUCUGGGGGGUUAGAGGCAGCAAACUUAGACUGGGAAUCACCAUCCCAACUGCGACCAUCUGGAGAUGACAAAUUAGAGGAUGCACCACAGUUAAGGAGUAUUAGAUCAGUGGGGCUGUAUGGCAGCAAGUAAUCUUCAGUAGCAGUAGCAUAGAGGAAGAGAUGGAGGGGAGGGAGAAGGUAGAGAGCGAUGAAGAUGGACAUUAUGCUAUUUCUUUUGUGGAAUAAGUUGGAGUAAGAAAACCUAUGCAUUAAAUGCAAAGAUUUUGAUUUAAGGGAAGAUGAUCAGUGGCGUUUUUGUCUCCAUACAGUAUUUUUGCUCAGUUGAGAAUAAUCCAAUAAUAUAUUUGAAGCCCGGGGAGUUGAAAAUUCGACGAUAUGGCUAAUGGGACAUAUUGGUCGCUGUACUUAGUCAGCUUUGGAUGGCUGCUUUCCAUUGUGUGGUUCUGAAUUCUGCAAUAAAGACGCCAUGAAUAGUCUAUGAAACUUAUUUUUCUUUUCUUUUUUCCUUAACUUUUUCAUUGUUGGAUUAAGAUCACACACACCACUUAAUUUCUUAUUUGAUUAAUAUUCUUAACGAGGUUGAAUGUAUUUCAGGUUGGUGUUCACCAUAACAAAUGCAGUAAUCACAGCUCCGAGAUUAGGAUUCAAAAGGUGCAAAGCUUCUUUUUCCUUAUGGCCACCGCCUUGAUACAAUGAUUGUCGCAAGUGCAAGGUCUAUAUAAUCCUCACCGAUGCCUUCUGUCCAAUACACACACAUCCUCAUUAUAGGCUGGCCUUGCUUCAGUCUUCAAUAAGAAACAUCGUUCUUGUUCCUCAUGAGUAGCCCUUUCACUCGCCUCAGAUCCAUGAAGUCUCAUUUACUCCUUUCUAUUAUUCUUCUUCAAUGCUGUCUUACUGAUAAAAUGCUCUUGUUUUUGGUGUUAUAUAUUCUUCAAUGCUGUCUUACUGAUAAAAUGCUCAAAUGAGACUUCAUGGAUCUGAGGCGAGUGAAAGGGCUACUCAUGAGGAACAAGAACGAUGUUUCUUAUUGAAGACUGAAGUAUAUAUAUAUAUAUAUAUAUAUAUAUAUAAAAUUUUACACAGGCUCAAAGGAUCGACCUAUUUCUUUUUGGUUCAUGAGUGUGCCUUUUUGGGCUGAGUUUAAAACCAAAAAUCUUCUCAUCUGGUAUAGUAAUCGCUUAAUUACUACAAAACUUGGUGGUAAUGAGAAAUCUUUCUUCCCAUUAAUCGAAGAAUAAUGGAUUUACCUCUCGACAUACUUGGUGCCGAAUAAAAUCAUUAGCACUAGUGAAGAAGAGGCAAGCUGUCCUCUCUUCCCUGGAGAUGGCAAUUUGUUCUCUCUCAUCCUGUUAAGCUUGAUUUCCAUAAUUGAGGGGAAAUGAAUGGAGUUCUCGGUGGAUGAAAAAUAAUUGGAAUAAUAAAUGAAAUGAAAUUGUGUUUCAUUGUUGAAACAAUCAUGCUGAAAUCACUUCAAUCCAAGUCUCUACAUUGAAUAGGUCUAGCAAAUGUUCUUAUCUUGUACAAACAGGACACCUUAAGCAAACCUGUGAACAUUCCAAGAUCUUUUUUUCAACUUCAUAGCUUGCAAUAGAUUAAUGAGGAAGCUUCUCCAUUAAUUAGUGCACGAGAAAGACAAUCACUAGACAUCGUAUCGACAAAGCAAUUGCUUGCUAUUUUCUUCAAUUAUUAAUCAUCAUAAAGUACAUACAAAUUUUAUUGCUAUACUCAUCGGAAGCAUGAGUAGAAAGAAAGAAGAAAGAUUCAGACAGUCACCCUAGACGUAGAGCAAACUGAUCCCACCCAUCUUGGUGGAGCUCACAUAGACGGACUGGUUCACCUUGCGCUUUAUGGGUGGCUAUUCAAAUCGAAACCCACACAGACAGAUAAAGAACUGACCCCUUUGUCUCCUCUUCCUCGAUCAACUACCACGUUUGCACCGAUUGUAGUAAGUGCAGGGCCGAGUGUUAGGAUUGAUCGGUUUUGCACAGUCGCCAUAUAUUUGUGCAUUGCAAAUUGGUUGUCGUUCUAAACUAUCAUAGCUAAGAUAGUUACCCUGAGAGGCCAGUAGUCUCUGAUGCACUUCAGAUUCCAUAGAGAACUCCUCUUCAUUACCUUCACCGAUUGUGGCAUUGAAAAUGGGACUCGAGUUGCUUUCAAGAAAGGCAGCUGUAGAAGCAGAUGUGAUCACAAAAACCAGCAGGAUAGUUAAAGAGAGCCACCGGAGGAAUUCAAUACUUACGCUAGGCCUCAUCUCUUUCUGUCUGUACCCUUCUGUUACAGAGUUUGAAGAGCACUAAAUAGACGUCACUGCUAAGAAGGCUUCAAACUCUGGAUAUGGAGUGAAAGGCCAGCUUUUUUCCAUUGACUUGCUUUUUUGUGAAGACUUGGGUCUUCACAUGACUGUGAUUUUGACAUUGUGCGCUCUAAUUGCUUACAGCUGGCAAACUGGUUGGAUAAUGGUCCUUGCCAAUUCAAUCGUUUCCUCAUUGUUCGUUUGCAACCAUGAACAUUUAUUUUAGUGUUUGAUAGUGGUUUUUUAUAAUAUUUUUUAUUUAGAAAAAUAUUAAAAUAAUAUUUUUUAAAAUAUAUUUUUAAUAUCAAUAAUGCAAACACUCAUCAUGCAGCGUUUUCCGAGGGACAUCUAAUAGUUGUCGGAAACCAUGUGCGCGUCAAGUCCAUGGGCCAUCAGCUGAUGCUAAGUUUUGAAAAAAUUGCAAUUAUUUUUUUAUGGGAUCCUGCUAACAAACACUAGCAUUUCUCUUACUUUUAUGUAAUUAAAUGGUAGGGUAUAGCAGUUCUUACAAAGGGACCAUAGAAAUGUCUUUUGAACUGGUGCUAUUGGCAUACCCAUAAAUCUAUUGGCGUAACAUUUUGGAAAUGGAAUGUCAAGGUUUUUUCUUCUCUAACAUGAAAGCUUUCUCCUUUUUUUUUCGUUUAUUAAUAUUCAUAAAUUAAGAGAAAAUGUUGAUUUUUCAAUUGAAUAUACGUAAGGUAUGAAUUUGCUAUGCGUUUAGAGUACAUGAAAGACUUAUUUAUAUUAGGCUUUUUGAACUUUAAAACUAAUUAAAUUCUGCUUGAAGUUGAAAAUAUGUCAUGGAUGACGUGAUAACGUGAUAAGCACUUUUUGAAUAAUUGAAGGGGAUGGAUGUUUUGUUAAGGAUGACGUCAAUAUACACCCACACACUAUGAAGUUGAUUCAAAGAAUCAGGAUUAUAAUCUGGAUCUUCGUUAGUGAAUUUAUCCUCAUCAAAACUUGAUAUUUCGUACGAGGUUUCUUCGAGUGUUUCUUGUAUUCUGCCUUUGACCUUGAUGAUGCUAAGGUUUACUUGAAUUCGAUUUUAAGAGGUUAGAAAUGUAAAUUGUCUUUUUUAAGUUGGAGAUGAUAGGAAUUCUUGUAGCUAUGGAGUUUGUUGAGAUUGUAGCAAUAAGCUUGAGUUUCUCUGAAUUGGAUCCAUCAUUUGACUUUGAUGUAUCCCAUGAGAUCUGAAGAGUAACUAAUAUCUUUAUUUACAUCAUGCAUUGUAAUGAAAUUCCAAGAUAGCAUGAGACACCAAAGGUAGAGAUGAAAUUAUACAAAGAAACGGGAAUUGAAUUCGAAGGCAUUUUUACUAUAAACAAUUCCAAUUAUUGUGUGAUUUUUUAUGGGAGGAUUUCACUUAUAGAAGAAAAAUAUUUCCACCAAUUGUUUGAGAACCAAGUUGGUAAAUUUUUUGGACAAAUGUUUUAUCAAAAUGGAUGAACCAUAAAUGAUCAUGGUUUUAGAAAAAGAAAAUCAAACCAAGCUCGUUGAUAAUCAAAAUAAUUAUAUCUUUGAGAUUAGUAGUUUCAAGAAAAUCUUUCAAGGUGUAGGGACUUUGACUCAAUUAAGUCUUGAAAGGUUAAAACCUUUUAAAUUUUUAUUUUUGAAAAAAAUGGAUUAUUUACAUCUUCAUUAUGAGUCACUUCAGCAGAGUUAAUGUCAAACCAGAACAAACUCAUAAAAUUAUCUUGUUUUCAAUAGUUUUUCUAUAAUGAACUAAAAUUGAAAGGGGAAGAUAUAAAAAAUGAUCUUAUUUAGGUUUUCAUUGUAAAAUUAUUUUUUAAUUGGACAAAUAUGAAGAUUUAUAGUUUCUUGACUUGGAAGGUUUAAUAAGUUAAUUUUUUCAGGGAAGAUUUGGAGGGUAAUUAACACAAGUGGAAGCACAAGCAAAUACACAAUAACAAGUAGGGUAUAAAAGUUGUUACAAGGGACCAUAUAUAUUGUGUUUUGAACUGGUGCUAUUGGCAUACCCAUAAAUCUAUUGGAACAAUAUUUUGGAAAUAAAAUGUCAAAGUUUUUUUUUCUUCUUUAACAUGAAAACUUUCUUUUUUCCAUUUAUUAAUAUUCAUAAACCAGAGAGAAUGUGAUUUUUCAAUUGAAUAUAUAUAAGGUAUGAAUUUCCUAUGCCUUGAGAAUGCACCAGAGUGGUGGCCCGCGCGACACCACGGAUCGGACCAAACAUGUUUUUCAAUAUGAAAAAAAUCUUUAGGAGAUAGUUGGGUUUUUAAAAUAAAAAAAAAAUAGAUAAUAAUGUUAAACCUUGAUUAAUUUUAUAAUAUAAUAAAAAAAUUAAGCAACAAUAACAAAGAAAUAAAAAAUAAUUACAUACAAAACUGGAUUAACACACGAAACUCGUGACCUAACACAUGAGAUCAGGAUAACCCUAUAGGAAUAUGAUACCAGUAAAAAUCCAUUGUUGAAAAAGGACAUGGAAAAAAAAAUCAAAGGCAAUAAAAUAUUGAAGGAUGAAAUUAAGAAAAAAAGUUCAAAUAAAAAUAAAUCAAAAAAAUAAAAAUCAAAUCUAACAUAAAACAAAAUUAACUAAAAUAUUGAGAGAUACAAUUAAAAAAAACAAUUCAAUUAAGAGAAAGAUAUAAAAUAUUGAGGGAUACAAUUGAAAAGAUAAUUUAGUUAAGAGAAUAAUUAAAAAUCAAAAUAAAAAUAAUAGGGAUCAAAUCUAAAAUGUAAACAAACCAAAUGAGAAUUAAAUUGAAAGAAAAUUUUAAAUGCAUGCAUAAUCUAAAAUAAAUGAAAUAACAAUAAAAAAAAAGAAAUCAAAUCUAAAAGAAAAAUAAAUUGAAGUGCUAUAUAAAAUCUUACUUUUUGUUACCACACAAGCUCUCUAGAAAUUGAUCGGCAAUAUCACAAGGAUAAAAACACAAUUAUAAAAGCUAGAGCUUGGCUGUCAAACGAUACCUCAUGUGUUGUCUAAUCAAAACAAAAGUACUAACCCGUGACCGUAUAAAUUGCAUGUGCAACUGUUUUUUUUUUUAAAUAAAUUAAUAUAAUAUAUACCUAAAUACUAAAGUGCAUUUUAUCGAACUUGAUAAUCACAAAAAAACCAAAAACAAGAGACAAAAACAAAACCCCUUGACCAAGGGCAAAGACAAUUCAAAUGCAAGGACACUUCAGUUUUUCACUGUGCAUGUGAAAAGGAAUACUUGAAAGUGACCCUCUCCACUAGUCCAUUACUUUUUAUUUAGAAGGAUAUAAUGGUUAUUUUACCAUGAAAAUAAAAAAAAAAAAUUAAUAUACCCUACUUCCAAAGCCAGCAAAAUCAUUAUCUCACUAUUCCAAUCGACAUUAACAAUGAGUUUGGCUGUACAAUAAUAAACCUAUACUAAAAUGGGAGCUCUUUUAGUCUCUUCUAAUGAAAGACUUAUUUACAGGAGGCUUUUUUAACUUUAAAUCUAAUUAAAUUAUGCUUGAAGUUGAGAAUAUAUCUUGGAUAACGUGAUAUAUACACUUUUUUAAUAAUUGAAGUGGCUGAAUGUUUUGUCAAAUAUUAUUGAAUAAUUAAAUUAGGUGGAUUUUCAUAAAGGAUGACGUCCACAUAUAUAAAAGAUUCUUUUAUAUCCAUGUGUGUGUGUAACUCAGAAGAUUAGGACCAUAAUCUGGAUUUUCAUUAGCGAAUUCAUCCUCAUGAGAACUUGAUAUUUAUACAAGGCUUUUUGGAGUUUUUUCUUGUUCUGACUUUGAGCUUGAUGAUGCAAGGCUUUCUUGAAUUCGACUUUUAGAGGUGAGAAUUGUAAAUUGUCGUUCUUGAGAUGGAGUCGAUGGGGAAUGCUUGCAGCUAUGGAGUUUGAUGAGAUUGUAGCCGAGCAUGCACAACUUGAGAACAAGCUUGAGUUUUUCUGAAUUGGGUCCAUCGUUUGACUUCGAUUUUCCUCAUGAGAUCUAAAGAGUAACCAAUACCUUCAUCUACAUCAUUUAUUAUAAUGAAGUCCCAAGAUAGCAUGGGACACCAAAGGUUGAGAUGAAAUAAAAAGAGGCAUGAAUUGAAUUCAAAGGUAUUUUUGUUGUCAACAAUUCCUAUCUUUAUAUGAAUUUUUAGGGAGAAUCUUACUUAUUGAAGAAAAAUAUUACCACCAAUUGUUUGAGAACUAAGUUGGAAAAUUCUUUGGACAAUGUUUUAUCAAAAUGGAUGAAUGAUGAAUGGUCAUAGUUUUUUAGAAAAAGAAAUUAAACCAAGCUUGUUAAUAAUCAAAAUUACUGAUUGGUAGUUUUGAGAAAAUCUUUCAAGGUGCAGGGGUUUUGAUUCAUGUCUUGAAAGGUUAAAACCUUUUAAAUUUUUAUUUUUAUUUAAAAAAAAAAAAAACAGGAUUGUUUACAUCUUAAUUAUGAGUUAUUUCAACAAAGUUAAUGUCAACCAGAAUAAACUUAUAGAAUUGUCUUGUUUUCAACAUAUUUUCUAAAAUAAAUUGAAAUUGAGAGGGGGGAAUAUAAAGAAUGAUCUUAUUUGGGUCUUCAUUGUAAAAUUAUUUUUUAAUUGGACAAAUAUGAAGAUAAUAGUUUCUUGACUUGAAAGGGUUAAUGCAUUUUUUAGGGAGGAUUUAGAGAGUAAUUAACAUAAGUGGAAGUACAGCAAAAAACCAAUAGCAAGAGAAAGAAAUAAUAGUUGAAAGAGGAUGAGUAAAAGAAUCCUAAUUUAUAGUUUUAUUGAUGAAGAGAAAAAUCCACUAUUUUUUUUUGCCCCUUUAAGAUAUUUAGAAUCUUUAAAAAGUUAAAACCAAACUAAACAAAUUAAAAAAUCCCAAAGAAAAGUAACAAAAUUCCUAAACAAACUAAGAGAAAUAAAAUUAUCAUUCUCAAUAUUUAAUUUCCUGAACUAGAUAGAAAAAAAUAAAAUCACCAUAAAGAAAAUAUUUUUCUAAACUAAAUAGAAAAUAAUAAUAAUAAUAACUAAGAAAUUUUAUUUUCAUAAAAAUCCUGGCAUCAACAAUAAUGUUGUUGAAGGUGCAUUUUAAGAUUAAACAAACAAGGGUGUUUUGAGAGAUUAAAAAUAAUUUAAGUGAGGUGUUUGGACUGAGUGAUGUUGAUGAAAGGAUUCAAAAUUGAUUAUUUGAGACAAAAACUAGCCUCACAAUAGGAGGCCAUACCCUCCUUAAAGUAUCUUGAAUGCUUGAUGUUGUUGCUUGAAUUGGUUUUAAUGGUGUAAGAGUAUUUGAUUCUUUUAACUUCUUGACCGGGAUGCUCAUUUUGAGCCUAGUAAAGACUCUUUGACUUUUAUGAAUUCAAUCUUGUAAAAGUAUCUAAGAUUUGUAAAAAUAUCUAAAACAUAAUUCAGGCAUCUCAUAAACCUUUAAAGCUGGGUUUUAUCCUUGGUUUUUUCUACGGAUUUAUCAAUAAAUUUUAGUGAUCUAGUGAUUAGAGUUAUUGAUUCUUGAUACAUGUUGUAUCCUAAAAAAUAUAUUUUUAAUUAACAUCUUUAAGGUUGAGACAACUAAUCUAUUUUGUUUGAUAAUAUUGAGAAGCUUUUGUAAGUUUUCGAAAUGUUUGGUUAUUAAUUUUAAAAAUAAAAAGUCAUCAUCUAUGUAUAUAAUCAUAAAUUUUAAAUACAGAUUAAAGAUGUCAUUUAUAAUGGUCUGAAGUUUUAAAUGAGUAGUUCAAAAGGCAUUACAUCUCAUUUGUAAUGAAUAAAUGUAACAAUGAAUGUUGUUUAGUAAUGAUUUUAUUAUUAUUAUUAAAUUAGACUUGCUAGAAUCCUGACCUUAUGUCAGAUUUUGAAUAUAUUGAAGCAUUUUAAAGUCUCAUCUCUCUUAUCAUCGUGUAUUGGAUAUCUAAUAUAUUGAAGCACUUUGUUGAGAGGCUUGUAAUUGAUGACAUGUCUUAGUGCACACUAUACCAUUAAACAAUUUUAUUGACAGAUUAAUUUCGUCGGUGUAAGGCAUGACAUCUGUCGGUAAAAUUAUUACCGAUGGUCUCAUCGAUGAAAUUCGUCCGUCGGUAUACUAAUCGCCGGUAAUUUCCUAUUCCGUCGCUAAUGUUGUCGGAAUUAAAAAAAAAAACCAACCACCGCCGGUCUUACAAACGGUGACACGCUGCAAAAACAAAAUUUCCCACGAGAACAUUACCGACGGAAUAUAUCGGUCUACAUUUUUAACGGUAAUCAUCAACGGAAUAUCCAUCGGUGAUGGUGGCAUGACGGUAAAUAUUUUAGAACUCUGUAAAAUACCAACAGAAAUAUUCCGUCGGUAAUAGUAAUGGUAAACACUGACGAAAUAUGUCCAUCGGUGAUUAUGGCAUGGGUGGUAAUUGUUUGGCAACUCUCGGUAAAAUACCGACGGCCAGGAUCCGUCGGGAAAGUCGUCGGCAUGUAUUUAUAAUAUAUAUAAAAAAUAAUUUAUUAAUAGUAAAAAAGCUUAAUAAACAAAUAAAAUUGUAUUAAACAUUAAAAAUAUAAAAAUAAUGUUAAAUAUUAUUCAUCCAAAUAUUCAUUACAAAUUUAAUGUGUUUAAAAAACAAAAUUAAACUAGAAUAGCGGUAGAGCUAGAGGAGGAGGAGGAGGAGGAGGAGGAGGAGGAGGAGGAGGAGGAGGAGUUGGUUGUUCCCGGGACCGUACGACCAAAAAGGAGCUGCACAUGUAUCAUCACCCAUCCUUGAUAAUUACUCCAUGACCAUUUGAUGGAGUUGAUCAUAAUUCAUCGAGAGUUGUUCAUAUUGUUGUUUCAAGGCCAUGAACUUCUCAGACUGGGUGCUCGAUGCUGAUGGAGAGCUCCUAACGGUUGAGACACUACGGGUUGAUCGCAAUUUUUCGGUCGUAGUGUUGGAGAGCCUGUGGACUCAAUUUUUUUUGGGACCACUAGACGAUCCCACCUCCAUCCACUAAUCCGAAUCAAAAUCCGGAUAGAUCGAAGGAUCGUCCCCAUAUCUCUCCCUCAACCGUCUAUUAUAGGUCUCCUGAAAUUUUUUAAAAAAUCAUCAUAUUCAAUUCAAGAAAAUAAUAACUUACUAAAUAAAAUGAUUGAACGAACAUACUACGAAGUGCUGAGCACGGUUGUCCACAAACUACUGCACCCCUUUUUGGCGAUCUUGACUCCGCACAUGCAUCUCUACAAACAACUCCAUUGGACGUAGCUUAUAAGGAAAAAAUAGGUUGCAAUUAAGUUAAAUAUAUUUAUAAGCAACGACAAAUUAAUUAAUGAUAUAUCUCAUUAAAAUUAAUCUUACCAUCCGCUUUGCAUGUGUGCUGAACGGGACGGAGCCGUCGGUGUGCAUGGUCACCAAACCAUGAAUUUACCAGUUCCGGUUGUGGGCGCCGAAUUGUGAGCACCAUGAUAACCACUCUAAGGUCACGUGCUCAAUAUAUGUUGUCCAUAUAUCUCUCGAGAUGAAUGGCAGUUUGAAUUCCCGCCAAACCGCUACCUCAUUCCAUCCUUUAAGACCGUUAUCCCUCGCAUGUCUUUUUGAUUUUUUUUAUUGAACCAACCAGUUUAACUCGGUUUUUUUGGUUUGGCUAAGUUUUUUAUUCUGACUUGGCUCAGUUUUUUCGGUUUUAGGCUUAUAAACAUAACCGAACCAAUCAGUUUUUUAAAAUUCUAAUCGGUUUAAUAAGUUUUUUUUACAGUUCGGUUUUUUCGGUUAUUUUUUUUAUGGUUCUCUCGGUUUAAUCAAUUUUUUUAUUUUCUUGCUUACCCUUACAUAUAGGUAGUGAAAGGGAAAUUACGAAUUAUACAGAAUUGAACAAAAAAAUAGAAGGUCAAUUUUUAAAAUAGAAUGCCCACUCCGGCGUGAAAAAUGGAAUAUUAAAGGCAAAUACAUGUUGUUGGCAAAGUUCCAAGCCUGGGGUCCAGUUUCAUGCAAACAUCUAAUGCACGUUAUGAGGCAACAAAUAAAGCAGGAAGAGAAUAGACUAAAAAGAAAUCUAUAAUGUUAAAUCUAUGAUGAAAUUUAUUGGUCUAAGAUGCUAAAAAAUUAACAUGUAUUUAAACUUAUAUAUAUUAUAAUACCUCGAAAAUAUAGAGUUGAUCAAGUUCAGAAUAUGUGGACAUGCUUUUUAUAAAUUCAAAACUAGUAGAGGAAAGACUCAUAUCGUAUAUAGAAAACUUAGAUAUUUUUCAAUUAUACCUAGAAUGCAAUGACAUCAUCAUUCACAAGAUUUUGUGGAUGUUUUAUUAUAUGAUAACAUCAAAAUAUAUUGAAAGAUUAUGUAUAUAUCAUUAUGAAUAGUGGAGAUAUGAUACAAUUAAAUGAGAAUUUUAUAUAACUAGAUAAAAAUAUGAAAUAAAAAGACUAUGUGGAUGAUCUAAUAUAUAUUUUUAUAUACCAUUGAGACAUUCUAGAUCUAAAAAGAGGUCUUGUCGUGUCAAAUUAGACGAACAUCUUAGGACCAUGUCUUUUAUCAAAUUGUUAGAUUUCCCGGAUUAGGUAUCAAAACUGAAUAUUGUUAUUUGGGUUAAUUUUUUUUUUAAUUUUUUCAAGGUUUUUUUUUUUGGAUUUAUUAUUUAAUUUGAUUUAUUAUUUUAAUUUCUUUUGCUUUUUUGUAUUUCUAGUUGUUUUCUAAUAGAUGUAGGGCUUUUUUGAUCUAUUUAUAGGUCUUAUAAACCUUUUAAAAGAUAAACUUAUUAGGUUUAUUUUUAGAUAAAUAAAUCAUAAAUUUGUGUUUCACAUAUAUAAUUUUUUUUGUUCAUUAAAUUUUAUUGUGUUUUAUGUAUUGUUACUAUUCUUAUAGGUCUCUGCUGCAUCAACCAUGCUUUGAGUUGGCUAAUUGUUAUUUUUUAUUUCAUAUUAAGUAUAAACAGGUAGUGAAAGGGAAAUUAAGAAUUAUACAGAAUUGAACAAAAAAAUAAAAGUUCAAUUUUUAAAAUAGUAUGCCCACUCCGGCGUGAAAAAUGGAAUAUUUCACAUCUAAUGCACGUUGUGAGGCAACAAAUAAAGUGGACCAAUUGGAAAUGAAAGAAGUGACCUUUGAACAAAGACUUCCAAGUCGUUGGCAUUAUGCAAUCAAUAAUUCAACAUUAAAAAAUCCCAAGUUGUUGCCUUUGAAAUGUCUAAUGCACGUUAUGAGGCAACAAAUAGAGUGGACCCAUUGGAAAUGCAAGAAGACCUUUGACAGGUCGUCUGUGCUGUGUAGCAGUGACCUCUGAAAGACAUCAAAGACUUCCAAGUCGUUGGCAUUAUGCAAUCAAUAAUUCAUCAUUAAAAAUUUUGGUAACUUUCUGGAAAUGAGACGUGAGAUUUUUCGUCCUUAACAUGUGGACCUUUCUUUAUUGACUUUCAUAAAUUUAGAUAUAACUAGUAAAUUUAAGUUGUUUUAUCUUAUUAAUUUAUACACUCAUUUUAAUUCUGUACCUCCUCGAUUCCUCUGGCAUGCAUCAUCACUCCGUAAUCAUUGUAUAUGGGAACCCCAUUUCCAUCAGCCCAAGAAAUUAUAUCUGCGUAAAGCUCGGCAGUUUGAUUAGCGAUAUAUAUUUGAAAGAUCAUAUCGCCUUCCCGCAAUAUAAUCGGUAUAAACUGACAGAAAUGAAGCCUAAAAAGAUAGGUGAAUGUGGAUUGGACCGGAAACUGCCAAGUCAUAUUGUAUUCCUUAUUUACAGUAGAAUUGGGUCCCAUGGUCCUAGCAGUUCGAUAGAGUACAUCAGGUGCAGCAUAGCGAGUGAGGUUAUUAUACUGAAGUUGAAUAGUGCCAUUAUAUUGAUAAACGCUCGGUCUAGCAUCCGUCAAGUAAUCGUCGUCGUUUAGCCAACUUUGAAUAGUGCCGUUAUUUUGAUGUUGUGGAUGUUUUGUUAUGAAUAUUUGGUGAAGAUAAGAUACAACUAAAUAAGAAUUUUAUACAACUAGAUAAGGAUUGAAACAGAAAAACUAUAUUGAUAAUUUAAUAUAUAUAUUUAUAUACCAAUAAAACAUGUUUAGACCUAAAAAAAAGGUCUUGUCCCUCAAAUUGGAUAAACAUCUUAAAAUUGCAUCUCUUAUCAAAUUAUUAGAUCUCCAGGAAUUAUGCACCAAACCAAAAUAUUGUUGUUUGGGUCAAAUUUAUUUAUUUUUCCUAGUUUUUUUAUUUAUUAUUUAAUUUGGUUCUUUAUUUUAUUUUAUUAUGUUCUUUUGUAUUUCUAGUUGUUUUCUAAUAGAUGUAGGAUUUUUUUUUAAUCUAUUUAUAGGUUUUAUAAACCUCUAAAAAAAUAAACUUCAUUAGUUUUAUUUCCAUAUAAAUAAAUCAUUAAUUUAUAAUUUACAUUGUAAUCUUUUUCGCUCAUUAAAUUUUAUUGUGUUUUUGUAUUGUUACUAUCCAUAUAGGUCUAGGCUGCAUCAACCAUGCUUUGAGUUGUCUAAUUGUUUUUUUUUUUUUUUCAUAUUAAGCAUAAACAAAAAAAUAAAAUAAAAGGUCAAUUUUUAAAAUAGGAUGCCCCAUCCGGAGUGGAAACUGGAAUAUGAAAGGCAAAUACAUGUUGGUGGCAAAGUUCCAAGCCUUUGGGCCCAGUUUCAUGUAAACAUUAGGCAACAAAUAGAGGGGACCAAUUGGAAAUGGAAGAAGACCUUUGACAGGUCGUCUCGUCUGUGCUGUGUAGCAGUGACCUUUGAAAGGCAUCAAACACUUCCAAGUCGUUGGCGUUAUGCAUCAAUAAUUCAACAUUCAAAAAAAAAUCCGCACUUUCCAAGAAAAUUAACUUUCAAGACAUCAUAAUCAGACUUCUGCAUAUUUCCGUGGAAUUUUAUUUUUUAUUUUUUUUAAAAUAUGGAAAUAUAUUGGUAACGUUUUAGAAAUGAGACGCCAGAUAUUUUUCGUCCUUAACAUGUGGACCUUUCUAUAUUGAUUUUCAUAAAUUUAGAUAUAACUAGUAAAUUCACGUUGUUUUAUCUUAUUAAUUUAUACAUUCAUUUAAUUAUUAUUUAAUAUUUGUUUUUCUUAUUUUCUCUACAAUAUCACUUGAUAAGUUGGCAAGGAUAAUGAUGUCCAAUAUAUUUCAGAAAAUAAUACAUGAAAGUCUUACAAUGUUGUUAUCAAUUUACUAUUUUACUAAUACCAUACAUCUACAUGCAAUAAAUAUAUUUUUCAUUUUUUCUUAUUGUGUGGAAUUUUUUUUUUAUAAUACUCAGAAAAAAAUAAUAAUUAAAAGAAUAAGGACCAAACUAGAACAAUUUUAUUUUUGUUUUUAAUGCUUUUUUAACUUAAUUGUUUUCAAUUUUAUCCAUAUAUAUUUUAUUUAAUUUAAUUAUUUAAUCUAGUUUGGUCCUCAUUCUUUUUAUUACUAUUUUUUUUAAAUUUUAUUUCUCAUCAUUUUAUUUCGUUUAAUUUUUGUGUCCAAUUUUGGUACUCAUUCUUUGAUUGCUUUAUAUAUAUACUAAAUAUAUAUAUCAUUUUCUUAAUUUAUUUUAAUUUUCAAUUUAGUCUCUUAUUGUUUUCUUUUAUUUAAUUUUUAUGUCAGAUUUGGUCCUUAUUUUUUAUUGUUAUUUAUUUAUUUCUUAUCUAAUUUUGGAUGAUUAGGGAUUUUGCUUGGUAUUUUUUAGAGUUUGCCUUUUAUGAUUUAAUCCUGAUUUCAUUACUCAAGUCACUAGUUUCGAGGAUUAGCCCGAUUUAAAUUUGAUAUUUUUUAUACCUUUUUUUUAAAAUUGAUUAUUUUUUAAUUUUAUCAUUUAAUUUAGGUUAUUAUGUCUUGAGUUUCAUAAUUUUUUCUACUUUUCUUUUUCUAUAUCAUCCUAUGUCAUGGGUUUGCUGGGUGAACUCAGGGUCAUUCAAGUUUUAAUUUCAUUUAGUCUUGAGUUUCAUGGUUUUUAUUUAAUUCUUUUAUUUUAUCAUUCCACAUUAAAUUAUUGGGUUUUGAGCUUCAUGGUUUUUUCCUCAUUCUUUUAUGUGAGUUUAUCUUGAUCUCAUAUCAUAGGCUUAGAUUUUUUAUUGCGUUUUUAUUUCAUCAUUUGAAAUUACAUUAUUGGGUUUUAAGCUUUGUGAUUUUUUUUAAUUUUUUUUUAUGGGGUUAUCCUGAGUCGCAGGUUUGUCAAGUUAACCCGAGUUGACUUCGAGUUUUUUUUUUAUAAUCCUUUUAUUUUUCUUCGGUCUUUUUUUCUUGGUCCUUUUUAUUUUAAAUAAUUUUUUAUCCCGAUCACAUUUUGCGGGUUGCGAAUUAGUCGAGUGAACCUUGGCUCACUCAAAUUUUUUUACAUUGUUUCUUUUUAAAUUAUUUUUUAUUUCAAUUUAAUUUUUUGAUAUUAGAUUGUUAGGUCAUGAUCUUAGUGAUUUUUUCCACUUUCCUUUAUACGAGGUUGACUCGAGUUACGAGUUAAUCAAGUUAACCAGGGUGGCCUCAUUUAUUUUCUUGAUAUUUUAUUUAUUGAUUUAACUUCAAUCUUUUUUAUUUAAGUCUUUUUUUUAAAAAAAUAUUUUUUUAAUUCUAAUCUCAUAUUGAGGGAAGCGGGUAGUUAAGUGAUUUCGAGUUGACUUGUGUUUUUUUUUGAUGUUUCUAUUUUUAAAUUUUAUUUUCGAGUUUCAUUUUUUAACAUUAGGCUAUUAGGCUUGGAGCAUUAUUUUUUUUUUCGUUUUCCUUUUAUAGAAUUAUAUUAAUUUUUUAUCCUAGAUCAGAGGUUACUCAAAUUAACCUAACUUAACAUAAGUGAUCAAUGCCUUAACAUUUUUUUUUCUGUAACAUGGAUCACCAUACCAGUAAUAUAAAAAAGAGAAAUGGGGACCAAAUUCUUUUAUCUCUCUCUCUCUCUAGAGAGAGAGAGAGAUCAUUGGAGUCUAAAAGUAAAUUUGAUAUCUUCAUGAUGAAUAAAAGUACAAAAUUAGAUUAAUUGAAAUAUUAUUAGUUUAGUUAUAUAAAUAUAAAUAUUACGUAAAGUUUAUGUCAUUUAUCUACACAUAAAGAAAAUCUAAAAUCUUGGUAGAUUAAAAAUCUUUUUUCUCUUGUGAGCAUAAACUCUCUUUUUUUGUUUUUGUUUUAGCUAGAAGUGGUAAAAAAGAGAUAUACAGAGGAUAUGAGAUUGAUCAGCUCUUUUUAAUAUGCAGAGAGAUUCAAACCAUUGACGUAAUCAAGAUUUUACUAAUUAAAGGUUUUGAGCAUUUAGCUAAAUAUAUGAUACAAUAAAAUAAGAAUUUUAUACAACUAGAUAGAGAUUUGAUCUAGACAAACUAUAUAGAUGGCCUAAUAUAUAUUUUUAUUUAUCAAUGAGAUAUGUCUAGGUCUAAAAGAAGGUUAUGUAGUGUCAGAUUAAGUUAACACCUUAAAACUGCAUCUCUUAUGAGACUAUCGGAUUUUCAGAAAACACACCCCUUGCUCUUUGAUCUGGAUCACUUUGGGUGACACUUUCGCGAGUGCUAACAGUGCUCCUUGAAUGCGACUCCGCUCCACUAAACAUGUCAUCGUCAUCAGUGGUCGUGACAUCUUGAUGUGGUGAAAAUGAGCUUUUAUUUUCCAUAUUGAUCCCGUCUACACUGUUGGCAUUUUCCUCAGCAGAUUGUUGAAGCUGCAAUGCAAAUUCAAGGCCCCAAACGACAUCACCCAUUUUAGGGCGUUCAAUUCCUGAAACAUGUAAGCAACUGUUAGCAAUCUCUGCCAACUUAUUUAAAGAGACAGGGGAAACCUCGCCCUUUAAAUGUGGAUCCACGAUCUGAUCAAGGGUUCCUCUUUGGUAACACUUUCUUGCCCAGUCAGCUAAGCUUGCUUGAUCUUUCGGUGAACUUGGAAUCACUGGUGGCCUUGCACAUAGCACCUCAAACAAAACCACACCGAAUGAAUAAACAUCAGAUUUCUCUGUCAGGUGUUGCCUACGGUAGUACUCUGGAUCCACAUAUCCAAUGCUACCUCUAACUACAGUGCUAACAUGGGUUUGGGAUGUACUAGUGGGACCCAAUCUGGACAGCCCAAAAUCUGAAACCUUAGCCACCCAAUUCUCAUCUAACAAUAUGUUUGUUGACUUCACAUCACGGUGAAUGACUGUGUGCUUUGCUCCUGAAUGAAGAUAAUGCAACCCUUUAGCAGCACCGAUGCAUAUUUCUAGCCUUUGCUUCCAUGGAAGAGGAGAGUUCUUUGUUUUGUAUAGAUGUUCUCUAAGAGUGCCUCUUGACAUGUAAUCGUAUACAAGAAUCAUCUCGCCAUGAUCAUCACAGUAUCCAAUCAGCGACACUAGAUGGAGGUGGCGCAGAUUGGAUAACAUCUCAAUCUCUGUCUGGAACUCACGUGUCCCUUGCUUUGAUGAUGAAUCUAGUCGUUUGAUGGCUACUGCACCGUAUUCAAUGUAUCCUUUAUACACAGUACCAAAUCCCCCUGAACCAAUAAUAUUUUGAUCAUCAAAGUGUCCUGUUGCUUCGUUGAUUUCGAAAAAUGUAAACCGUCGGCAAAGAUCAGUAGGGAGUGAUGAAGAGAUUGUAGUCGUGGACCUAGAUGUUUGUGAUAUUAGAGUCCAGGAGGAUUUUUCCUCACUCUUGCUAGGGUCCUUGACUCGCUUCUGCUUGAAAGCAAAGAAAUAAAGAAUAAGAGAGCAAGCAAACACUGCACCUAUGGAACCUCCAACGAUGGCUAUAACCGUAAGUAUUGAUGAUCUUUUGCCCGUUCUUCUGUCUUGUAGACUUGGAUGUUGUUCUGCUGGUGGAGGAGCCACUGUUGGCUCAGGGUUGGAUCCUGCAAGAUUUCCGUCUGUUGUAUUCAGCUUGAAUAUUUCCAAGCCAUUCAAGAUUGCAUCAGCAUAAGUAGGUUUCAGUUCCAUGUUAGGGUGUAGUUGGAGCCACAAGUUCCUGCUUGCUCUGGCUACCUUGAGGGACCAGCACGAUGUAGUCUUUGUAAACUGGAAUGCCGUUGCCACCGCUCAUAUGGAUCACAUCUGCAUCAUGCUCCGCUAUUUGAUUGUUGAUGAAUAUUAAAAAUACCUGUU
rnacentral:lncRNA from 1 species